rnacentral:lncRNA from 1 species
CGAUAUCUUGCAGACAGGUACCCGUUAAAAAUGUCAAGAACUAGUUUUCAGAGAUGCGGUCUCAUUCAAAGUGCAGAACCUCAACCGGGUUAGCCAAGCUCUCUGCCUAAAUUGCACAGAACAUUUGGUAAAAUUACAUUUUGCACCCAAGUUUUCGGGAUAGUGGCAAAUUAUCCCUGUCGUUUCGAUAUUUGCAAUUUGUUAACUGACUUUUCGGAAUUUGGAGGCCAUGUGCCCUCAAACGUUGACUUGGGCAAUUUUUUUUUUUUUCACAUAUCUGUCAACGUGACUUGCUAUGGAAGAUUAAUUGGACAUUUAUCAUUUAUGUAUGUGAAAAAAAUAAAUUAUAGGGACUACCCAAAGAUAUAUUUGAGAACUAUAUACCAAUAUGCAUUUGGUGUUGAUUCCGGUCAAAUUAUUGCCGGAGCUUUGGUCACAUGCUCUCACAUGUAAUAUGUUUUUGAAUUUGAUAUUCUAUAUUUUCAUAUCUGUUUACUUAUAUGAUGAAUUUUCCUUUCGUAAUCAGUCCCGUGCUAUCGCGUGCUCACAGCUCCAAGCAAAAUUUCACUAGAGUCAACACAAGGGGACACAUUGAUACGGACUUCUACCUUUCGGGGGCUAGAUUGCAAAAAUUGAAACGCCAUUUGGCAAUAUGCAACAAACUCAAAAGUUAGAAAAUACGUAGUUUGCCCCCAGAGUUUUUGGACAAAACCGGGUAUUGCCAGCCUGAACUCAUUAUUAAUCUCACGCGGUUCGUUCUAAGCAUCUGAAAAGCUCAUUUGGCAGUGCUGUAUCUUUUCAAUGCAGUUUCGAAUGCAUGAAAAACUCAGCAUUUACCACAACUCAAUGGACAUAAAAUCCUCCAGCACCAAAGCAAAAGCAGAUUCAUCCUAGUCUGGGAAUAGUUAACGUCAAGCUGAGAAUGUGCCUUGAAAAUCUAAAACUGGAGGAAAACAAAAAGUAUAGCACUCGCAUCCAAUAUCGAUCAUAAAACUAUGUCCAGCAGCCACAGCGAUCAAGCAUCAAAACCCUUCGUAAAGAAAACACGAGUCGAGCAAUCUUGAACCGACUGAUACCCAUUUUCGUACCUGUGCUGCCUUUAAAGCGAAUGAGGCGCGAGCCGGUGUUGCAGUGAAGGUGGCCAUUCCGAGCUCCGAUUCAACAGAAGGUGAAGGAAAUGAAUGAGAGAGAAAGAGAGAGAGAGAGAGAGAGAGAGAGAGAGAGAGAGAGAGAGGGAGAUCACAGAAGGAGAACGCGAGAAGUUUGUGAGAGAGAGAGGCGAUGUAUAUAUUGUUGGUAAUUUGUUUAUAAAACAAAUGAAGAGGUGCAUUGUCCCACAUCGAAAAGAUGUGAGUGCGCAUAUGGACGGAAUUUGGCACUAACCAACGAUCAUUAUGUUUAUUUAUUGAAAAUUUGGAUUUAUUUCUAUAAAAAAUUAAUUAUAAAGUCUUGUUGAAACAGAGCGACUGUUCACGAAAAGUUACAAUUAUUUUUUAUUUAUUUAAUUCUGAAUUUCUUAUGUCUUUUCAACGUAAUCUUUGAGACAUACUUGUUCAUUUUACAACCUUUCCCGAAAGGUUGUCUUUGUUCUUUUGCAAUAUUUUGAAGAGUUGCAUUUAUUCGAAAGACAUAUAUAAGUACAUUUGUUUUGAGAUCAAAUAUAUAUCUUCUUCCAUUUUUUCGUUUUCUUUAGAGAGAAACUGCAGCCAUUAUUUCUAAUUGUUUCCCAUGAGAGACUCUGGAGAAAUACUAGAAUUGCUAUCUAGUAUUCUUACUUGAGACUUUGUUGUAUCCUGGAGGAAAUUUGCCGGUGACCAUUAGCAACGUAGUGGGGCAAAUAAAUCCUUAAAGAAAGUGAUAUCACGCCUCAAAGUCCGACUCGAGUACUCUAACGAUCCGACUUCAUUGUUCUACCCAAUUUGAAGCCAUAUUUUUCCAACAAUUUUAAGGAUUUAUUUGCAUAACAAUGAAGUCAGAGUCGGAGGAAGUACCAGCCUAUGGUGGCUCACCAUCAGCGGUCCGAAAGAUGUCGUCCAUGAAUCCCGAAUCUUCCUCUUCUUUUGCCCAUCUCAACAUGCCUCUCAGAAAUUGGAAAUGCGAUGGAUGGCGUGCAGAAUAUUAUUAUUUGCUUGUUCAUCUCCACCGCCUCUAUCAACAAUGAAGUUAAAGUCAAUCACCAGAAGUCGAAAAGUUCCUUCAGAGGCUUCGGGUCGUGAUAUUUGUGGCCUGGCUGUGUAUCUCACUCACUUGCGAGGCAUGCUAGACGAAUGAUUUAUCGCCAGUGGAGUGAGCAUUGGACGAUUAUCUGGUUCUCUUCGAGUCGGCCUCGGUCUAGUCUGCAGAGAUUGUGGGCUUGUGCGAGGAGUGAUGGAAGGGCGAUCAGCCCGAGAAACAGAGGAAAGGAGACAGAAGAGAGAAAUCGUGAGAGGUUGGCCACGAUAAAAAGAGAAAUACAAUCCAAGAGCAGAGGCGAUUAAAAAAAAUAAAAUAAAAAUGAAUGAGAUAAGUUCAUCCAGGGAGAAGUUGAGAAAACGCCAAAGCAGAAUUAGGCAUGUUCUUUCCUUUGGAGUUUACGUUCUCUACGGCCCUUCUCCAAGCCGAAAUCCGAUGACCUGAAAGUUUCAAAUGAGUUGGUCCUUAAACUUCCGGUUGCCGAACAUACGAAGCACUUCAUCUUUGCUAUGAGGGAACCCGAGUUGCUGUCCGUGAUUUACAUGCUCGCCAUGCAGAAUUUGUCCGGGAUUCCUGCCCGGAACGUCGAGUGUUUGAUUAGAGAGAGAAGGGGGCAGCGACUGUGUUCUGGGCUUUGUUGAUUUAAGGCUAUUGCUGAAAUGUUAUACGCGAUUGUUGUUUCGGCAUUGCAAAUAUGAUCCUUGUCAAACGAAUGAGAGAGACGCUCUGUACCAAUCUCUCCUUUUACAGGAUGUCUCAUUCUUUGAUGGGGAAACAUUGAUUCAUCGAGGAAUGGGGCAUUUACCAGCCCGAAUUGGAAGAAACUGUCGAGUAAAGAAGCGUGCAGUUGUUCUUGAUGAAUUUUUUUUUUAGGGGCAAUGCUUCGAAAGGAUUUCUCGCCCAAUGGAGUAAUUUAGGAAUAAGGUAUGGCAUGUGGGCAACUAAAAUGUGCUAAAUUGCUCAUCGGCUUAUACACUAAGGUCUGUGAUGUUUUUAUUUCCAUGUUUACAUUAUUUGUCAUUGAUGGUCUCAUACAGGCUCUUGGUCUUGAGUCAUCUUUCGGCAAGUGCNNNNNNNNNNNNNNNNNNNNNNNNNNNNNNNNNNNNNNNNNNNNNNNNNNNNNNNNNNNNNNNNNNNNNNNNNNNNNNNNNNNNNNNNNNNNNNNNNNNNAAAGAAGUUGGAUAAGAUGAUAUCCGAUGCCGGUGUGAAACUUCCCGAGAAGAAUCGGGCGCUUGAUGUCGAAGCGUCUUUGCCGAGUGAAUUGAGCGGUGCCCCAGUUUGCGAAGAUAAUGGGGAUCGAGUCGAUGGUGAAGGCGAUGGCCACGCCGAUUCAUCGACUGAUUCCUGCGAGUAUGGCGAGGAUGGAGGUUCGGGUUCGGAGUCUGAGGCAAAGGUAAUACCCCCGGCUCCGCAAUUGCCACCGUCCUCUGGAUCCAUAGGCAUUGCGGAGGAGUACGUCUCGCAUCUGCUCUCUGUAUAUGGCUUCUCGAGGUCGUUUAGCGUCGCGCUAUAUUUGUCCCUUUGGAUUGGAUGACUUUGUCGGGGCACUUAAUUCUUUGCUUCCAAAUUCGUUAUUGGAUGCCAUCCACGUCGUCUUGAUGCGUUCAUUAAGGCUUCAUCUGGAAACCGUCUCUUCCGAGGGUUCAGAGCUUGCUUCGAAAUGUCUAAGAUGCAUUGAUUGGGACUUGCUGGAUACUUUGACGUGGCCCAUUUACGUGCUCCAUUAUUUAACUAUGAUGGGUCAUGUUAGAGGGCAGGAGUGGAAAGAUUUCUCUGAGGAUGUUUUGUACAGGGAGUAUUACUCCUUAUCUGUAGGUAAGAAGUUGUUGGUUCUUCAAAUUCUGUGUGACCAUGCAUUAGAGUGUGCAGAUAUGAGAGCUUCCAGAAUUUUAAUAUCAUGAAGAAAUGAGGUAUGGCUCUGAUUAUACCUUUUAGGUUUCGGAUUAUAUGAUGUUGAUUCCAUUCCUAGAAUUGCCGGUAUCUUCUUUUCGCUUCUCUCAAUUCCAGUUUAUGCACUUUUGAUACCUCCAUACUCGAUUUGCUCGCGUUUAUUGGAUUGUUAGAGAAUGUCAUUACAUGCAUGGGCUAAUAUGUAGUGCUCUAUUUAUGGAGGCGAUAUAGAGAUAUUAAAUAGGUUUUCAGGUGUCCCUUGUUUGGUUCUAAUGUGUUUUAUUUGCUGUCCUUGCCCCUCAUAGAUUUGAUUCUAUGGAAUAGCAUAAAUGAGCCAAGAGAGUAGAAUUGCAUUGAUUUACUAUUUUGAUGUAUGUAUUUCAUCGAGGAUGAAAAUUUGAUGAUGCAUAAUUUCGAUUAAUUACCUAUUGGAAUAUUCUUGAAGUGGGGCUAUGUCCGAAGGGGACUUUAGAACUAAUAUGAUUGGAAUCAUUGAGAUUAAGAAGUAUCUGACUUUCAUUUUCAAAAUGAAAGAUUUGGGUGAAACAGAUACUAUUUUAAGUGUUAAAUUAAAAAAUAGUGGGGGUUAUCCUUUGAGCCAAAGUGAUUACAUGGAGAAGAUGUUGUAUAGAUUUAAACAUCUUAUUUUCAAAUAUAUAAGUACUCUAUUUGAUUCCUGGUGGAGAGUUUUUAAUGUGAGUGCUAUGGGCCUUUAAUGUAUGCGAUACAUUAUACUAGACUUGAUAUUACUUUUUAUAUAUGCAAGUUGAGUAGAUAUGCUAGUAAUCCAAUUAUAGAACAUUGAAAGGCUAUUAUUAGAAUUUUUGGUUAUUUUAAGAGAACCUAAAAUUUAUGAUUGUUCUAUAAUAAUUAUUCGGUUGUAUUAUAAAGAUACACUGAUACUAGUUGGAUUACAAGUAUGGGAGAUGAAAUUUCUGGAUGAAUUUUCAUAUUACAUGAAUGUGUUGUUUCUUGGGUGAGCAAGAAACAAAAGUGCAUAAUUCACUCAACUUUGGAAUUUGAAUUGUUGCUUUAGCAAAAUUUGGGAAAGAGGCUAAAUGGGCUAUGAAUUUGUUGUUGAAUAUCAAUUCAUGGCUUAGUCUUAUGGCUCUUAUUUCUAUCCCUUGUGAUAGUUAGGCUACUUUGGUAAGAGCCUAUAGUAGAACCUAUUAUAGUAGAACCUAUAAUGGUAAGUUUAGACAUAUUAGUCUAAGACAUGAAUAUGUGAGACAAUUGACUAAAGAUGGUACCAUAACAAUUGUUUACGUGAGGUCAAGUAAUAAUCUUACCGAUCCUUUGAUGAAUGCUUUACCAAGACAUAUGAUAAUAAUGACCUCAUAAGAAACGGGGCUAAAACCCUUUAAUUGAAAUCACCAAUAAUGGUGACCCGACCUUUUUCUAGAACAUCACUAGUUACAAGGUUUAAUGGGUAAGAACAAGUUAUUGAAUGUUUUCUUGCCUUUACCAAAAAAAAAAACAAGUUAUUGAAUGUAAUUGUUUGAUACUGAUGCAGCCCUGAUAUGAGAAGUCAGUAUCGUCUGUUACGUUUUGUAGGCUGAAUUAAAUUCUUAAUGAAGUAUGAUACAAAUUUGUAAUGUGUUCUUUACCAAAAAAAAAAAAAAAAAAUUUGUAAUGUGUUGAUAGUAACAGAAACACAUGGUAGAUACUUCACCUAUAUGAGCUUAGAAGUGGUGCCGCUUCUUACGAAAGUUAGGGUUGCUUUCUAGAGAGCUCAUGAAACAGGAUCAAGCACAAGGCCAUAAUAGUGCGGAGUAAUAUAGAACUUCUCGCUGAAACAAGAGGUUAGUGUAUGUGUGGUAUGUCCGGUUCUAUUAUAUAAAAGUACAAGUUUAAAGCCGAGCUACUUGUCACUUUGAUAGGGCUUUGAGAUACUUGCACUAAGUAAAUGUUUAACUCGAAAGAGACCUUUAUGUAUGUAUAUUAAUCUCACGGAAAUUUUGGCUGUAUAUUUCUAACGUUUUAUUUUUUGUUUUUGUUUUAUAAACAAAAGUGGGGGAUUGUUGGUAAUUUGUUUAUAAAACAAAUGAAGAGGUGCAUUGUCCCACAUCGAAAAGAUGUGAGUGCGCAUAUGGACGGAAUUUGGCACUAACCAACGAUCAUUAUGUUUAUUUAUUGAAAAUUUGGAUUUAUUUCUAUAAAAAAUUAAUUAUAAAGUCUUGUUGAAACAGUGCGACUGUUCACGAAAAGUUACAAUUAUUUUUUAUUUAUUUAAUUCUGAAUUUCUUAUGUCUUUUCAACGUAAUCUUUGAGACAUACUUGUUCAUUUUACAACCUUUCCCGAAAGGUUGUCUUUGUUCUUUUGCAAUAUUUUGAAGAGUUGCAUUUAUUCGAAAGACAUAUAUAAGUACAUUUGUUUUGAGAUCAAAUAUAUAUCUUCUUCCAUUUUUUCGUUUUCUUUAGAGAGAAACUGCAGCCAUUAUUUCUAAUUGUUUCCCAUGAGAGACCCUGGAGAAAUACUAGAAUUGCUAUCUAGUAUUCUUACUUGAGACUUUGUUGUAUCCUGGAGGAAAUUUGCCGGUGACCAUUAGCAACGUAGUGGGGCAAAUAAAUUCUUAAAGAAAGUGAUAUCACGCCUCAAAGUCCGACUCGAGUACUCUAACGAUCCGACUUCAUUGUUCUACCCAAUUUGAAACCAUAUUUUUCCAACAUAUAUAGGGGAGAGGGAGGGAGCGGAAGCUUGUAGGACGGUGUUCGUUUCAAGUUAUCUGAAAAGCAAACAUUUUAAAUGAGCACUUUGCCAACGUUACAAAAAAGAAAUUCAAAGGGGAGCAAAAGAACAUGAGAGAAAUUGGCAAUUUGCCACUUUAAGGACGGUUAAGGAAUUUAGGUAAGUGCACUUUUAAUGGAAAGGCCUAGUUAACUUCUUCCUCAAAUUUCACCAUUUUAUCCUGGUUUUUUCUUUUGCCAAUUUUAUAUUUUUCUCUCUCUUUAAAGCUAAAUUGUAGUACAGUAUUAACAUAACAUGUAGAUGAGCGCCAAAAUGAGAAAUUUAAAAGGCGAGAUAAAAUGGUGUUUUGGCUUUUACAUAUAUAGAUAGAAAAGCUGGUUUCUUUCUUCUUCUUCUUCUUCUUCUUUUUUUCAGUGAUCUAUAAUAAUCAAAACUAGAAGUGACGGUGUAUUUCAUACUGAUGUGGCUACACUGUGAUGUAUUGAAAUACAUGUGUACGUGUUUGGCAAUGCAUCUUUGAAAGUUGCUGUGCUAUAGACAGCUAUGAUGACUAAUAUGUUUGAUCGCUGUAGUUAUUAGAAUGAAGAAAAGACCUUUUAAUAUUGCCGCAGAGCUUUUACCAACGUUUAUAUCCGUGUUAUUGGAACUUUUGCAGGAUACCUUUUUCACCAUAUGAUGAUGAUGAUGAUGAUGAUAGUUGAAUCCGGAAUAGACAUUUUGAGAGGACUUCAUUUCCACCCGAAAUACCAAAGUAAUCCAUGUUUAUACAUGAAAUUGCAGAAGAAAAUAUGAGGCAGUACAACGCCGAACACCUUGAAAUGCACAAUCUACUACAGCCCAAUGAGGCUGCAACCAUAUGUAUCCAAUUGNNNNNNNNNNNNNNNNNNNNNNNNNNNNNNNNNNNNNNNNNNNNNNNNNNNNNNNNNNNNNNNNNNNNNNNNNNNNNNNNNNNNNNNNNNNNNNNNNNNNNNNNNNNNNNNNNNNNNNNNNNNNNNNNNNNNNNNNNNNNNNNNNNNNNNNNNNNNNNNNNNNNNNNNNNNNNNNNNNNNNNNNNNNNNNNNNNNNNNNNNNNNNNNNNNNNNNNNNNNNNNNNNNNNNNNNNNNNNNNNNNNNNNNNNNNNNNNNNNNNNNNNNNNNNNNNNNNNNNNNNNNNNNNNNNNNNNNNNNNNNNNNNNNNNNNNNNNNNNNNNNNNNNNNNNNNNNNNNNNNNNNNNNNNNNNNNNNNNNNNNNNNNNNNNNNNNNNNNNNNNNNNNNNNNNNNNNNNNNNNNNNNNNNNNNNNNNNNNNNNNNNNNNNNNNNNNNNNNNNNNNNNNNNNNNNNNNNNNNNNNNNNNNNNNNNNNNNNNNNNNNNNNNNNNNNNNNNNNNNNNNNNNNNNNNNNNNNNNNNNNNNNNNNNNNNNNNNNNNNNNNNNNNNNNNNNNNNNNNNNNNNNNNNNNNNNNNNNNNNNNNNNNNNNNNNNNNNNNNNNNNNNNNNNNNNNNNNNNNNNNNNNNNNNNNNNNNNNNNNNNNNNNNNNNNNNNNNNNNNNNNNNNNNNNNNNNNNNNNNNNNNNNNNNNNNNNNNNNNNNNNNNNNNNNNNNNNNNNNNNNNNNNNNNNNNNNNNNNNNNNNNNNNNNNNNNNNNNNNNNNNNNNNNNNNNNNNNNNNNNNNNNNNNNNNNNNNNNNNNNNNNNNNNNNNNNNNNNNNNNNNNNNNNNNNNNNNNNNNNNNNNNNNNNNNNNNNNNNNNNNNNNNNNNNNNNNNNNNNNNNNNNNNNNNNNNNNNNNNNNNNNNNNNNNNNNNNNNNNNNNNNNNNNNNNNNNNNNNNNNNNNNNNNNNNNNNNNNNNNNNNNNNNNNNNNNNNNNNNNNNNNNNNNNNNNNNNNNNNNNNNNNNNNNNNNNNNNNNNNNNNNNNNNNNNNNNNNNNNNNNNNNNNNNNNNNNNNNNNNNNNNNNNNNNNNNNNNNNNNNNNNNNNNNNNNNNNNNNNNNNNNNNNNNNNNNNNNNNNNNNNNUUGCUCUCCCCACCUGUCUUCCUCAACAUCAUAUCAUGUUGAACACAGAAGCAAUCAGAUUUUGAAAGGAUGUAUUCUGCACCAUGUCUUGGAGAUACAGCAAGAUUGGCAUGAUGCCAGGUGAUGAGGGUAAAGAUAAAAAGUUCAUACUACUCGCCAUGCAGGUGAUGGGGGUAAAGAUAAGCGUAUCUCUCUCUCUCUCUCUCUCUCUCUCUCUCUCUCUCUCUCAAUUGUGCAAACUUCUCUCCUCUGUUAAUUUACUACUGAUGUUGAGUUCUGCCUGCAAAGUUCUGGCAAGUUUUUUGCCAUUAUCUUCUUUGAAAAAUCAAAAAGAAGAGUGGGGUUCAGAGGUGGAAAGAAGAACAGCUUGAAGAGAAACGGAAAAGUGCAGACUUGCAACAGAAGGCGCGGAAAGCUGUUUGCUUUAAGAUGCAUGACAACCAUGCAGAUGGCCAAUGUGGUCUUCUCCACCCAAAAACAAUCGUUUCUCGUGGUCCGAAUGGAAUUUUAUAUGAUUUGCAUCCGAAUAGAAAAAUAAUAUCGUAAUCUAAUAUCAUCUACCGCCUGCAAAGUUGCCAUUAUCUUCGUUGAAAAUUCAAAAGAAGGGGAGAGGCAGAAAGAAAAACAACAUAUGAAGAGAAACGGAAAGUGCAAACUCUCCAUAGAAGGCACAGGAAAGCAGUUCGCUUUAAGAUGCUUGAUAAACUACUAAGAAACGAUUUCAUGUGGUCUUUAAUGAAAUGUUAUAAGAUUCUACAUCAAUGAUAAUCGUACUUUGCGCUCCACUACUGCCUGCAAAGUUGCUAUUAUCUUCUUUGAAAACUCAAAAGAAGGGGCAACGUAGAAAGAAAAACCGCAUCGAAGAGAAACGAACAUCAUUAACUCUCAACAGAGAGCACGACAAAGCUGCUUGCUUUAAGAUGCAUGAUGAACUACUAAUGAACAAUCAUUUCACGUGGUCUCUGAUGAUAUUUUAUAAGAUUUACAUCCGAAUACCGGAUCGAUAUCGUGCUUUAUGCUCCACUACUGCCUGAAAAGUUGCUGUAAUCCUCCUUGAAAACUUCAAAGAAGGUGGGAGAGGCAGAAAGAAAAACAACAUUGAAGAGAAACGAACAUCACCAACCCUCAACAGAAGGCACAAGAAAGCUGCCUGCUUUAAGAUGCAUGAUAAACUUCUAAUAAACAAUCAUUUCACGUGGUCUCUGGUGAAAUUUUAUAAGAUUUACAUCCAAAUACAGCAUCAAUAUCGUACUUUAUGCUCCACUAUUCCCUUGAAAGUUGCUAUCAUCUUCUUUGAACGCUCAAAAGAAGGGGAGAGGCAGAAAGGAAAACAACAUUGAAGGGAAACGAACAUCGCAAACUCUCAACAGAAGGCACGAGAAAGCUGUUUGCUUUAAGAUGCGUGACAACCAUGCAUAUGGUCAUUGUUGAAUUCCUACUCAAAACCAAUUAUUUCUCUUAGCCUCUGAUGAGAAUUUACAACCAUUACAGCCAAAUGGAGGAAUAAUAUUUUACUUUAUGCUUCAUUACUAUAAUAUAUGUACAUAUCUAUUCAACGCAACCAAAAGAAUCAUGUUUCUCACACAUAAAUAGGACAAGUUUUUUGAGUGUCUGAAAUUUUUACAUUCAAAAUGUUAUUGUUUUGGACGGAAACAUUGUGACUCGACGCUGGAGAAUUGAAAUUCAAUUGUAAACCUAUCGUAUGAAUUCAAAUUCAAUCUCAAACAUUUUAAUUCAAGCAAUGUUGUUUUAAACCUUUGAGUGAAAAUGUAAUCAAGUCCUCCUGGUCAAGUCUCGCCUAAAUAGCAAUCCAAUCAUUUGUCGUUGUACGUGUCUUGACUAGUGAUUUGAUGUGGACAAAUAUUCUCGAAACAGACGCCAUCGUUGCUCAACUCCACAAGCCGUCAACCUUGCCAAGAACCGCCCUCUCUCAAGUUGAUUUCUAUUAAUAGUCACAGCUUAGCUAGAGCUGGCACCUCCAAAUGUGGAGGCUUGGCAGUCGGUCACCAUGCCCAUCGGGCUCCUUGGCCCCUCCAUGGAAGAUGAUUGUACAACCCUCAAAUUUUUAGUGAUGUUUGUUUUUCCUCCCUGACCCUUCCAUGCCAUGCAAGAUGAUUGUAUAACCCUUAAUUUUUUUUUUUUUGUGACGAAGAAUUUUUUGGUUAAUUUUUAAAUAAAUUUUUUCUUUUCUUUUUUCAUUCCUUCUUCUUCCUUCUCUAGCUAGUCACAGGACCUCGGUGACUAGCCAGAGACGAGUUGACAAGGCCAACCUUGCCCAACCAUCGCAAGGCUCCCUUGAGAUUGGUGCAGCCACCCUCAUCAGCCCUCCUCUCUAGUUGGUCAUCGGCUAUCAUUGAGGCCUAUGUAGCACCGACACGGACACGCGACACACGACACGACACGACACGCCGACACGUUAUUUCUUAAAAAUAAAGAAUUUCGACACGUUCCGACACAUUAUAUAUUAAAUAUAUAAAUACAUAAAUAAAUAAUAAUAAAAAUAGCCUAGAAUUAAUUUACACGAAAAAUAUUAAAUAAUAUCAUUCAUUAUUUUAAUUUGUUACAAUAAUACAUAAAACUUAGAGGAAAAAAACAUUAUUUAAAGAAAAAUGCUGAAAUGAUAUUUUUAUAUUUAUUUAUUUAUCAUAUAUAGCAUUUUUUUAUUACUUCUUUCAUAGUAAAAGACUUUUAAAAAAACUAAAACAAUUAUAAAAAAAACUGAAAAAAAAAAUUAACCCUGUGCGUGUAUAUUUAUAGCAAUUUUAUUACUUCUUUUAUUACUUCUUUUUUGUAUAUUUAUAUUUUGACCCCUCAAGUAUUAUAAAUUUUUAAAAUUGACCCCGUGCGUGUCGGAAUCACGUGUCGGAAUUCUAGACUCACGUGUCGGAGAGAGUUAACCACGUGUCGGAUUUUUCGACACUCGUUGACCGCGUGUUGGGACGUGUCGGAGCGUGUCGGACACGCGUCGGAGUGUCGGACACGACUCGAAGGCUUCCGGAGAGUGUCCGUGCUACAUAGAUUGAGGCCUGACGAGAAGAGGGGGAAUAAGAAAGGAAACGAAAAAGAAAAAGAAAAAAGAGAAACUGACCUUUAUUAGAAACUGUUCCUGAUGACAAAUAAUUCUUUCUACUUUCUAUUUUCGUUCUAAAUUUAUUUUCUGGCUACUGAUCUAUUUCAAAAAAAAAAAUAACUAACAUUAUCAAAUAUUUUUUUUUUCCUGUUUCGGAGAAUGAAAUAACAGAAAAAUAGAGAAACAAAAUGAUCACCAAAUAGGAUCUAACUUUAUAACUGAACUUGCAAUUCUUCCAACUCAACCUAUGCCUAUUAUAAGUUUUCUUUUCUUUUAAUAAUUCUUUCUCUCUUCUGUCUCCUCUCUUCAUCGGUAUAAAAUGGGUAAUCAGGGAUGGGUGGCUUGUGUAGUGGAAGAGAAACCGUAUUCCCAAUGGUCGCACAGCGAAUUUGGGUCCAUAUUCAAAUCCACCAGAGGAAGUAAACUGACCUCUUUCACCAUUAAAUCACCAUGCUGAGUGUUGAUUUUAACUCCAUAAAGUCCUCUGACACGUCUGCCCCUCGGGACCUUCCGGAUUAUAAAAGCGACAGCAAAAGUCAUAUCCUAUGAUUUUCAAUCUUUACCGACACAGAGAAACGGAUUUGCGCAUAGCUAAUAUGAGAAAACAGCUAUCCUAUACAUUGGCAUUUAGUUGAUAAAAAAGGUUGAUCAAUUUAGGGAUGACAUGCAGCAACUUGAAUUCCAUCCACAAAUAGAUAACGUGCAGCCAAGGCUAUGUCAAAGCCCCAAUACAUGUAUUAGAUACUAUGCCAUCUCAAUCCACCAAGAGAAAAGGUAUGCAUUUUCAACUCCAGCAGAUGAGAUAUCCUUUGGGAUGGUGGUCUUGGAAGAUGAAUCUUGCUUCUGGUCUCCAUAAUUUGGCAGCAAUGAUGGUGAUUCCACUGGACUGGUUAGGACUACUUUUAUCUUCCUCUCCUCUAUGCAUUUAUCACUUUCCUUAUCAAAUUUAAAAUUUAAAAGAAAACUUCUCAGGUUACUUGACCCAAAAGAUUAUGGAACACAAAGCAGCAAAAUCUACCAUGUCAGCAGUAAUGUCCUCUUCACCUGUAUCAAAAACUUGUCUCAACGUUGCAAGACAGGUGGAGCUACCUGCUGUGCUUACAUGGUAACGGCAUCAAACGGAAGAUAGGAUUAAGGGCCUACUCUAAUUUUUUCGAAGUAUCAGGACAUAGCUACUGAGGCCUAUCAUGGUUUUCCUGUCUCAACGUAUAUUAGGCUACUAUGCUAGGCAUUCAAAAUCUUAUUCAAAGAUGAUCCUUACUGCGAUGUGACUGACAUUACCUUAAGCAGUUCAUAUCCCAGUAAUGAUACAGUCUUACAGACAUGUCGUGGCAAAGAAAUUGCAAAAUAAUCAUUCAGCUGAUUCAAGUACUGCGGGCAUGUCCCUCCUCACAAGUAUGUCGGUGGUUUUAGUAUGUGAACAUGAUGUUUCACUGACUUGAGCAGAACAAUUUCGAAUCAGAUUAUCCAUUUGGCUUGAUGAUUCCUACAUUUGGCCGCACACAGAAUUUCUUCAGAGACGUAGCCUUAGCCUGGAAUGUUUUGGAUAUCCAGUAUAGAGCUCAUAAUGUUUCUCCACAAUAGAGAGUUCUUAAUGCGCUGAUGUACUACUCUGAAAAUUAAAUUACAUCAAGAGAAUACAAGAUUGAAAGGAAAUUGUCCACCCGCCAUAACCUAAAAAAUAAAACUUGAUCACGGUGAAAGAAAAGGUCCAAAGAAUAUUCACCUUGAAAGCAACAUACCGAUCAGUCUUAUUGCUUAGCGGAAUGAGCAUGAGCUUUGUUUACUCAACUCAAUUGCAUAAUCACGGAGAAGAGGCUUCAGAUGAAAGAAUUAAAGAGAAAGGGGGCCCGACAUGAGGACAGGAUGUGAUGAAAUGGACCAUCGUCUUGUUCAUUCAUUUUCUCUACUAAUCAUUCUCUGAGUCAUUUGGUUACAACAACCAUUCACCUACUUAAUCUCCAGAAAGAAAUUUACGUCAGAAGUCAUUCUAAGAGUUUGCGGUGUGAGGGACUACGCAAAAAUGAACAAACCUGACCAAAUAUUUGAAAACAACACAAGGAAAAGAAUUUGAAAACGGGGCGACCAGUGACUGAUUCAUACAUGCCAUUGAAGCUUAUGCCUUAAGAUAUUUCCUUUACCAUUUUAUAUGAUGUUGAACCGCAAAUUCUCAAGCAAAUUAUUGUAGAACGGAGAACUAUCAUCCCCUUCACUUAUUGCCUAAUAAAACAGGUGGCAAGCAAUGCAAAUUUUAACGUGGCACCAAAAAUGAAAAUGAACCAAAUGUGCAGCACUAUAUAUACUCACAAAUUAAACUCAAGUUCAUGAGGCCGGAUCUCCAACAGCUCUUCGGCCAUGAUGACAACUAUAGCACCAAUCCACAUAAAACGACAGGUCACAUGGCAGGGUAACGACAAUCAAGCAAAAAGCUCUGCAUGAAGCUCAAUUUCAAGCACCCAUUUCGUAUAAAUCUGAUCACGCGCUGUCUCUAGCAGAUUCCUCAUUUCAAACACCAAAUUUGCACAUGAUCACCAAACACUAGACAGUCAAAAAUGGCUCAGCACCCAAAUUACGAACACAAUCCAAGAGCAGUUCAGGAUUUACCAAAAAUCAGAGCACUACAUUUGGCAAUGAAAGCUUAACCAUCAGGGGAGUAUCUUACAGGUCAGAAACUUCCUUUGGCAGUGAAAUCUUAAUCUUCGAGGGAGUAUCUUACAGGUCAGAAUCUUCCUUUUGAUGGAUCCCAAUAAUGAGAAAAUCAAACUCCAGUGCAAGUUCACAACGAAGGACAUGACAAUAAUAUCAGCUAAGGGAUAUGCCAUGACUCGCACAACCCAAGAGAAAUCGCAGGAAAGACCCCAAGUCAGCAGGCCUAAAUUAUCACCUCUCCAAGACACAACACUAACAUAGCAGCAGCAGCAGCAGCAGCAGUACCAAACUCUAGUAGUCCCUGAUGACAGUUGGGUUGACUCUGACUUGGCAAUAACAACUUCGUGCCAUUUCACUCAGUAAAUGAACACAUAAUCUUCAAUACAUGUGGCACUACAAAUUCGUAAGGACCAAUGUAGCGGGAGUAGCAUUGACCCAAGAAUCUGAGAGAGCAAACAUGUUUUCCAUUAUUUGAUUAUUCAUACAAUAAAUUUAUGACUGAAUUUGCGAUUCUCCCAACUCACCUAUGCUUAUUAUGAGUUUUUUCCCUCCUUUUAAAUAUUUCUUCCCCUCUUCUGUCUCCUCUCCUCAUCUGUAUAAAAUGGGCAAUCAAGGGUUGCUUGUGUAAUGGAAGGGAAACGGUCCUCCCAAUGAUCUUACUGGUGAAAGUAGACCAAAUACAAAUCAACCAGGGGAAGAAAACUAACCUCUUUCAACUUUGUAUCACCCCACUGAGUGUUGAAUUUAACUCCUUAAAACCUCUGACACAUCCAACCCUUCAGGAUGCUGGCAUCAAAAGACAAUCCUUCUGGAUUAUAAGAGUGAGAACAGAAGUCAUAUUCUAUCAUGAGUAAUAGAAAUGGAUACAUGUACAGUUAAUAUGAGAAAAAAGCUAUCCUAUACACUCGCAUUUAGUUGCUAAAGAGGUUGAUCAAUUAUAGAUGAUGUGUAGCAACUUGAUUUCCAUUUACAUAAAUAACAUGCGGCCCAGCCAAUGCUGUGGCAAAGCCCCGAUCCAUGUAUUAGAUACAAAGCCAUCUCAACCCAGAAAGACAAUAAAGUGACAUAUUGAUGUUUUCUGGCAGUCAUACCCUGAGAAAAGGUGAUGCAUUUUCGACUCCAGCAGGUGAGAUAUCCUUUGGGAUGGUAGUCUCGGAAGAUGAAUCUUGCUUCCGGUCUCUGUAAUCUGGCAGCCCUGAAGGUGAUUCCACUGGACUGGUUAGGACUGCUUUUAUCAUCCUCUCACUUAUGUAUUUACCGCUUUCUUUAUGCAAUUGAAAAUUCAAUAGAAAAUUUCUUGAGUCGCUUGACCUGAAAGAUUAUGAAACAUAUAGCAGAAAAACCUACCAUGUCAGCAAUAGUGUCCUCUUCACCUGUAUCAAAAACUUGUCUCUGCACAGCAGGACAGGUGGAGCUACCUGCCGUGCUUACAUGGUAACUGCAUCAAACAGAAGAUGGGAUGAAGGCCUACUCCAAUUCUUGUUGCCUAGCGGAAUCAGGCAUGAGCUUUGUUUACUUAACUCAACUGCAUAAACACAGAGAAGAGGCCUAAGAUAAAAGAACUUAAUGGGGCAUGACAUGAGAGCAGGAUGUGAUGAAAUGGACCAUCAUACAUUUUCUUUGAAGAUAUAAUGCAGCAAUGAAGUCUCAUUUUGUGCGUUAGUUUUCUCUACUGAACAUUCUCAGUCAUUUGGUUACAGCACUCACCUACUUUUAUCUCUAGAAAGAAAUUCACUCACAUGGCACUAUAAGAGUUUGUGGUGUGAAGAUAGAAACUAUGCAAAAAGAAAGAACCUGACCAAAUAUUCGAAAACAGCACAAGGAAAAGAACUUGAAAAACAGGGCGACCAAUGACCGAUUCAUACUCGCCAUUGAAGCUCAUGCUUUUAGAUAUUUUUUUUACCAUUAUUUAUGAUGUUGAACCACAAAUUCUCAAGCAAAUUAUUGUAGAAUAGAGGAACAUCAUCCGCUUCACUUAUUGCCUGUAAAACAGGAGGUAAGCAAUGCAAAUUGAAUGUAGCUCCAAAAUAAAAAUGAACCAAACGCACAGCACUAUAUAUACUCACAGAUAAACUUGACUUCAUGAGGCUGGAUCUCCAAGAGCACUUCAGCCAUGAUGAUGACUAUAUUGCUGAUCUACAUGAAAUGGUGGAUCACAUAGCAGGGCAACAACAAUCAAGCAAAAAGGUCUACAUAAAGCUCAAUUUCGAGUACCCAUUCAUAUAGGGUGCGUUUGGUUUGGCUUUUGGAGAAAGCCUUUGGAUAAUGCAGAGGCUCUUAGCCUAAAGGAGUUUUGUGAAAUGCAAAGACUGUUUGGUAAUUUGCAAUUUUAAAGUGACUUGGGAAGUAACAUUGGGAAAAUACUAUUUGAUAAGCAUAUAUUUAAAAAGUCUUUUGAUGAAAAUCAAUUUCUUAAAAAUUUAUUUAAAAAAAAAAAAACACAACGAUGGCAACUUUUAUAUUUUCACAUUACGAGUGAUGUAAAAGAGACAUAUUAACAAGUUCAAAAAUUAAAAAAUUACAUGAGAAGUGUAAAAAAUAAUAGGGCCCUCAGAUAUACAAACAGUAAAGAAAGUAUAAUGACCAAUGGGCUAAGUUACUGAGAAUAUAAAAAUAAAAUUUAGUUGUUUCUGAUGUCAUAUGGAAAGUCUUAUCUAAAACUGGCAUAUGAUAAGAAAUAUGUCUCUUAUUCAGCCUAAGACAAUUAGACAUAUCUUAGCUGCAACAUGACAGCACCAAGUCAUAUCUUGCUCUUUCUGAAUGGACAACUGAGCACCUCUUUGCCUUAAACGACUCCAUCAAUUUCCCCAUGUCUUAGAGGCCAAAAAUACUAUGAGAAUGGACUGAACCGCCUAACACUUCCUCGAGAUUGAUUGCGGAGCGAGCACCACAUGAACACAUACGUGAUGGCGACCAAAAUGAGCUUUUGCUCAUGUUCAAAGCCUAAGCAUGCAAGAAAAUUAAAGAGCUCCGACUCUUGAAGAGCAAUGGACUUCUUCUGUGAACCUCUGAUUGCUGACAAAUCGAGGAUUAGCCUUAAAAAACUGUUCCUCUCAUAAACAUAAGUACAAUCACAACAUCUCAAUUCACAAGGCAGUGCAUGUAUUAAUAUACACAUCAUGGGUAUUCCAAAGAACUUACAAGAGAAGAUAACUCCUAGUAACUGCUGUGUACAAUGGAAAUGAACAUUCAAAGCCCAGGAUUAUUCCUGGGAAAAAUGGAAAAGUGGGGAACAACAGACUUUUACAUCACAUGAAGUAAGAACGACAUAAUGAGUGAAUUUAACCGUCCCAUAGAAUUCUAUUAGCAAUGGCAGUGUCCACUGAUUCCAGUUCUUCCACGACUUUAGUCCUGGAAGGCCACUCGUUAGGAGUCAUUCGGAGGUAUUGUAAAGCAAGUUGUGCUAUUUGGAAUGCAGAAUCCAUAAAUGUAGGGUAUAGGGAUGGUAUAAAUUUGGUUCCCAUUUCUGGCAGGUUGCAACAUCAUGAGCGACCAGUUUCCUCUAAAAUAACCAGUAUUUCUUUUUCGGUUUCUGAGGAAGGGGAACAUCUGCAGAAAAAUGAAAAGUUAUGUAGGCAUGCAACUGUAGAUUCCAUGCCAAAUGAUUUAAGUAGCUAAAAGGGAAACACACCUCGUGUUUCAUAGAGGGGAUUAUAGUGAACCUCAUAUCCAGAAACUCAACCAAAGCUCUGCAUCUAUGAAAGUAGGUACAAACGAAAACUUAAAAGAAAAUGGAGUUUCAAAAGACCNNNNNNNNNNNNNNNNNNNNNNNNNNNNNNNNNNNNNNNNNNNNNNNNNNNNNNNNNNNNNNNNNNNNNNNNNNNNNNNNNNNNNNNNNNNNNNNNNNNNNNNNNNNNNNNNNNNNNNNNNNNNNNNNNNNNNNNNNNNNNNNNNNNNNNNNNNNNNNNNNNNNNNNNNNNNNNNNNNNNNNNNNNNNNNNNNNNNNNNNNNNNNNNNNNNNNNNNNNNNNNNNNNNNNNNNNNNNNNNNNNNNNNNNNNNNNNNNNNNNNNNNNNNNNNNNNNNNNNNNNNNNNNNNNNNNNNNNNNNNNNNNNNNNNNNNNNNNNNNNNNNNNNNNNNNNNNNNNNNNNNNNNNNNNNNNNNNNNNNNNNNNNNNNNNNNNNNNNNNNNNNNNNNNNNNNNNNNNNNNNNNNNNNNNNNNNNNNNNNNNNNNNNNNNNNNNNNNNNNNNNNNNNNNNNNNNNNNNNNNNNNNNNNNNNNNNNNNNNNNNNNNNNNNNNNNNNNNNNNNNNNNNNNNNNNNNNNNNNNNNNNNNNNNNNNNNNNNNNNNNNNNNNNNNNNNNNNNNNNNNNNNNNNNNNNNNNNNNNNNNNNNNNNNNNNNNNNNNNNNNNNNNNNNNNNNNNNNNNNNNNNNNNNNNNNNNNNNNNNNNNNNNNNNNNNNNNNNNNNNNNNNNNNNNNNNNNNNNNNNNNNNNNNNNNNNNNNNNNNNNNNNNNNNNNNNNNNNNNNNNNNNNNNNNNNNNNNNNNNNNNNNNNNNNNNNNNNNNNNNNNNNNNNNNNNNNNNNNNNNNNNNNNNNNNNNNNNNNNNNNNNNNNNNNNNNNNNNNNNNNNNNNNNNNNNNNNNNNNNNNNNNNNNNNNNNNNNNNNNNNNNNNNNNNNNNNNNNNNNNNNNNNNNNNNNNNNNNNNNNNNNNNNNNNNNNNNNNNNNNNNNNNNNNNNNNNNNNNNNNNNNNNNNNNNNNNNNNNNNNNNNNNNNNNNNNNNNNNNNNNNNNNNNNNNNNNNNNNNNNNNNNNNNNNNNNNNNNNNNNNNNNNNNNNNNNNNNNNNNNNNNNNNNNNNNNNNNNNNNNNNNNNNNNNNNNNNNNNNNNNNNNNNNNNNNNNNNNNNNNNNNNNNNNNNNNNNNNNNNNNNNNNNNNNNNNNNNNNNNNNNNNNNNNNNNNNNNNNNNNNNNNNNNNNNNNNNNNNNNNNNNNNNNNNNNNNNNNNNNNNNNNNNNNNNNNNNNNNNNNNNNNNNNNNNNNNNNNNNNNNNNNNNNNNNNNNNNNNNNNNNNNNNNNNNNNNNNNNNNNNNNNNNNNNNNNNNNNNNNNNNNNNNNNNNNNNNNNNNNNNNNNNNNNNNNNNNNNNNNNNNNNNNNNNNNNNNNNNNNNNNNNNNNNNNNNNNNNNNNNNNNNNNNNNNNNNNNNNNNNNNNNNNNNNNNNNNNNNNNNNNNNNNNNNNNNNNNNNNNNNNNNNNNNNNNNNNNNNNNNNNNNNNNNNNNNNNNNNNNNNNNNNNNNNNNNNNNNNNNNNNNNNNNNNNNNNNNNNNNNNNNNNNNNNNNNNNNNNNNNNNNNNNNNNNNNNNNNNNNNNNNNNNNNNNNNNNNNNNNNNNNNNNNNNNNNNNNNNNNNNNNNNNNNNNNNNNNNNNNNNNNNNNNNNNNNNNNNNNNNNNNNNNNNNNNNNNNNNNNNNNNNNNNNNNNNNNNNNNNNNNNNNNNNNNNNNNNNNNNNNNNNNNNNNNNNNNNNNNNNNNNNNNNNNNNNNNNNNNNNNNNNNNNNNNNNNNNNNNNNNNNNNNNNNNNNNNNNNNNNNNNNNNNNNNNNNNNNNNNNNNNNNNNNNNNNNNNNNNNNNNNNNNNNNNNNNNNNNNNNNNNNNNNNNNNNNNNNNNNNNNNNNNNNNNNNNNNNNNNNNNNNNNNNNNNNNNNNNNNNNNNNNNNNNNNNNNNNNNNNNNNNNNNNNNNNNNNNNNNNNNNNNNNNNNNNNNNNNNNNNNNNNNNNNNNNNNNNNNNNNNNNNNNNNNNNNNNNNNNNNNNNNNNNNNNNNUGAGAUUCUACAACCAAAGACAAGUCAGCCACUGCUUCAGAUUUUCACUUGGUGAUCUGUCCUGUGCAAAUGUGAAUGAUGUUGAGCUGCGCGUGGCUCUGGCAUUGGCUCUGGAAAUGGAUCCCAAGUUGCUUUCUCAGCUGAAAGUAGUACAGCUUAUUGGAAACCUUUUGGAGUUUGUGCAUGAGAAAAAUAUGGAAGAUUUUCUCAAAAUGAUGUUUGGCUUGUGCAAAGCUCUUCUUUUAUGAUCACUAGGUUCUACGAAAGGUUCCACAUACAUGGAAGAGCCAACACUACUUGAUGAAAGUUCUUCUAAGGCAGUGAGUAGCAUAUGACACAUAACUGACUUUGGUGGCAGUGCCAGUGUUUUCCGGGAAAUGAGUGGUUCUCAUGACAGAAACAGUGCUGAUAUUGCUUCUAAAUUAACAGCUCUAUUACUGAAGGCAGCCCCAAGGGAAGGUGCUCUCUUUUUCUUACCAAUCUCCUGUAAGUGAGUGCAAUUCUCGAGUCUCAGCAGAAGGGUGCUCCUUCUCUACUGGUACCAACGAAUGCUGCAUUCUCUCAGUUACUCCUGUAGGCGAUGUUUGCUGCAUGGAAUGAUUUUUGUCAGUGUGCCCGUCAAAGAUUGCUAUGAUUGAAGGCAUUGUUGCUGAGAUAAAAUAUUCUGCUGCUGCUGCUUUAGCCAGCGCUGCCACACUGGUAAUCUUGGAAUUGCAGUGGCUCCCUCAUUUAUGACUUCUCCAUAACAUUUACAAAUCCCACCAAGAAGCACACCUUUCCUGAAAAAUAAACUGAACUUAAGCAUAGCAAUACAGAGUGUCUGUCUACUACAAAGUUGCAAAUGAGCUGAUUGUGCUGUAAUGUCCCAGGAUGAGAACCAUGGUCAUAUGACCUUCCAGCACACAUUCCACCUAUUUGUUUACAGCAUAGCGAAGUUAUCUCCAAUGCAAAGCGAGGUUAUCAAUUUCAAAAUAUAUGAAGCAGCAAAUCGACAAGGAUCUCUAAUAAUUUGGUACAUAUCAAAUAAAAUCGAUGCAAUCGAAAUGCAUAUCUCUAGGAGAAAUCAUCCUAGGGAAAUGUAGCUAAAAAAGCCAAACCAAACUAGGAAAAGAACACAAAUACGUGUACAUAAUUAAGAGCCCUUUGGCUGUUCGGAGGUAUUAUAAUUUCAAUGCCGUCAUCAGAUUUUCAGACAUGAACCCGCAGAUAGGUCAUUAAAAAGUGCAUGCGAAACUUCUCUGCUCAUAUCUCUGAAAGAAUUUGAUUGCCAGAAAAGGAAAAGAUUGGUACUUACCUCAAUUCGUUUAAGGUUUGAACACGAGGGAACAAUUUGCAGUUGUGCUUCAAAAAGCUUCCAAGUGCAACGUGCACUUAUUCAUCAUCUUCUUCAUCGUAUUCUUCCACAAAUUUUUCUUCUUCAUUGUCUUCUUCCACAAAUUCGUCUUCUUCAUCCUCUCCCACAAAUUCAAUUGACUUCUCCAAGCAAAGCAAGAAAUUUCCUCCACAUCUAAUUUCCUGCAUCCUCUUAUUGUGACCUCUCGCAGUCUAUUCAAGCUUGACAGCUCAGGCAACUUCUGUAAAGAUUCACAGCUGUCAAUAUACAAUGUUUCCAAAGAUUGGGGUAGUUCGCCUUGAAUCUCAACCAGAUUAUGACAAUCUCUUACUGAAAGACCUAUUAUUCCGUCCAAAUUGCUUAGAUCAGGGAUCUGCAUCAGUAUAUUCAAUCCUUUGAUUGUGACCUAUCGCAGUCUCUUCAAGCUUGACAGCUGAGGCAACUUCUGUAAAGAUUCACAGCUGUCAAUCCACAAUGUUUCCAAAGAUUGGGGUAGUUCGCCUUGAAUCUCAACCAGAUUAUGAUAAUCUCUUACUGAAAGAUAUCUUAUUCCAUCCAUAUUGCUUAGAUCAGGGAUCUGUAUAUUCAAACCUUUGAUUGUGACCUCUCGCAGUCUCUUCAAGCUUGACAGCUCAGGCAACUUCUGUAAAGAUUCACAGCUGUCAAUCCACAAUUUUUCCAAAGAUUGGGGUAGUUCGCCUUGAAUCUCAACCAGAUUAUGACAAUCUUCUACUGAAAGAUCUGUUAUUCCGUCCAAAUUGCUAAGAUCAAGGAUCUGUAUAUUCAAACCUUUGAUUGUGACCUCUCGCAGUCUCUUCAAGCUUGACAGCUCAGGCAACUUCUGUAAAGAUCCACAUUCAAUAAUCUCCAAUUCUUCCAAAGAUUGGGGUAGUUCGCCUUGAAUCUCAACCAGAUUACCACAGGAUUCAAUGUUCAAGUAUUCGAAAGAUUGGGGUAGUUCGCCUUGAAUCUCAACCAGAUUAUGACAAUCUCUUACUGAAAGAUAUCUUAUUUCGUCCGAAUUGCUAAGAUCAGGGAUCUGUAUAUUCAAACCUUUGAUUGUGACCUCUUGCAGUCUCUUCAAGCUUGACAGCUCAGGCAACUUCUGUAAAGAUCCACACCAUUGAAUCCACAAUGUUUUAAAAGAUUGGGGUAGUUUACCUUGAAUCUCAACUAGAUUACCGCAGGAUUCAAUGUUCAAGUAUUCCAAAGAUUGGGGUAGUUCACCUUGAAUCUCAACCAGAUUAUGACAAUAUUCUACUGAAAGAUCUUAUUCCAUCCAUAUUGCUUAGAUCAGGGAUCUGUAUAUUCAAACCUUUGAUUGUGACCUUUCGCAGUCUCUUCAAGCUUGACAUCUCAGGCAACUUCUGUAAAGAUUCACACUGUUGAAUCCGCAAUGUUUCCAAAGAUUGGGGUAGUUCGUUUUGAAUCUCAACCAAAGAUUUACAGCUGUCAAUAUCCAAUGUUUUCAAAGAUUGGGGUAGUUCACCUUGAAUCUCAACCAGAUUAUGACAAGAUUCUACUCUAAGAAGUGUUAUUCCAUCCAUAUUGCUUAGAUCAGGGAUCUGCAUCUGUUUAAAGCCAGAAAGCUGGAACCGAUCUCCACUUAAAUAUUCAAAACUUUGAUUGCCAAUACGCACAUACACAUAAACAUGUGUCUUACCCAUUAUGCUGAACGGAUCGGGGAACUCCUGUAACGAAUCACAGGAACAAAUUUUAAGUUUAUCCAAAAACCGUGGUAGUUCACCUUGAAUCUCAACCAGAUUACCACAAUCGAUUACUUCAAUAUGCCUCAGCGUGUUUAACUUGCUUAGAUCAGGUAGCAUCACCAGCUGUACGACGUGCCAAAGGCGGAAAUCUCGUAGGUUCUCCAAACAACCAAGGCCUUCAAUCUUUGCAACUGUAGAGCAGCAAAUGUCGAGAGACGAUAGUUUCCUCAAAUUCGAUAGAUCCAUCGAGCAAAGUGAGUCGCAACCAGAGAGACAUAAGACGGAUAAACUUGAGGGAAGCCUCAGGAGGAGAGGCGGAUGAGGAGGGAGGCUGAGGUCUGUCGAUGAGGCGGUCCCCCCGAAAAAGCGCAGUAGCAGAGAUUCCAAUUUGCUUAAGUUCCCAAUCCACCGUGGUAUCCGUUUUUCUAGGAGCCCAUCAGAUUUCCCAUCACAGUUAGGUGGGCCAAAGCCCAGAUGCAAUACCUUUAAGUUAGCGAGAUUUGAGAGAUCCGGAAACGUGUCCACCCUCAACUCCUCCACUACUAAUUCGAUGAGACUUUCAGGAAACCUUGGUAGGGCGUGUACUCCCGGCCAUCCCAAUAUCUCCUCCCAUGGACCCCCGUAUAAGCAAUAGCCACUUAUUGCAUGGGCAUGCGUGACAUGAUUAUAACGGUCAGCGAUUUCCAUUCCCUUGACCUUCCCCAUCUUCUUACAAGCAUCAUUGUUCGUUCUUUUUUCGAAACCAUUCUGCAUCUUCAUUACUUUCAAAUUCUUCAACAUUCCAAUGGAAUCGGGUACUUCUUCGAUGCUCGUGUGACUUAUGUCCAACUUAGUUAGCGAAUCCCAAUUUCCAACCGUCUCCGGAAGCCUCUGAAGAUUCCAACAAUUGCUUACAUCUAAGAAAAUUAAGCGUUUCAACUGACAAAUUGAUCCAUCAAUUUCGAUUAAUGAUUCACAGCCUGAUAGGAUCAAAUGUUCUAAAUUUGAAUGAGCUGAGAAGUUGGGGAUUCUCUUCAAGUGUUGGCAAUGGGCCAGAUUUAGAACUUUCAAAUUCUUAAUCACCUGUGAAAGAAAAAUCAUGCACAGUUUACUUUCGAAUUUAAUGAGACGGAAGAACAAGUAUCGUCUAGCAUAUAACAUACCUUCAUGUGGCUCCACCCCUUCCAAUCAUUUGUAAUUUGACUCUGAGAUAGAUCAAGAACAAUCACAUUUUCCAUGGAGAAAUUUGUAAUCUCAAAUGUUGGGCAAAUGUUAUGCCAAGAAAGCCAUCGUAAUUGUGGAAGGAGAUUUGAAUUCUCCUGGAAAAAAUUAAUUGGAAGACAAUUUGAUAGCCAUUCGAGACAACAAAGCUCCUUUUUGGCACAACAAUUUUCCUUCAAGUCGUAAACUUCAAGGAACGUUAGAUUUGGUAGGCCCUUAAAGUCCUCAUGGGUAAAUUGAUGCUGAUGCUCAAACUUGAGAUGAAGAGCAACGACUUCUUUUUUUUCCUGCCCAAAGGAAAAAUUCUAAAUAAAAAAAAGUUGAAAGGAAACACAUUUAUUCAAGUUCACUAUUUUAAGGGGUUGAAUUGAGUACUAUCAUUCCUUUAGAAUCUUAAAAGAGAAAAAAUAUUGGUUGAAUAGGUCGAGAUGGUGCUAUAGAACACAAAAAGUAACUGCCUUUUUUUGGAAAAGACAAUGUCUAUAAGUAACUUGGAGAUGUAAUGCACAAGGCAUUUUACCUUAUGUAUCUUCAUUAGAUUUAAUCCUUCCUCGGGAUUCCACACCCGAUGUGGCUUCUCCAUAUUCAUCCCUCUUUCUUGACAAACUAUUGCUCUUCCAAGGUCUCUGAGUUGAUCAUGCAUCCACAAUAUAUUAUCUUCUCCAAUCUUUAUUAAAGACAUGUUCUGUAAAACUUCCAAGGCUGCUUUCAAAAAAGGUUUAGGUGCAUCCCAGAAAUAAACCACAAUGUCUUUGCAACAUCCAAUGAAAUGACAAGCUAUAUCAAGGAGUAUACGUUUCUGCAAAUCAUUUAAUGCAUCAUAACUUAUUUUCAACUUAUCUUGAACUUUACCAUCGGGAACACUUUCUAGCGUAUUCAAAGUGUCAUCCCACUCUUCCUUAUUUUUGUUGGAUAAAAGUGAACCUAUGACCAUAAUGGCUAAUGGAAGACCUCCGGCAAUGUGUACCGCCCUCAUGGAUUGGCUGAUAUAGUUGUUUGUAAGAGACUCUCCUCUAAAAGCAUAUUUUCUAAAAAGUUGAAGAGAUUGAUACGAAUUCAAGCACGUAAGCUCAUACCUCCAGUCCACUUCCCAAACAUCGAGAACAUCUUUCCUUCUUGUAGUAACAAUAAGUUUGCUCCCUUCACCAAACCAAUCACGCUUACCGACAAGUGCAUCCAUAUGCUCAUUUUCUUCCACAUCAUCAAGAAGAAGGAGGACUUUUUUAAUACGCAAUCUUUCUUUAAUUAUCUCCUUCCCUUCAUCAAUGUUUCUUAUCACCUGUUGUAUCUUAAGGAUGUCACGGAUGAGCUGUUGCUGCAAGUACUCAAUGCCCUUGCGCUUUGACGUGUCACGGAUGUCGGAAAGGAAGCAACAAUUGUCGUACUUGUUGGAAAGCUCAUUGUAGAUGAUUUUGGCAAUUGUUGUCUUUCCAACGCCACCCAUCCCAUGAAUUCCUAUGAUCCGCGUUUCACUUGUGUGAGCACCAAUCUUUUCCAUGAUUUCAUGCACAUGGUGGUCCACACCAACCAAGUUGUUCGAUACCGCCAAAUAAGCCUUCUUCAACUCAUUGAAAACCUUAUGGGUAAUUAUUUUUACGAUCUCACCUUCAUCCCUAGUGUUUGUUGGAGGUCAAAUGGUAAAGUUAGAAAACUGUAUUAAACCAAACUAUGUUCUCACAAGACCAAAGUGAAAACUAAAGACCUAUUCGAAAUGCUUUCUACAAGGAUUUACUCCAUUGUAAAUGAAUUAGCGUUGGGACAUAUGGUUAAUGAAUGACCUUAACUAGAAAAAAAAAGGUUAUUUGGAAUGAAAAACGACAAAUUUGGGAUUGUACCACUAUUUCGUGUGAUUUCUGCAGUAUAAUUGCAAUAGCAUAAAAUUCAAUUUCAACAAGGCUAACACAAAUCUAGAAAAGAAACCAAUUGAACCACAUUAAAGGUUUUAAUGGUACAAGGCACAUCAAAUGGAAUGAUAGAGGUAGUCACCUGUUGGUCUUGGUGUGCAAAUCCCACCCGCUUAUUGCCGCAACUGCAUUCAGAGCAUCCUUCCAUUGACGCAUAGUCUCUUCGUCAUAUCGAUUCUUCUCUUUAUGUAAAAAAAAGGCGUCUCCAUAACCCGUACCCUUAGGUUGGUGUCGAACCUCUAAAGGUGCCACAUCAUAAAAAAUGGGCAUGAUCUUUUGUCCCCUAGUUUUUUGGCACUCAUCCAUUUGGACUAGCUCCUUAAGACACCAUACGCUAGAGGCAUAACCUUUCGAAAAUAUAGGUAUUGAGAUCUUUGAUUGAUUAAUUGCUUGGAGAAGUUCUGGGCCAAAUUUUUCCCCCUUGCGGAGCUCUUUGGCAUCCUUAUAAACGCGGAUUCCCGCAUCUAUCAUACUAGUGUAAAGGAAGCUGGUAAAACCUAUUCGAGUAUCCUCUCCUCUGAAGCUCAAGAAUACUUCAUACGCGCUCCCUGCUAUUCCAUCAUUUUUAUAGGUAUGUUGUGUUUCUAUGCUCCCCUCCAUUGAUUUACUCGAUCUGAUCUUCAAGAAAUACUGAACAGCGUAUCAGGAUGCAAGAAGCCAAAUUUCACCUGAUAAAAUUUAGAUAAUCUUGGUAAUUUACUAAUCACACUGAUAAAAUUUCAUAAGAAAUGGUAAUUUACGAAUAUUUUGUCAGUCAACAACCAGAAGGUUCCAAGCUUGAAAUACACUGGUGAAUGGAAGAAUAGCAGAGAUGAGAGCUAGAGAGCUCAAUAUCAGGAUGCAAGAAGCCAAGUCUCGAAUCAGACGAUUACUACAGUACUGUGGAAUAUUUGGAAGUCAAGAAACCAGGCCAUCUUCAAGAAUAGAAAACCAUAACCAAGCAACCUUGUGGAGUCUGCUUUAGCUGGGUUGAAGAGUUCAACAGAUGGAACCCAAAAUCGAGCGAAUCUAGUAAGACUAGGGACGGAUCGUCACGAUUUUGGAACCCACCGCAGGCUGGAACACUAAAGAUAAACAUAAACGGUGCCUACGAACCUGGAGUUACUGGAGGCUCGAUCGCUUGCGUUUGUCGUGAUUUCGCCGGGAGGUUGGUGGACGGGGUGGUGCGAGUAGUAGCGGCGCCUUCUGUGUUUGGGGUUGAGGCUCUUGCCCUCUUAUAGAAGUCCCAACUCAUCCAUAUCCUCAAAGAGUAGUGCUACUGUGUAAAAAAAGAAAAAGAAAAAGAAUUAUUGAUCAAACGGUGGCCGCCUAGCAAUCAACUAUCAAGGUAACUAACCCACCGGGACCACAACCAUCAUUCACGGCGAGAAUCCAAGGAAAAUCUCGUCAAAAAAAGCAAAGUGAUAGAAAUAAAGCAAGAAAAGCAAAGAAAAAGAAGAUGGGUCAAUCCUAAUGUGGAAAAGAAGACCCACCAAUGCUUUAGCGUGUGCCUUUGGUCGUCCAAGUCUUCGGAGACUUGGCUCAUUCAUGGGUGUGAAUCCUUCUUGGAGCAAAGCAGGUUCAUCAUGGACGGUUGGUAGUCCAAGUCUUCGUAGACUUUGAUUUUGCCCUUCUAAUCCCGUGAUGUUUCGGUCUUCAUUAAUUAAUUACUUCCAGUAAUAUAAAUAAUAAUUAUCAUUCAUGAAAAUAGAAUAUUAACUUUACCAAAGGUGGGAUGGAAUAUAUUUUUGUUUUGCUUUUUCCUUUUUCUCUAUGUGCUUGAGACCUUACGUUGUCCACCAUCUUUUUGGCAUUUCACUUUUGUUCUUCUCCUUUUUGGGACAAGAAAGAAUAUGAAGGAAUAUGAUUGUUCACUUUGGAUCUUUUUAUUAGCAUCAAUUAUAUGGUCUAUCGGCAUACAAAUCUGACAUUUAUCAAAAGUCUUAUUUUUCGGUUUGGAUCUUUUUUCGGUUUGGGUUCAUCAAUGACGUUGUCAUGCAAACACUCAUACAAUUUUGUUCCAGAGGGUAGUACUUUUCCCAAAUUGCCCCUCACGAUCUUCCUUCUUAGUUUGAUAAAAAAAAAAUCAUAUUUGGAAAAUUUGUUUAUGUAAUUUCCAAUGUUUGAAUCAUGUAAAGCUAUUCGAUCCAUAAAAAUGUUUACCAUGAGCUAAAAGUAAUUAAUAAGCUUAAGGAAAAAUGACUUGGCAAGAAGAAUCAUUUUCCCUGAUAUCUAUCCUAAUUUCUUUGUAAUCGUUGUUAUUUUGAUGGAUUAUAGAAUAAAGGAUGAUGAUGUCAUAUCCAACUUAUUAGUCAUUACAUGUUACUUUUUGACUAUACAAGCCACAUUUAAUGAAUUCACUUAUUAUUAGUUACGAUAAAAUCAAUUUCUUCAACUUGUUUUCAGCACAAUCAAAAAAAAUUUUGGUUUACUUUUUUUUUAUAUUGAAUUUCCUAGAACAUUUUCCUGCUACAAAAAAAAUUCUUAACGAGAUAAGCACAACCUAAAGUUUGUUUUCAUACGAUGUUAUUCAAAGAAAGGAAAUGGUAAGAUAGAAUUAUCAAUGGAUAGGGGAAUUGAACAUCAAUUUGUUAUCAUGUGAUUUUUGGGGGUAUAUGAGAGAACCAUGAAUAGUGUUGGAUUUUGCAGGGUGAUCUUGACAUGUUUUUUGCAGUGUUGGAUGCACUUUUUUUUUUUUUAUCAAUGAACAAAAAAUGUCUUUUUAUGGAUCACGGUACAGUGUGACAUUCAAUUUUUUUUUAUUUAACUAUUUGUAGAGCUUUAUAUUAACCCUUAGGCCUUAGGUUGAUUUUUCGUCAUAUAAAGAAUUUUUUUUAGGAUUUCGAAAACUAAUUCGAUAUUGACUUUACCCUUCUAAUCCCGUGACGUUUUAGUCUUCGCAUUACCCCCUACGCUAUUCUGUCUUAUUUUUUUCCUCUCUUUCUCAGAGUGGUAGCUAAUGUGAUUUUAAAUCUAAUGAUAGUAUUUCGAUGCAGGGCAAGACUACAUGUAUACAACACUUUCAUUCUUUUCAUUCGGUUAAAUUAGAUGGUAUCAACUUUUCUAUUAAUUGAUGACAUGAUUGGAUAGACUAUUUAAAGAUCAAAGUUUUUCUAAACAGAUGGCAUUUGUUAUGCAAGUAUUUUUCAAGUUUCUAAAUCAAUUUCGAGGCUACUAAAUAUUUCUUAUUUUACGAUAGAAAAAAGCCACUUCACAAUUAAUGUUUUACGAUAUAGAAUUGACAGAAACCAAAAUAGCCAAAAUCAACUUCUAUCAACCAUUUCGUAGACAAUCUAAGUUAUUCGUAAAGAGUUGGCCCAUAAAAUAUCAUAAGCUUUUCAUGGUAUGGAUGACAGUCAAUCCCAUGGUGAAUGCAUGAAGCAUUGCCUCCUCUCCAUUGAUCUCUCUUGAUCUUCUCUCGGAGAAAAAAAAUUCGAACUGUACAGCAACACAAUCAGUACAGCACAUUGCGAAAUCAAAAUCACUUUUAGAAGCCAAAAUUACAAAUGGUCAUCUCUGUGGGUCAUUAAACGUAGGAGACAGGAUUGGCUAACCAUGCUGAGAGUCGGGGGCCAGUUUGUAUUUUAAUAAUAUAGUCUUCGUAGAGUUUGCUUUCACCCUAAAAGGGAACCGCACGGUGUCCAAUGCAUCUUCCUUCUUCCUCUAAAUUACCCGACGGCACCGUGUGGCGAUAAAUGCCCACGCCGUUCCCUACAAAUUUACAGGAAUGACAGGGCACGAGACCCACUCACAACUUUGCUUGUACAUAAUUGUAGUGUCACUUUUGGGACAGGAGUGUGUCCCAGUCUCAGUCGGGGAAAAAGUAUCGAGGCUGUUUUGGGGAAAACGCCCCCUUCUGUUUUUCGUGUUCUCUAAACCUAAAAUAUACAAUAGAAGUUCAGGAAAAAUGGCAAUUUCAAUGGGGACACGCGGGCUGAAAAUCCAUAAUUUUAGGGUUGCCCUGCAAAAUGCGGCAUGUGGACUGGAUUACACCUCUCUUCACUUCCUAUUCUUCGAGCAAGUCUUGCCCGCUCGUGCACCAGGGCAUGUGAACCCGACUCAUGCACGAAUAGCUCAUCUGAAUUCUCCAUAGAGUCCAUCUCAUCCAUCGAAUGACCCCGAAUUGAUAUAGCAUCUUCUUCCUAUUAAUUGGCUCCUGCUUCACUGCACCUGAUAUCAUCAGUCCCCUCAUGUGAGUCAUGUGACCACCGACGAUUGAUAGCUCUACUUUCCAUCCACCAGAAUCAUGGCCACCUAUCCUUUUUCGCCUGCUCCUCGCCUCUCUCCUCUAUCAAUUGCGUUUUGUCUUUUUGUUGCUACCAAAAUACCCAAAUGCCCUCUUGGCAAGGAAUUUAUUUAUCCUUUUUCUUUUUGGGUAUUGAUUUUGAUGAUAAACAGGGACGAGGGCCUCUCUCCGUUCCUAAAAAAAUCAAGCGAAUUAACCAAGUCAAGCCCCGACACCAUGGCCAUUCAACCACAAAUUUGUGGCCAUGCGAGACUAGCGACCUCUGUCAGUCGCGAGUUCCACGGACAUAGGUUAUGAGAUCUGUGAGGAAAGAAAACAAGAUGAAGGCGUAGAGGACAGACUCGAGUGGGCAAGGCGUUAACUCGCCGGUGGAUUGAUGCAUGAAGUUGAGGGCUAGUGAUGGCAAUGGGUGGACAGCAAAUUCGACGACAUUGAGUGCGUGAUUCCAUAAAAAAUCCUAAACAUUUAUAUUUACCAUAUUACCAAUUAUCCAAAUUGUAUUUUUAUCAUCAAAAUCCCAAAUUUAUAUGGUAAUUAAAAAAACAUGUUCCAUCAAAGUAUGGUCUGAGAUGAAUUGGCAUCUUGCUUGGAUAGCGACGAACUUACAAAUCUGAACUUUGCAAUUUUUAGAGUCAAAGUUUAAGUUUUUGAAAGAAAACUGGACUAAGCAACUUUUAGGGUCCAAGAAGUGAGAUAAUCCACUUCGCGGUCUUUCUUGCAAAAGAAAUGAGCUACAAUUUAAACUUCAAAGGAAAAGUGGGGUGGAAUACAAAUUAUUGCUUUGCUUUUAUCCUUUUCCGCUUCGCGCUUGAGACUCACAUUCAUCCACCUUGAUUUUAGCAUUUCGCAUCUGGUCUUACUCCUUUUCGGGAGAAGAAAGCAUACGAUGGGUCUCUCUUUAUUUGGAUGAAGAGACGGAAGUAUUCAACAUGGCCAGGUUUAGAAUUUUAUCUUUCCUUUUAUUUAGUUUUUUUUCUAGGUAAACUUCGUUUAAACUCCACGACAACUCCUUCCAUGUCGUUCCUUGACCUUUUCGCACGUUUCUUCCUUUGCUCCAAAUCCUUGAUUUUCCCCUCGUUGUCACUGCUCUUUGCUCACACGCCUAGAAAACCCUAGCCCAUGCCCAUGCCCAUGCCCAUGGUCAUUCCCGGUGAUUGACGAGCUGACUUCCUCAAAGUUGCCGGGGAGUGCAUGAUUGGUAUGAAUGCUCCAACACCACCAAGACCUUCAGAUUUCGAUGGGUACGAUGUGGACUAAAUGAACCUAUUUGUAUUUGAUAAGGACGACAUGGAGGAAACACAUGGCGGGGCAGCCAAGGAGGAAAAAUAAAAUCCUGCAAGAUCCAAAGGUGUAAACUGUUUGAUUCCAAAAUUCAUAAGCUCUUCAAUCUUUACAUACGUCCAUCCAAAUCUGACAAAAGGAAAAUUUAAAAUUGAAGCAAUUAAUCGCGAUUGACUCAAUGAGUCAAAAAAGACUUUUGGGAAAUAUCGAAUUCAUCGAUUCGAGACCAACAAAGAUCAAAUUUGUUCUUUGAUAGCUUUAACUUUGAUUAAACUCCACUAAACUUUUGUUUCAGUAAACGAAACUGCAAAGGUGUCGUUGUAGAUUUUAUUUUUUUAAAAAUAAGACUCUUUGCAUUAAGCGUCCUCCUAUACCGUUCAGAAGCUCCAAGAAGAAGAGAAAAUAGGUGGAUCCCAUUGCCUUAACUCCUCUCUUUUUAAAGGAGAAGAGAGACUUUUCAUAUUAGUUGGCUUUAACUAUCAAAGACCUUUGUCCCUUCACCACAGAAAUAUCAAGCAAAUAAAAAGGAAAGAUCUUUUUGAAUGACUUUUGGGGAGGUCAUUGUACUUAGAAGCCACAGGAUUGGCUGAAUAUGUAGAGAGAGUCAUGAGCCAAUUUGCUGCAAAAUUUGGUCAAGAAGGAUGACUCCUUGAAGCAUCGCUCCAGCCCGUCGAAGUUGACAAUUAUGUACGUUUCUUAAUGCGGAAAAUCACUGGACCAUAUGAUGCAGAAAUUUUGGUAUUAGAAUCGACUUUUGCCUCCCAAAUAAAAGGUUGAUCAUUCAAAGUCAAGUCAACAAAAGCAUACAUCAAAUUUUCACAAUUGACCACUCUACCAGUUUGGGAUUUUAUUAUCUAUUUAUCACAUGUGUACUGGUUUGUGUUUUUUCUUAGUAUUAUUCAAUUUAACGGAAACUAAUUAAGGACAAACUUCUCACAAAUGUGUUAGUUUGGAGUUUUUGGUGAUAAAAAAAAAUUGGAUAAAUUUAUCACGGAUAUAUUAGUUUGAGAUUUUUUUGUGGUAUUAACCCUAAAAACAAUAAGCUUAGAGAAAUAUGACUUGGCAAGAAGGAAUCAUUACCCUUGUUUUCUUGCUAAGCUUUGAAGUGAGAAGAAUAUAUUAUUGAUGCUCAAUUUUUCUACAUUCCCAAAGCACGAUUAUAUCUAAUAUUUUACAAAUACGAUUUUGUAAUUUCUAUCUUAAUUUCUUUGUAAUCAAUGUUAUUUCGAUGGAUUAUAGAAUAAAUGAAGAAGAUAUCAAUUCUAGUUGAUUAGUCAUUCCAUGUUAAUUUUAAUGAUACAAGUUGCAUUUAGUGAACUCACUUAUUACCAAUUACAGUAAAAUCAGUUUUUUUUUUCAACUUGUUUUCACCAUAAUCAAAAUUUUCCAAUUCCCUUUCUCUGAAAUUGAAUUUCCUAAAAGCAUUUUCCCGUCGCAAAAAAAGUUCUCAGCGACAUAAAGACAUCCUUAGAGGUUGUUUUUAUUUGAUUUUUGAAUCUCAUAUGAAAUUAUAGAAUCGAAGGAAAUCAUCCAAUGAAAUUAUUUUUUUUUUUGGUAAAGGUAAGAUAUAUAUUAAGAAAAGCCAAAUGUACAAAAGAUCUCGUCACCAGUAACUUGCACUCCAAAUGUAGUACCAAAAGAAGUGGAAGGGUGACGAGAUGCAAAAGCCGCAGAGGCGGCACAACAACAACAACAACAAGGCCAAACUAAGCACGGCUAGCUCGACCAGCUAUCAAGCAGAGACAAAAAACAAAGAGGAGGCCAUCGUCUGAUCUAGGACCUAAGGGUCCCCAUUGAAAAUAAUCGGGUCUAGACUCCAACUUCUCUGCAGCCUUUUGUUUCUGAAAUUGUCUUCGACGUUCCUGAAGGUGAUAGCCUUGUCGCGAACCACUUUAAAGAUGUGGUUUUUAAUGGUCGGAAUAGAGAGAGGCUGGUCUCUAAAGAUGAUGGCAUUCCUAUUUUUCCAAAUGAUAUGACACAACACGCCAAAUGAAAAACGGGCUAUGCACUUAUAGAAAUCUUUCCCCAUCAAAUAGGUAGUUGCCCACCUGAAAUUCUCCCCCCAACCUCUGUUGCGCCAGGGUAAAUUGCAUCUGGACGCCCAAAAGAAGGCAACGCUAGCCGUGACACAGCAGUCAAAAAACAAGUGGUCAAGAGAGUCAGGCACAUUCUUGCAAAAUGCACAGGUAGCAUUUCCAAUAAUACCAUAGGCCAAAAGGAGGUCCUGGGUUGGAAGCCUACGUCUGGCCAUGAGCCAAAGAUUAAGUUGAUAUCGAGGCACUAUGGCGUUGUCCCAUACAAAGGAGUACCAGUGGACCCGCGUCCUCUUCUUCCUGAUGAAGUUCCACGCCGAUGCCAUAGUGAAUUGGCCCGAAGAGCUUCCUCGCCAACAGCAACGAUCCGGGUCAUUCGUCAGGGUCGGAAGAGGUUGCCCCCACGAUUGAAGCACCAAUCUAAGAGCUUGGCCAGCAUCUGAGAAGAGGUCAGCAACACAAGCUUGUCUAGAGAGCCCUGAACUAUAGAUAAGAGAGUCUGAAAAGAACAGGUUCAAGGGCCCUCUAGGAUGCCAGUUGUCAAACCACAGAGAGGUUGUUUGGCCAUCGCCAAUUUUCCAGACGAAUGCCAUCCUAAAAUUCCUUCUUAGGGUCAACAAGCUCUUCCAGGCCCAGGAGCCAGAAGUUGGCUUCCUAGCAACCUAAAAAUUCUUGUUUUUUAAGAACGUGGAAUGGACCCGUCUACACCAAAGCGCUUCCUUGUCGGAGAACAAGAUCCAAAUAUGCUUUAGCAUGGAGGCUUUAUUGCAAUCUUGGAGCCUCCUAACACCUAGCCCUCCUUCAUCCUUUGGAAGGCAAACGUCAUCCCAGGCUACCUUCGUACCACCCCUGCCUAGGUCCGGACCUUUCCAUAGGAAUUGUCUAAAUAUUUUCUCUAUCUGUUCUAUCACAACUGAAGGUAAGACAAAGACACUAGCCCAGUAGGCUUGUAUAGCAUGAAGAACUGACCUGAUAAGCUGAAGCCGACCAGCAAUAGAGAGGAAACAGUGAGUCCAAGACUGAACCCUUGUAGUGAUGCGAUUGACCAGGGUACAACAGUCUGCUUUAUUGAUUCUCGAAGUGAUAAUGGGAACCCCCAAGUACCGAACUGGCAGGCUUCCUUCUCGAAAGCCCAACUCCAAUAGAAUAUUAUUCCUUAGGGAAGGAUUGCCACCCGCCAAGAAGAUUUCACUCUUGCACGAGUUAGGACGAAGGCCACUCCAGGAGGAAAAUAUGUUUAGAGCUUCCUUAAGGAAAGUUACCGAAGGAAGGUGCGCCUCACAAAAAAGGAAGACAUCAUCUGCAAAGAAGAGAUGUGAAAGACCCACUGCCUUGCACCUCCAAAAGAAUUUGAAAUCAGGCCUCGAGGAUUGCUUAAGAAUGAUCCCUGAGAGCACUUCCAUGACCAUAGUGAAAAGGUAAGGAGAGAUGGGAUCCCCUUGGCGAAGACCUCGACCACUCGCAAAAAACCCGUGGAGCUCUCCAUUCAAGGCAAUUGAGAAUUUCGGAGUGCGAACACACGUCAUAAUUAGGCUAGUGACAGAGUGAGGAAAGCCAAAGGCCAGCAUGACAUUCUCAAGGAAGCUCCAAUCCACCGUAUCAUAUGCUUUCCUGAAGUCCACCUUUAUCGCACAUUUAGGUAGAUAAGGCUGAAGGUGAAAGCUAGAGAAUAGCUCCUGGGCCAGUAAUAUAUUGUCCCUAAUUCGUCUACCUUUUAUAAAAGCAGUCUGAAAAGGGCCUAUCAUGUUCUUCAAAGCUAGGGCCACCCGAUUAGCUAGCACCUUUGUAAUACACUUGUAGAUAGUGUUACAACAGGCGAUAGGCCUAUAAUCCUCCACAGAUGUGGCGUUGAGCACUUUCGGAACCAUUACCAAGAUGGUAUUGUUAACCUCCCUCAAGAGUUUUCCGGAAUUGAAGAAGUCCAACACUGCAGUCGUUACUAAGGGACCUACCGUGUCCCAGUUUUCUUUGAAAAACUCCGCUGUGAAACCAUCUGGCCCAGGAGCCUUUUUCUUGGGCAAAGAGAAGAUAGUGUUCCGGAUCUCUAUCUCUGUAACUGGUUGAGCAAGAAGAGCAGCCUGAUCAAUCGAAAGUGGAUGUUGGAUAACCUCUCUCGAGUCCUCUAACGAAGGUCUACUAAUCUCCCCUUGUGGCAUCAAGAGGUCCUCAAAGAACUCUACAAACCUUCGUUGCACCAGGCGUGGCUCCGUCAGUAUGUUCCCCGAAGAGUCGAGGACGGAUAGGACUCUGUUCCUUACCUGUCUUUUGUUAACAUAUUGAUGGAAGAAUUUGGUAUUUCGGUCUCCCUCCUUGAGCCAUCUAACCCUGGACUUUUGCCUGAAGAAGGACUCUUCCGAGGAGCGCAACUCUGCAAAGAUACAUCUUUGGCUUUUCUCCACCUCAGAAAGGUCGGCAGAAAAGGGAUUUAGUUGUAAUUCUACUUGGGUGGCCUCCAUCAUCUUCCGCGCAUCAAGAGUUCUAGCAGAUAUAUUAGAGAAGGAAUCUCUGUUGAGUUGCUUAAGCCGACAUUUGAGAGCCUUGAGUUUAGAGACAAGCUUGUACAUAGGGACACCAUUCCCCGGCGCAUUCCACACUUGUGAGACAAUUUCCUUGAACUCCGGGUGCUUCAUCCAGAAGUCGAAGAACUUGAAGGGCUUCCUUGUAUGAGUCGGAUUAAGAAUCUUCACCACCAUAGGCGAGUGGUCCGAGAUUCCAGGAGCAAGGAAGGAGGCUUCUGAGUAAGAUAGAUCCAAGCUCCACUUUGCAUUCACUAGAACCCUGUCAAUCUUUCUUGCUUUCCUAGUAUGCCCUAAAGACGUAGUCCAAGUGUAUCUAAACCCAACGAACCUCAAGUCUUCCAGCUCAACUUGCUCCAAGCACUGUCCAAACUCAUUGAAACAAGGGAGCCAAUCUUCGGAGCCACCGACCCGGUCCGAUGGAUCCUUAAUAGCAUUGAAGUCCCCCAAGACAAGCCAAGGAGUGUCUCGGAGAUGGGUGCUUUUCAUGAUGAUGUCUUCCCACAGCGGUCUCCUCAGCGAAAAGGAGUGAUCUCCAUAAACAAAAGAAACACAGCAAGCCACCCCAGAGUCUAGGCUCUCAAGGUUCCCAUGAAUCCAAUGAAAUUAUUGAUGAAUAUGAGAAUUGGAAAUCGAUUUGUUGCCAUGUAAAUUUUGUGGGUGAAUGAGAGAACGAGGAGUCGGUGUUGGACUUGACAAAGUGAUUUCGUGACAUUUUUUUCCCUUCUUUUUGAUAAAAUCUCCACGUUCAUGGAUGCCCGUCUGUGAGGGAAAAAGUACCAAAUGAAUGAAUCAUUGGUGUGAUUCCUGCCUGAGCAAAGCUGGUUCAUCAUGGACUGUUGGUAGUCCAAGUCUUCGUAGACUUUGACUUUGCCCUUACCAAUAAGCUGUUAUUUUAUUUAUUUAUUUUCUUUGGAGAGUGGUAGUUAAUGCAAUUUUUAAUCUAAUGAUUUUAUUUCGAUGCAAGGCAAAACUAUAUGUAUACCACAUUUCGCUUGAUAACUAAAAAUUUUAUGUUUCACGAUAAAAAAAAAAAAAAAUAGCUACUUCACAACUGAAGUUUUACAAUACCAACUCAACAAUAACCAAGGUAAGUUGCAUUGUCGACCGUUUUUAACCAAUAAAAGUCACUCAUAAAGUGUUGAUAGGUACGAUAUCAUAAUAUUUUCACAGUCUGGAUUAUGAUCAAUCCAAUGAUGAAUAAAAUAAGCAUUGCCUUCCCUCUGUUGAUCUCACUUGAUCUUUUCUUUGGGAGACAAUUCAGACAUGGAAAAAAGUUCAGAGACUACUUAUUAGGUGCUGCUAGGCCAAAAAAAAAAAAAAAAAUCCUUGAUCAAGCAGUGGCCGCCAAUCAAUCAACUAUCAAAAUAAUUAACUCACUAGAGACCUCAAACGUCCCUGAGGAUCCAAGGAAAAUCUUGUCAAAAAAGCUAAGUGAUAAUGAAAGAAAUAAAGCAAUACAGCAAAGAAAAAGAAGACAAAUCCUAGCGUGGAAAAGAAGACCCACCAAUGCUUUAGCACGUGCCUUUGGUAGUCCAAGUCUUCGUAUACUUGGGUCAAUCUUUGGUUUGAUACCUUCUUGGAGCAAAGCUGGCUCAUCAUGGCUGUCGUUAGUCCAAGUCUUCGUAGACUGACUUUGCCCUUCUAAUUCUGUGAUGUUUCGGUCCUCUUGCACCCCCGUAUGCUGUCCCGUCUUUUUUUUUUUUUUUUCUGUCUUUCUGAGAGUGGUAGCUAAUGUUAAUGCCACGUUAAAAUGAAGAUUUUAGAUUGUUGGCGUCUGUAUCGAUAUCACAUUGACCAAUCUCAUGCAAUUCCUAAUCUAGUGAUUGUAUUUCGGCGCAAUGCAAAAAUCACAUGUAUACAUCACUUUUGUACUUUCCACUUAGUUAAAUUAGACGGCAUUAACUUUUCUAUUAAUAAUACAAUUGGUUCGACUAUUUAAAAAUCAAAAUAUUUCUAAACAGAUAGUUUUUUUUUUUUUUUUGCAAAUAUGUUUUUUUUUCCUAAAUCAAUUUUUUGAUUAUUAAACAUUCCAUGUUUUCCCACUAGAUCCGAAGGUAUAAAAAUGUCCAUUCCAAAAUUCACAAGUUCCUUAACUCUUUUUAGGCCGAAAUCCAAGUGUGAUGAAAAACAAUGUUUAAGAUUGAAGUUAUUAAUCACAUUGACUUGAUGAGUCAAAAAAACACUCUUGGGAAGUAUCGGAUUCCCAUUUGAGUAGUAUCUAUUUUGACAAAUCUAUUUAUUCACUUGCUGAAUAUUAAAUAAAAAAUUUGAUCAUAUCACUUAAUGUAUCAAUUUUAGUAUACUUAUUUAAAUUACUUGUAAAUAACCUAGAUUUAUUGGUUAAACUUCAAAUGAUGAAGAGUUUGUGCUUAUUGAGAAAAAGUGCACAUAUUUUUAACAAUAUUAAAAAAAAUAAUCCACAUAUUGCUAGCGGUGGAAAUUAAAAUGUUAUCUAAUAUGUGAAACGUUGAAUGCAUGUUAUUUGACAAAAUUCUCAUAGCAACUAACUCACUAGGACCUAAAUAGUUAUUCACGGCGAAAUUGCCUUGAUGAAUCCAAGGGAAACUCAUGUUAAAAAGCAAAGUGAAUAAUGAAAAGAAAUAAAGCAAUACAGCUAAGAAAAAGAAGAUGUGGUCAUCCUGAUGUGGAAAAGAAGUCCCGCCAAUGCUUUAGCGUGUCUUUGGUAGUCCAAGUCUUCGUAGACUUUCACUUGGGUCAAUCAUUGGUGUGAUUCCUUCUUGAGCAAGCUCGUUCAUCAUGGACUGUUGGUAGUCCAAGCCUUCGUAGACUUUGACUUGGGUCAAUCAUUGGUUUCAGUCUUCUUGCACUGUCCGCACGCUGUUCUGUCUGAUUUUUUUCUCUCUCUCCGAGUGGGAGCUAAUGCUAAUGCCACGUUAAGACAAGGCACAUGAAACUUAGGUUUUAGUUUGUUGGUGUCCUUAUCAAAAUCACAUCGACAGAUCCUACGCAAUUCUUAAUCUAGUGAAUGUAUUUUAAUGCAAUGCAAAAUUAUGUAUGUGACAUAUUUUAUUUCCAUUUAAUUAAAUUAGAUCAUUCCAACUUUUUUAUUAAUCGAUGACAUGAUUGACUAAACUAUUUAAGAAAAAGGCUUUUUUGGACCGAUGGUGUUUCUUUGCAAGUAUUUUUCUGUUUUUUGAAUAGAAACAUUCCAUGUUUCACAAUAGAAAAAAAGAAUCUCGCUAGAUGUAGAAGUGUAAAAUUCUUCCAUUUCAUAAUUUAUAAGUUCUUAAGUCUUUUUAGGCAUAAAUCCUAGCAUGACCAAAAAAUAUUAAGAUUAAAGUUAUUAAAUCACCAUGACUCGAUGAGUUAAAAAAAAGAAGACUCUUGGGAAGUAUCAAAUUUCUUGAAUUGAGAUCGAUGGAAGAUCGGAUUUGUUCUCCGAUAGCUUUAGCUUUCGUUAUCACUCCACCGUACUUUUGUUUUAGUAAAACAAAACUCAUCACAAUUUUUUUUUUUUUUGAAAUCAAACUCCAUCCAUUUGAAUCCAGGUUGAGCUUGCUCCUUUAGCUUAAAAGCUCGGGAAGAGUAGAAAAUACGUGGAUCCCAUUGUCUAACUCUUACUUCUUUUUAAAGGAAAAUAAAGACUUCUUGUACAUAUGCGGGCCUUAAUUAUUGAGACCUUCGUUCCUUUACCCCAGAAUAUGCAAACAAUCGUGGGCCAGUUUUGCUGCAAAAUUGGUCAAUAAGGAUGCUUCCUCGCAACAUCAUUGCAGCCUGUCAAAGGUGACAUAUAUUAUGUUUGUUAACGCGGAAAAUCAUUGGACUAUGUGGUGUAGAAAUUUUUGGAUGAGAAUCUACUUUUGCCCUUAAAUAAUUCAUUCAAAGUAAAGUCAACAAAAGCAGUCAUGGAACUUCCAAAGCAAGUUCGUUUCCCCAUCCUAAUUAAGGUGAACUUCGGUCGGUCCAGUUUAAUGGGCUGAUUGGGCCCAAGCCUGAAUUAACUCUGAAGCACAAAGCCUGGUGGAAUUGUUGGGCUUGGUCUUCGUCAAAGCACUCCCUAGUGAUCAAUUGAAUUAAGAAAAGAUUACAUUUUAUUUCGGGGUGAAGCAUCCUUCACAUUUAACCUAUUGUUAGUGUCAAUAAAUUGCUCGUCACAAAGCAUUGCAAUUGGACAUUAAAUCCAGGCAUCAUGCUGAUUAUUAUACAAAAAAUUACUAAAACGAGGUACACAAAACCAAUGUGUAAUCGUAUUAAAACUUUGAGCCAUUGACAAGUGUGGUAAAUAAGCUCAUAAACAUGAUGUGACCUAUUAGAUCUCAUUUGGAAUUUAACUCAAUUAGCAUUUCCACAUUCACGAUUGUACUUGAAAGCCUCUAUGAUUGGCAAAAAAUUAGUGAAACCUCUCCAAUGGCUAUAAUGAUUAAAAAAAAAUGUUGACUCCCCCUGAAUUCAAGUACAAAAGUUCUCUAUUUCAGAUAAUGUUUUUGGAGGUCUAGCUCUUCACUCUCUUGGUUAAUGCUUGUGAGUUAUCUAUUACAAAAGGUAAAAAAAAAAAAAAAAGAGGUGCAAAUAUAAGAACUUGCAGACAACGUGAGACUAUUCCACAUUUAAUUUUGAGAAUUAAACAAUUUGGGUCAUUAUUUUAGAUUUACCUUCAAGUUAGAUAAUGUCAGACCAAGUCCAUUUGCAACUGGAAACAUUUUUUAGUAUAAUUAAGAAUUGGAACGCCUCCUCUUCAAAUUCUAUGAAUCCAACUUAAGAGCCAUGCUUUACCCAAAAAACAAAUUGGACAUGCAUUUACCGAUGUAGAGUAUCCAUCUUCUUCACAUUGCAAUUUUGUUGCGGUUGUUGUCGUAGAGGUGAUGCCAUAAGUGCUGAGAUACUUUCACACACAUUGUAAUGGCUACUUUGACGUAUACCAUAUGAUGAAGUUAAUGAUCUCCUGCGUGAAGAAAGCAAAAAUUUUACAUAGAAACGAACAAUAUUGGACAGGGAAGAAAAAAUGGGAAAAAUUAAAGUCUAAGCACACAUUGCAUGCAAAGGAAAUCUAAUUUCCGUAAGACAGUUCAUAUUCAAGUUGGUUCAGUGAGGGCGACUGUGAAAGUCACUGAAUGGGUCACUCUUUUCCUUCAGUUUGUCCUAUUUAAUAAAAUAAAAAAGCAUGGGAGGACAUUGUAGAUGUCUGAGAUGGACACAACUUCUUGUAACACUAGAAAACCAUAGGAAGACACCUGGGGCCAAGGCAUGUCGUGAAAGAAGCACAUUGGGGCAUCGACCAAUUUCAAAUACAGUAAGACAAAGCAGCAAAUUAUAAGGUAUCUUAGAUGAAUCACCACAUAAUAUAUUGAAAAAAUAAUGCACUUGGAAUUUAUAUAAUUUGACCUCACCUUUAGCAAAUCAAGCCAUUGAAACAUCUAAACCAAACCAAACCAAAACAACAAAGAUCUGAACAAGGGUAUUUGCAUAAAAAAGAAGAUUUACAUAAACCUCUUUGUAAUUCAUAUGUUUAACAGAAUAGGAAGCACUUCUUAUCAGAUAAAAAAAGUACUCAACAGGGGCAGGUGUCCAUUCACUUUUCUUUCGCAGAAAUUUGCCAAGUUUGAUCAACCAACCCCAUAAUGUGCUAAGUUUCCAAAUCUCCCGUGGUGAAGAAUGUCUAUUUGUUUUAAUUUCCUCCACAUUGGUACAUUAGAAACAUCAGGAUAUAGUUGCUAGAGAAGAUGCGCAAAUUGUCCCGUGAUUCUGGUCGAUCAGAUGACCACGAUGAUCUAAAUGAAACUCCAUUAGUUUCUUCAAGCCACUCAGUAGGCCAAUCUGUCCAAUCGGUUGAGUUUGUUCAGCUGCAAAUUCUAGUUUGAGUCUGGUGCGUCUUUAUCCACUUGUAGUUUUUCAAAGACUAGUGUUCAAGGCUUAUGAAGGUAACAAAUCGAGUCAAGAAGCUCCAAGAUCCCAGCUCCUUAUAGAAAAAGCCUCAAUAGGGAAGUCGUGUAAUUGAUUGAAGGUUUUGUAGUCAGUGAGGAACAAUGGCCAGCACGGAGAAUUUCUAGACUCUUCAAUCUUUGUGUUGACACCUAAUUUUUGCAAAUUUAGGAAAAUAAAGAAAAUAAAAAUUGCAUUGGAACAAAUAAAAGGAAAAAAUGAAAAAAAAAAAAGGAAAAUUGAUUUGAUUGAUUAUGUAUGGAAAUUUGAAAUUCUGACGAAUAUUCGGAUUUUGUUAAAUGUAGAACAAAUUUAAAAAUCAAGUGAAUAAAUGAAAAGAAUUUCACAAAAUGAAAUAAAUCUAAGUAAAAUCGAGUUGAUUGCGAAAUCAUGCUCUGAUUUACAGUUUUGAUUUAAUAUAAUAGAAAAUGGAAACUCGGAAAAUGCCGUACAAAGCGACUGUCCAAAGUCAUUAUAAAAGAGAGCUUCAUUUUUCAUAGCUGGGAGGGCAAUUUUCGAAAGAAUUGAGAGAAAAAUUUCGAGGCAAAGUUGUCUUCGUUUAUUUUUUGGAUUUCUUUGUUUUAGGUCAAAGUCAGAAAAGUGAGGUUUUGGUUUUUUUUUUUUUUUUUUUAGUCUUAAGUGAGGUUUUGGUUUAGAACGGAGAAAAUACAGCAGAGGGUGCUGCAAAGAGUGGACGUGAGGGGACGUGAGAGAGAAAAAAAGGGAAAGAGCGCUACAGUGUCGUCUUCUUCGGAGGCCCCCCAUUCGAUCGCGCCAGUCCGUGCCGCGCCGGCCACCGUGUCGGCACCGCGACGCCGGAUACCACCGCGCCUCGCCACCUCGCUGGUCCACUGCACCUCCGCCGCACCUCCGCCACCGUCGCGCCGCCGGCCUCGCCGCCUCGCUGAACCCCUGCAACCACCGACGCUGCGCCUGCAUCUCCGCCUCUGCCCACGACGAGCAGCAACUGAGCCACCUGCAAUCUUCUCUCCAGCGCGCCUCCCCUUGCAGUCGCCAGCCAUCGCCGCUGCUGUUGAGCCACGACCCGACGCCAGCGGAAGCUCGCGCCCAGCCCGUCGCCGAAACCAUCGACACCCGCGACGCCCCUAGCUGCUUCGCCCCCUGCCGACGCGACCCAGCCCCGACGCCGCCUCCGCCGUCGAUCUUGCAGCUCGCGAAGCCCCUCACCGCCUGACUACUGCUGUCUUGAUCUCACCGCUCGAGUGCCCCGACACCUACAGAUCUCCUGCUCGCCUGUCACCGCGCCGGGGUGCCGCUCGAUUCGUCGUGCCCCUGCGCCGGAAGCUCAACGCCGUCGCCGCCCAGCAGUCCGCGACGCCCCGACGCCCGCUGGUCGCUGCGCCGAACCUCUGCGACGCCGUCACCGCCCCUGCCCUCAGCGCCACCAGCAACCCCGUUGCUGCCCAGCUUCGCCGGAGCUCCGACCGCGACGCCCCUGCCGGACCUCCGAUCAGCCACUCUUGGCCGGGCCCCACGGCUGCUACCCUAAUUUUGAAGAAAAGGAUGAAAUAGUUUUUUUAGUUUAUUUUAUUUUUAUUUUACUUUAUCUUGUUUUUUUUUAAGUAUAAUUAGUCCUUAGUAUAUGAUUGGAAAUUUCAACAUAUUACCUGAUUCGCAACCGCGUUUUGAUUUUUUAUUUCACUAUGAGACUUUAGAUGAAAUAAUUAAUCAAGCAGGAAUAAAAUUGAUCCUUUGAUUUUUAAGGUUUAAGUCAAUUUAUCAAUUUUACUAGCGAAAUAUUAUCCCUUGAAUAGAAUGAUAUGUGAUAUUUUUUGAAUGAUCAGUUUUGUCUUAAUUGCUUAAUUUAUUUUGAAAUAUGUUUGAGUUAGAAUAUUGUAUGCUUUAGGGUUAUUUGCAUAUUUAGAAUAAACAUUUUAUUCAUCAUGAGUUUUCGAAAUUAAAAAAGAAAUUAAAAAAAAACAUGAAUUUAGGUUGUUAGAUUUUUGUUUCAUUAUCUUAAAUUGCAUGUUUAAUUAUUUGAACCUUAAGUCACAUAGAAUUAUGACAUAUUUUAAUUAUUUUAAAAUUUCGAAAUUAAUUAUAAAAAAAAACAACAACAAAAAUCAUUAUGCAUAUAUCAUGUAGAAUUAUGGCAUAUUUUGUACAUCAUUGCAUAUUAGGGUAAAAUUGCACUUAAUUUAAUUUUAGAUAAUAUGUUUCUUAAUUUAUUAUAAGUUUAGGUAUUUUCUUAAAUAGAUUGCAUUUUAGGAUUAUUUGGGUUAAGAUAUUAUUUUAGUUUAAAUUAGGAUUUGGUUUAACUUAAUUCCUAAUGCAGAUUGAAUAUGAUCUUAAUCUAGCUAGAUAAUUUUCACAUUUUAUCUAAUUCCGAAUUUCAUGAAAAAAAUACAAAAACGUCUUAGGAUAAAUUAGUUUUAUUUUUUUUAAGGAAAAGUUGCAUUCUUUUAGGAAAAAAUGUCAUGCAUGUCAUAUAGGAUUAGAUUCAUGAAAUGCACGUCAUUUAGAGAUUGUUAUUAGGUCCAUUUAAUUAGAAAUUGCAUAUCAUUAGUUAUAGGUCAUUUAGUCAAUAUUGCAUUGCAUAUUGCAUGAUUUUUAUUAAUUAAGUGAAAAAAAAAAGAAGAAGAGAAAAUUGCAUGUUAAUUAGAAAUCAUAUCUAUAAUUGUUGAUGUGAAUUCUAAUUUAAUAUUGCAGAUGUUUUCGUUGCUUUUAGGUAUGUUUUGCAAUUUAUUCAUUACUUAUUUGGGUGUUAAAUUAGUGGUUUGCGCACCGCAUGAUUGCCCCACAUGUUAGGGAAAUAAAUUUAAAAUCAAUUUAAGCUACCUGCAAAAAAAAAACAUUUUUGAAAAUAAAAAAAAUAGUACCAAAAGGACAGUAGAAAAAUCUAGUGUAAUCAAAUCUCUAUACCCAUAGUCUCUGAUUCGUAGGAGUAAAGUAAACUCCCGUUAUUUAUUUGGGUUUCUAAUCGACUCACAAAAAAAUAGAUUAAUGACGACUACUAAAUAAAAUCUAUCUGUUAAAUAUUUGAACCUUAAGUUACAAAUUGAAAUGAGUUUUGGAGAGUCCGAGCUAAAUUUAAAAACUUAGUAGUCUUAAGUGGUGCACUCGAAAUUUAGAUCGCGACACCUUGACAUUCAAGCAUAUAUGCUUUAUUGAUGUCCCAUCAAUCAAUGGUUCUCUCAAACAUUCCAUUUACUAGGCUCCUUGGGGAGAUGGUGGAGAUCCAUCGUUCCAAACUCACAUGUACUUGAGGUCUAGCAUCUAACAGAACCAUUUUGACAUCGAAAGGUCCACCUGAACUGACUGAAUUGAGGUCAUAAAGCAAUCCCUUCUAGGCCAAGUCCUUGUCAAACUUUCCCCUUCCAUCUUGGUAGUUUGUAGAUGUACAUUCCCGAUAAGUUAGGGACUUGUUUGUCCAUCUUGGUAGUUCUUACAAUACUUUCUGUUCAUGUGAAGUCCUCUGAGAUGCACUAUUCGAGCUAUACUCCUUUCAUCAUUUUAUUCAAAUCAUUUCACUGUUCCCGCUGCUCCAUGGUUUAUAGCAGCAUCGUCAUAUGGACCACCCAUCUCCAAUGAUCUUACUUGUGCUUAGACUCCUCUGGAAGAAAUCUUUGAAAAGAAUAGCAGAAACAACGAUGGUAGCAACUGUCACCACACACGGGACAACCUCAAGUGCGUUAAUCGUUUUGCGCCAGCACAAGUGGUCCACCUUGGCAGAAACAACAAUUGUUGUGCUGCUGCUGUUGCUCCUCCUACUCGGAGGCAUGGGACGAUGCCUGCUGGUUCUAGCUUGGUUGUCACUGCUCAUUCGAGAGAGAGGCCGAAUCGGAAUCCGAAGUGACGAUCUGAAAUAAAAAUGGGAGGAGGAGAGAGUCGGAGGGGGAUGGUGGUAUAUUCGACCUGGCCUUGCUGCCUGACGCAACCAAUUCUUAACGUUGCAGUCUCACGUACACUGGAAGAUUAAGUUUGAACCAAAACUACUCAGUUCACGUACGUAUACAGGCCUGUCAUUGCUGUCUUACCAGCGUGCUAGAAGCCAGGAAAUACCUUCAUAUGAGGUAGCAAUAUAUGCAGGAUACAACCUCGCCAAGGAUUCGCUCACAAUGUGAUUCAAAUUAUUCAAUUCAUGGAAAAUAGUGUGACCCGCCUAUUGUUAAGUCACCGCAUUUGGGGGUGGGCUACAAUUUUUUCACGUUCAUUGUUCUUUCUUUUUCAAAUUGUUUCAUGUGAAUAAGCCAUGUAUGAAUUUGAUAAAAGCAUGAGACGUGUAUAAAUCUGUUUCGUGCUUAUUAGCACCUAAGUUUGACGAGUGAUUGAUCUAUCAACACUGGCCAUAAAUGAAGAGAUUUGGGGAUUGUUCUCUGCAAAAAGUUAUUGUUACACCCUUCACAUUCUUGAAUCACACCUUGUUCUUCACUUCCGAUUGUUGUUUUGUGUACUAACUUCUCUAUAUAUUGGAAUAACAUGAAUUUUCAGAUUAAGCUUGAAUCUGAAGAUAUUUGACUGGAGAAGUUUGCCAUCAUAAUGAAGUAAUUGCAAUUUCAUAUACCUCCACUAAUAUAAUUAAACAAAUGAAUUAUAUCAAUUUUAAUUUGAGUGUAUAGUAACCAACUAAUUGAACUAUAGAGCACCCAUUUGUCCAACAGAAUGUCUCAUUCUCUUUGGCUAAAAUACAACAGAAGGCAUCCCCACGGAGUCUUUCUAAACGUUCCAAUUUUAGCAAAACUUACUUCAGUGCUCUAAUGCACACGACGUAAAUCACCGAAUGUGACAUUGAAAAAGCCCGCCAACAAAAUAGGAUCCCAAGGGCAAAUAAGGAAAGAUCGUAAAGAAUAUGGAACAGAACAAAUCACGUUUGAGGGCGAUGGUUGUUCUGACAUGCUUGAUUGCUGCAAAGUGAGGCGAUACUCAAUCAUACAGUUUCUUCAAGUUUGAUAGGUCAAUCAAUGUAAGCGUCAACUGGAAAUGUGUGGUUCAUAAGGGCAAUAAACUUGAGGGAAGCAUUGGGAGGCACCGCAGACAUUCAUUAGAGAGUUCAAGUCUCCUAAGAUGUGAAAGCUGUGCAAUAUAUGGUGAUAUAGUGGUCAUUGUUGAAGAGGACAACUCUAAUGACUCUAGUUUGUUUAACCGACUAAUCCACCGGGAGACAACAUCUUCUGUUAAAAUAUGUCUCAAGUUUAAGCCCAAUGCAAAAUUAUGAAUAUUACAAAUUGGAUAUGUUGCGGAUGUUCGAAAUCGAGCAAAGAAGAUCCGAAGAUCAACUUCCCAAACUUGAAUAUGUGUUGGAGAGUCUGGCUACUAAAAUAGGAAAGUCCAACUUUGACUAGGACUUGGAUUUUGUUUAAAAUAUAUAAAGAUAUGUUUUAGAUAAGAAAUAAAAUCCUAUGAGAAGUUGGCAAAAGAAUAAGGGUUUUACUUAUAUAUAGACUUGAGGCCGUGGGUGAUAGAGGUGGAUCAUAAAUUGUCUUGAAGCGCCGCGUGAGUGCUUGGUGUUCCACUGUUGAUCGUGAAGAAUUGGUCUUGAAGUGCCGCCUCGUUGUCGAGUGCUUAGGAGGGAUUUUCUUUGUCGUGAAUUGCAUCCAAUAAGGUUUAGUGUUGAAGCCAAUUAAAUCUUGUGGCAAGAUUUGCGUGUAAUUCCUUCGUGAGAUUGAUAGAUUAUUUCUUGAAGAAUUUUGGGGCUAAACACUGUGUGUGUUAUUGGGUGUAAUUGGGGCUUGGGAAACACCGAGAGAGUGUUUGAGUGACUUGAGUAUGUAAUCUCCUUGUAUUGCUUGAUCUAUAGUGAAAUUCGCUACUGCUCUCCCCGUGGACGUAGGUCUUUAUGACUGAAUCAUGUAAAUUUGGUGUCCAAUAUUUUUUUUUUCUGUCUAUAUUAUUGUUCGAUCGCUCGCCUUAUCGCAAUAAGUGGUAUCAGAGCCAGGCUUGGCUAAGUUGAAGCAUAUCGAUGGCGACGGAAGAAGUAAAAGUGAGAAUCGACAUAUUUGAUGGGAAUGAUUUUAGUUUCUGGAAGAUGCAGAUUGAAGAUUAUCUUUAUCAGAUGAAACUGCACUUGCCCUUGUCUGGAGAGAAACUAGAGACGAUGAAGCAAGCGCUGAUUGGGAUUUGCUGGAUAGACGAGCUAUGGGUGUUAUUCGGCUUAUGUUGGCUCGUAACGUCGCGUUUAACAUCCUAAAGGAGAAGAUCAUUGCUGAUUUAAUGCAAGCCCUGUCGGAUAUGUACGAGAAGCCCUCUGUGAUCAACAAGGUUUGUUUGAUGCGACGUCUAUUUAAUUUGAAGAUGAGCAAAUGUGCGUCAGUUGUUAAUCAUAUUAAUGAAUUUAAUGUGAUUAUUAGUCAAUUGAAUUCAAUUGAGAUUGACUUUGAAGAUGAGGUACGUGCUUUGAUUCUGUUAUCCUCAUUACCUGAUAGUUGGAAUACUACUAUUACUGUUGUUAAUAAUUCCUCCGGGUCAACAAGUUUGACGUUUGAUGGGGUUUGAGAUUUGAUUCUGAGCGAAGAUAUUCAUAGAAGAGAAUCUGGCCAAUCUGUUUUUAUUGCUUUAGUAGGUGAAAAUAGAGGAAGAUCUGUAACGCGUGUAGGUAAAAGUAGUACUAAUAUGAACAGACGUAGUCAAUUUAGGACUGCUAAUGUUUUCUAUUGGAGUUGUGGUAAGAGGGGGCAUCUUAGAAGGGAUUGUCUUAAGCUGAAGAAUGAGAAGGGUAAGGAAAUUGUAGUUGAUUCUGCAGAUAAUGUUGUAGCUGUAGCAGAUAAUGCCGAUUAUGUAUUGUCUGUCACUAAUGAUUCAUCGUUUGAUGAAUGGAUUAUGGAUUUUGGUUGUUCUUUUCAUGUCACACCAAAUAGAAACUGGUUUAUCACUUAUCAGUGCACGGGUAGUGGUAAAGUUCAAUUAGGGAACAACGUUAAGUGCAAUAUUGUGGGUGUUGGUAAUGUUAAAAUCAGAAUGCAUGAUGGCAUUGUGAGGAUAUUGACUGGAGUGAGGCAUGUUCCAGAGUUGAAGAAGAACUUAAUUUCCUUUGGUGCCCUAGAUUCAACUGGUUGCAGGUAUUCUUCAGAAGGUGGAGUUCUGAAGGUUGUUCGAGGUGCCUUGGUGAUAAUGAAAGGAAUCAAGCACGGAGGCCUGUAUAAACUUCAAGGUGGGACGGUAACAAAUUUCGUUGCAGAGACGUUGGAUGCAUAUGUUCGAGAGUCUAUUGACUGCUCGAGGAAGACCUGGAUGUUUGUGCCAAUGCACAAGUUUGAUGGUGAUGUCAGGAUCACGCGGUUGAGAGUUUUGAUCGAGACGGAGACUAGUAAGUCGAUCAAGCAUGUGUAGACUGACAAUAGCAUGAAGUUCUGCUCGGAGCUGACAAAUAAAUUCUGCAUGAAAGAGAGUAUAGUGAAAUACCGCACCAGUACCAGUAAAUUACAACAAUUUGCAGAAUUGAUGAGCAGAAUAUUACUAGAGACGGCCCGUAAAAUAAUCUCUAGUGUUGGUAUUGCUAGGAGAAUCCUAACUGAUGUGCUUAGUACAAUAAGCUGCCUGGUGAAUAGAUCCCCAUCAACUGUUAUUGAAUGGCGGACUCCUGAAGAAGUGUGGUCAAGUAAAGUUGCUAGUUAUUCUAUCAUUAGAAUGUUACGUUGUUCGUAUUAUUUUCGAGUGAGUGAUGGUAAGCUCGAUGGGAGGGCAAGGUGCAUAUUCCAUGGCUAUGCACAAGGUGAGCAAGGCGAUCGAUUGUGGUGCAUAGAUAUAAAUUCACCUGUUAACAGUAGAGAAGUUACUUUUGACGAGUCUCCAAUACUUCUGACUAGGAGUGAUUAUAGCAGUGUUCAAACGGAUUUGAACGGUGUUCAGCUUGAGGUGGAGUUACGACCAGAAACUCCUGAGGUAGCGAGUACGAGUACUAGCAAAGUAAUCGACACAAAUGGUGCUCAUAACGAGGUAGAGCUUAUAGAGCCAAUGGUUACUGUAACUGCUAAAAUUAACAAGGUACGUAUUCGAUCUCCUAACAGAUAUGGAUGCAACAAUGGUUUUGUUUUAUCUGUGGUUAAGGAGGUUAUGUCGGAAAAUUCUUGCGGAAUAGUUAAAGGUGCAUGUGGAGUUGGUAUUCUGAUGAGAUCAUCGGUUAUAGCGAAGUUCAAGCGAAGCUUGGACUUGGACAAUAUCGCCCAUCAGGGGCUAGGGGAAAGUAGUAGCAGAGUUUGAAUUUUUUGCGAAGCGAUUGCGACUUAGCUCAAACGUCGAGCCAAAGUGGAGAUUGUUAAAAUAUGUCUCAAGUUUAAGCCCAAUGCAAAAUUAUGAAUAUUACAAAUUGGAUAUGUUGCAGAUGUUCGAAAUUGAGCAAAGAAGAUCCGAAGAUCAACUUCUCAAAUUUGAAUCUGCGUUGGAGAGUCUGGUUACUAAAAUAGGAAAGUCCAACUUUGACUAGGACUUGGAUUUUUUUAAAAUAUACAAAGAUAUGUUUUGGAUAGGAAACAAAAUCCUAUGAGAAGUUAGCAAAAGAAUAAGGAUUUUACUUAUAUAUAGACUUGAGGCCGUGGGUGAUAGAGGUGGAUCACAAAUUGUCUUGAAUUGCCGCAUGAGUGCUUGGUGUUCCGCCGUUGAUCAUGAAGAAUUGGUCUUGAAGUGCCGCCUCGUUGUCAAGUGCUUGGAAGGGAUUUUCUUUGUCGUGAAUUACAUCCAAGAAGGUUUAGUAUUGAAGCCAAUUAAAUCUUGUGGUAAGAUUUGCGUGUAAUGCCUUCGUGAGAUUAAGAGAUUAUUUCUUGAGGAAUUUCGAGACUAAACACUGUGUGUGUUAUUGGGUGUAAUUGGGGCUUGGGAAACACCGAGAAAGUAUUUGAGUGACUUGAGUGUGUGAGAUUAAAUCUCCUUAUAUCGCUUGAUUUAUAAUGAAAUUCGUUACUGCUCUCCCCGUGGAUAUAUGUCUUUACGAUUAAACCACGUAAAUCUGGUGUCCGAUAUAUUUUCUUUUUCUGUCUAUAUUAUUGUUCGAUCACUCGCCUUAUUACAACAAGCCACAAGCUUAGACGGGUCAACAGGGCGAGGAUACUUUUGGCAUCCCAAAGACAAAUCUCUCAAGCUUUUCAAGUUCAAGAGAUUGGAAAUCCUAUCAUCAGCUCGCCGCUCGAUAUGAAUAUGUAGACAGAGAAGAAUUUCUGGGAGUCUUAGCACUUGGGGUAUCUCAACACAUGUCGGUUUCAAAAUCUUCCGAGAUGAACAUCUCCAGAUAUCAUAGGAAUUUCUGAUUAGCAAAUUUUCACUAAGCUCUACAUCUAUUCUUCUAGCUAUUCCUGCUUCUAUACUGCACUAGUUAUCAUUCUCAUGAUAGAGAACCUCAUCUUCAAUGCUUUCAAAUACUUCAUGUUCCCGACCAAUCUAGCAGCUUCUCUAUGUCCAUGUUCAAUUAUCGAACUCAGCAAGUGAUUCCAAAUUUCAGAUUGAGUCCAGUAGUGUCUUUGUUGACUUGUAGUUCCUGGAAGACUAGUGUUUGAGGCUUACGAGGGAUCCACUUGAGCUGGGAAGCUCCACGAUCCCAGCUCCUCAUAGAGAAAGCCUCGAUAGGGAAGUUAGGUGACAGAUUGAAGGUUUUAUAGUCAGUGAGGAACGAUGGGAAGCACAUAGGACCUGCAAGCUCUUCAAUUCUUGACAUUUAGGCAUAUGCUUUAUUGAUGUUAUGCAGCAAUCCCUUUUUAAGGCAGUUAAGUCCAUGUCAGACUUUCCCCUUCUAUCUUGGUAAUUCGUAGAUGUAUAUUCCCUUUUAAGAUAGAGAUUAUCAAUGUCUGUCCGUUAAAACCAGCAUGCGAAAUUGCGAAUUGAACAAAGUCAACGUCUAGCAAGCUAGUCGCCUUAUCUUUCUCCCAAAAAUCAUGUACUUUUAUUCGUGUGAAGUCCUCCAUCAGGUACUAACCGAGUUAUCCAGAGUUAGAUUCAUAUACUAGUAAGAAUACUUUGAGGAACCUUGUUUAGCUUUCUUAUACUUGUUUCAUAGUUUGAUUCCAUCAAUUCUCGGUUCACGCUGCUCCAUGGUUUAUAGCAGCAUCGUUAUUUGGUUUGCCCUCUCCGGUGAUCUUGCUGCUCUUAAUCUUCUCUGCUCCAUGGUUUAUAGUAGCAACUUUCGCCACACACAAUGCAACCUCAACUGGUGAAUCGUUCUGCACCAGUACAAAUGGUCCACCUCAGCAGAAACGACAACUGUUGAGCUGCAUGAGGAUUGGGGUGGUCUGACUUGGCCUCCCCGCCCGAGUCGCAAUGGGUCAGGAAUUUUUUUUUUUUUUAUAAAUUAAAAAGUGUGGGAAAAGAUGACCAAUACAAGUAUCCAUUCUUGUUGUUACAUAAAGUGUUAUGUAUAUUACAGAAUAUCUCCAUUGAGCCAUAACCACGCCAUCCGUCUAUAAGUGUGCAAGUCUAUCACCAUAACUAAUAUGUCAAAAGCCUGAAAAUAUUUCCACAUAAUGUUGUGAAUACCUAAAAUACUGAUUGGUGAAAAGGUCACUCAUAACAUGAUUCAAACUCACAAAUUUAUAGAAGAUGGCAUGAUCCCUUCGUCAUUGGGUUAUCGUGCUUGGGGUUGGAUUGUGAUUGUGACUUUUUCAUGUUUAUAUAUAUAUAUACUUUCAAAGUGAAAGAAUGGUGCAUGAGCCUGAUCCAAAGUGAUUUAUAAAUCUAUUUUGUGCUCAUAAAAUUUGACUUAAUCAAAUGAGGUGUUGUGUUUAUGUUGCCAAUAAAAGAAGAGGUUUGAUGACUGGUUUCUAUAAAAUUGAUUAAUUUACUCUUCAUAAUUUUCUCAAGUUAUUCAACCUUUUUGUUUUGUGUACUAAUUUUUCUGUGCUUUUAUAGACAUUUGACUGUGAAUAUAAAUGCAUGAGAGCCACCAAACAUCGUGCAUGCGACGCAUUGGUGUUCUUAUAUUAUUAUUUUUUUUUUGCAUGAGCUAAUUGUGAUUUAAGGAAAAAAAAUCUUCCACGUUCUUUGAUAAUUUGAAAAUGACAUUUUGUGACUUUUGUUGUGUGAGGUUACAAACUCUUUUUACUCCGAACACAGCCGAUGAAAAAGUCCAAUGACUUUUGUUCUCAGAGAUUAUGGACCUUUUUACUUGUUUAAAUCUUUUACAUGUAAAGUAUUCAAUUGCAAUGAUUGUACAACUCAUAUAUCAAAUCAGUAAUUGUGAGAUGACGAUGGCAUCAUUUUAUAAGAUAGUGAUCGGUCAAAUCGUAUUCGCACUAAAUAUUUUGUAAAUUCUAAAUAAAACAACCUAGCUCAAAUUAUUGCAUAGACGUAAAAAUAAAAACUAUCAAAUCCACUUUCAUAUAAAUUUUAAAGAAUAGAAUUGAUCUGUCAUGAUAAAUCACAUUCUCGAACUCUCUCAACCCGAGAGAAGUGGGCUCCACAAUCCACAAUUAAGCUUAAUUCACUUGUCUCGCACGUUGAAUAAUAUUCUUUUCAAGUUCGAAUAAUAUUGGCAAAGAAAAAGUUUGAAUGAUUUGAGUUAUUAGAUUGGUUCGAGCUUGGAAUCGGAAAAAUUUUACUCAAUAAGCUUGAGAUCAAAGGAAGCGCCAAAAGAGGGGAGAGAGAGAGAGAGAGAGAGAGAGAGAGAGAGAGAGAGAGAGAGAGAGAGAGAGAGAGAGAGAGAGAGAGAGAGAGAGAGAGAGAGAACGGAAAUUUGUCCGGGAGCACGCCUCAUUUUAGCGAAACUUCCUUCAUUGCCCUCGCGGAAACGACGAAAUCACCGGACGUGACACCGAAUAUGCCUGCCAACAAAGCAAGAGCCCGAGGUCGAAUCAGGAAAAUUCGCAAAUCCAUCGUCCUCUCCUUCCCUUUCCCCCACUCAAAAACAAAAGCUUGCCGUAGCUUUCGAUUGCCAACUGCUGCGAAAAUCGCUACGGAGUCCACGAACGCUGCGAAGACCAGGAUUCGAGUGUUGAAUUCGAGCAAUGCGGACGAAGACCGCAAUCGAUCUCUCCACCUCGUCGGGCGAUCCCACCAUUUUGAUUGCGUGAGAUUGGAAUGAUGUUGUUGCUCCAGCAGAAUGUGGAGUUGAGGGUGAUGGUUGUUCUAAAGUGCUUCAUUGCCGCGGGUGGGGGCGAGAGGUAAUUGCAAUUCGGGUUCAUGUAAUCAAUUACAUGCUCUGAUCCUCCCACUUGAUUGGGAUUGGGAGUCUAGUAUCAAGCAUGUCGGUUUUGAGCUUGUAGGUUUCAGCAGACUAGCUUUAUGGGAAAGAGGAGCCUUAUGCUUUUCACUUAUUCGCCUUUCGUUGCAUUUGAACAUAUAGUUCUUUAAGUUCACGAACAAGGAUGGCAGAAAUAUACUGAAAUAUUAUUUUGAGUUGAUGUUUCCUUGAGAAGUGUUCCUCUUACUUGAUUGUCGAAAUAGCUUGCUAGAGACAUAAGAAACUUGCUCCAUUGUGAGAUAGCUAGUAUAAGCACCUAGAGGGGGGUGAAUAGGUGCACAAACAAUUUAUCGAGAUACGGAAGCGAUUUUAGGCAAACGAUAGAAAGGAAGUUCUCUAUUGAUUAACAAAAUGAAGUACGAUCAAAGUAAAGAGAGUAAGGAAAAGAAAAUUGAACACAAGGUUUAUAGUGGUUCGGCUUAUUCCAAGCCUACGUCCACUCUUCCGCACUGACAGCCCACCGGCUGGAUUUCACUAUGAACAAAAGAGUAGUUACAGCACAGCUUUUCCUUGAUUCCACAGUGUAGAUGUUCUACCACACCUCCUCAAGGUUUCUCACAAUAUAGACUCUCUUUUGUAUACAAAGUUUCGCUCAAAGGAAUUGUCUAAACAACAAGGAGCUUCAAACUUUGGAAUUCUUCUAUCGCGCACACCUCGAACAACUUAGAACGUCUUCCUUAUAUACUCCUUUAUGCCAUCAUACCCGUUGGCACUUACCAAAUGAAUUCCUCCAAUCUACUCAUUGGACGGAAUCAAUUAGGAAGAUUAUUCGAGCUAUUAAAGGAACGUGUCGAUAGCCCAUCAAUCAUGUUCGCCCAUACAAUCAGGAUCUCGGUUUCUAUAAGUAGAACCUUCCAAGAAUAUUUAGGCAAUAAUCGGAUCCUUAAUCUUCGAGUCAAUCUCGAUCAAUCAAAGGAUUCCGUUGUGUUUUUUCUAGCCAAGAGAUCUUCUCCAGUUGAUAAGGUCAUAUCCUUAAUGAAACAUCCAGUUCUGGAUAACCUUUCUUCAACGGAUUAGAGACUGUCAAUGAGGAUAGACUUUGAGUCUUGAGUCUGGCUAUCCGGAGGUCUUCAGACUCUAAAUAGCAGAGUCUGCAAGCCUUCAGACUAGACUGAUGGAAACGUUUUGUCAGCUUCAAAACACUUCAAGAAGAUUUCUCCAACAAUCUCCCCCUUUUUGAUGGUGACAAAACUUUCCUGUAGAUUUGGACAACUUUGACCUGCAAAACAUUUCUCAAACACAUAUGCAUAUCUUAUAGAGAUAAAUUACCAAAUGAAUAACACUAGAAUCUGCAACCACAGAAAAUAGGUUAGUCUAAUAUGCGAUAAAGCCAUCCAUAAGAUAUGAAUAGUAGUUAAUAGAAGCAGUCAAGCCCAAGUCUAGUUCAGUUCUCAUCUAGACACAAAAACAAAGUCAAACAGAUCAAAACAAUCCAACAAAAUCCAACAAACAGUCCAACAAACCAUACGAUUAAAAGUCAAAUUGUUCAAAUCUUGCAUCUCUCCCCCUUUUUGUCAGCAUUAAAAAGGUUGAGAUGAAAGUGGAAUAAAGUCAAGAUUGCUUGGGAACUCGGACAAGCUGGAAAUCUCCCAUAGACUGAACGAUGCCUUCCAGCCUUUUCAAGUCUUCCUUCAGUUGUGCAAUCUCCUCACCCUUGGCAUUAGCCUGAAUCUGAACAGUGAGGGCUUGGAUUUUAUCAUUCAAUGAACAUGAAGAAACUUGACCCGCAAUUUGCAAGUUUUGAACCUUGCAUCCCAAGGCAUAAAUUUGACCUCGCAUCUCCAAGAGAAUAUCCAUGAUUCUGCGAAAAUCUGCUGCAUUAUCAGUCUGAGUACUUGCUUCGGCUCGAUCUGAUGGAGUAAAUGCAGACAAUGGUAGAUCAGCAUAAUCUCACAGGUUUGGCGAUGAAACUUCAUGACCUUCUUCUGGAAAUUGAGAGGCAUAAACGUCCUCUGGAUCUGCAGGUGAGUGAUUGACUCCUUCACUUGCAUCAGGAUAUGAGGACUUCCCUCCUUUCUCUUGAUCUUUCCCUGUUUCCAUGCCUACAGGUGGAGAAGAGUGUUCCUUAGAUUCUCCUUCUUCUCUUCUUUCUUCUUCUUCUUUCUCAACUCUUUCAUUCUCAGCUUCUCUUUCUUCUUCUCCUUUCUCCUCUGCUUCCUUCUCCUCUAUUUCCUUCUCCUCUGUUUCUUUCAUCUCUGCUUCUUUUGUCCUUUGUUUUGAUUCUUUCUCUGGAACAGAACGACUCAGAUUCUUCAAAGCCAUUGCAGAAACAGUGAGAUUUUCAUCAUCAUCUUCAUCUUCAACAAUAUGAGCUCUUCUUUUCGGUUUUGAAGCAACCAAGGGCUCAUUUCCUUUCCAUUUUGAUGAAGAAGAGGGUUGAUGAGCUUUGACUGGAGUCUUCUCCUUAAAUUUCUCCAACGCCUUGUUUAGUUUCUUCAGACGCAUCUUGGUCACCAUUUUCAGUCCUACCACCAUAUGAUCGCACGAUCGAACACAAAAGAUUUGCGGAGGCUGAAUAUUCAGAUGUCUGAAUAACUUCGUCACAAGACUUGGAUAAGGGAGUUGACCUCUGUCCUUCAUCAUGGCUCUAUACAUGUGAAACAUAACAGUGUGAGGAAGAGAAAACCUUUUCCCAGUGAGGAUGGCAUACAUCAACUUUGCCUCUGAACUUGAAACAUCGGUCUUGGAAGUUGAUUUUGGUCGGAGGCAAUUGAUCACAAUCUUGUGAAGCAAGAUGUUGAACGCACUCAUCCUUGAGUAGGAAAUCUUUUCCUCUGUUCUCCUGUCCUUAACAAGUUCCAAUGUAGCAUGAGCAAUAGAAACUUUGAUCGGUUGAUAUCUUCCUCUCUCAACUCCUAACACAUCUGCCAGCAUAUCUAUAUCCACAACAUAGUCUUGAUCUUUGACACCGAAAGAGAAUCUAUUCGCAUCCAAAAAGUUAAGAUUUGAAUAGAAAUAUGCGGUUAGUUCAGCAUAGGCCUCUGUAGUGUCGGAGCAGAACUUUUCAAGUUGAAGAUAACCGAAAUUUUCCCUCAAGUUCACAUUUACAGCAUCCAGAAAAUCAAAAUCCACACUCCUAGGGUUUAUUACCCCACGCUUCAGCAAUUUUGAGUACAAAUCCUUUUGUUCCUUUGAUUUGAACAAAUCUCAUCUUUUUCCUCGAUUUUCAACCGCAACACCCAUUCUCGGUUGAAAUUGACUGUACAAUUUGUCAUCUUCAUUCCCAUCUACAGGAUUCACUCCCCAAUCACGAGGAUCACUUGGGAUAUUCGCAAGGGUUUCUUCGGCCACCCCUUUACAAGCAAUUCCCAAACUUUCCAUUUUUCUCAAAAAGAUAUAUUCAUUGCCAUACCCUUUGUCUUUAAGAAAAUCAUCGACAUAGUUCAAUGGAGUAUGAGUUCCUUUUAAAGCACGAUACAUCUGAUAAAUAAAAGUGGGCUUUUGAACUCUUACAGGGUCUGCAUCCUCAAUGAUUUCUUCCUCUUGUUGAUGAUCAACGCCUUGAGGACUAGAUGGAGGAGAAUGACGCUGCUGAGAAUGUUGUGGGUUCGGUUGCUGUUCUGGAGACACUUCUUCUUCAGUAAGAUCGAAGUGCGUAGGCCCCUCAUUCAUUUGCCGUGGUCCCCUGCUUGCGAUUCUCGAAGACUUUCUUGAAGAUGACAUCUUUCUCAGUUUUUGGAAGAUUCCUUACUUGACUUUCCCAAGAAAGAUGACGACUUUUUCGAAGAUUAAAUAAGGGAGAAAAACGGGAAUGGAAGAUCGAUGCUUUCUAGGGUUUUUGAGAGUAAAGUGAAGAGGAAUCAACAGUGCACGAUCAGUUAAAAAGGGAGAUAAACAAACCGUCACAAAGGAAAAUAAAAAGAUGCAUUUUCAAAAUAACUGUCAUUUUUCCGCGAAAAUAGUCAUUUAAAAAAUAACUUCCUUUUUGAAAAUGAAACGAUGCAAUAGUUACGUCGAUUAAAUAUAGAAAUAAUUAAACACAGUCUGACGAUCGUACCUCUUCAAGAUAAGAUUCGAGAGAGAGAGAGAGAGAAUUACUUAUAGUCUGACGAUCGUACCAAGACUAACUUAUAGUCAAAGUCUUGUAUGUCUGAGUCUGAGAGUCUUUAGACUUUGAUUUCCUCAUACCUCAAAAUGUUGAGUCUGGAACGAAUAGUUUCAAAUUGAUUUUUCUCCAAAGGCUUUGUGAAUAUAUCCGCCAGUUGGUUCUUUGAGUCAACAAAUUGAAUUGAAACAUCUCCAUUUUAAACAUGGUCUCUAAUAAAGUGAUGUCGAAUCUCUAUAUGCUUUGCUAUUGAGUGGAGAAUUGGAUUUUUGGUGAGAUUUAUAGCGUUGGUGUUGUCGCAAUUUAUCUCCGUGCAUGAGUCUUCAAUUCCAAAGUCUCUUAGCUGUUAUUUUAUCCACAGAAUUUGCGAACAACAACUUCCGAGAGCUAUAUACUCUGCUUCUGCUGUAGAGAGAGCUACUGUACUUUGCUUUCUUGAAAACCAAGACAUUGUCCUGCCUCCAAGUAGUUGACAAGUACCCGAGGUGCUCUUUCUAUCGACUCUGCAUCCAGCAAGGUCUACGUCUGAAUAUCCAAGAAGAGUAAAGUCUCCCUUUUUUGGAUACUAGAGACCAAAGCUUGAAGUAGAUGAAAUAUAUUUGAUAAUACGCUUCACAGCAUUCAAAUGAGAUUCUUUUGGGUCUGAUUGAAAUCUGGCACAAAUGCAAAUACUAAACAAAAUGUCAGGUCUAGAAGCAGUAUGAUAAAGAAGUGAUCCGAUGAUACUCCUGUAUAGCUUUUGGUCGACUUUCUUUCCUUCUUCAUCUUUGUCUAUCUUCAAGGAACUUGACAUUGGUAUAUCAGCCUUUUUGCAAUUGUCUAGUCCAAACUUUUUGACAAGAAAGAAGGUUAACUCACCCAUCAUGCUCAUUUCAAAUUCAUCCUGCAUAGUCUUAGAAAAUUUCUUGCACAGACUUUCGUUAGAGGAUCCAAAGAUAAUAUCAUCGACAUAUAUUUGAACAAGCAGAAAACUUUUGCUUUCUCUUUUAAUAAAAAGAGUAGUGUCUACUUUACCUUUGACAAAACCAUUUCGAAUUAAAAACUUACUUAAUCUGUCGUACCAAGCUCGAGGUGCUUGCUUUAAGCCAUAUAAGGCAUUUUUGAGUCUGAAUACUGAGUCUGGUUUCCUUGGGUCUUCAAACCUGGGUGGUUGUUCCACAUAAACUUCCGCAUGGAUGAAUCCAUUUAGAAAUGCACUUUUGACAUCCAUUUGGAAUAACCUGAAAUUCUUAUAACAAACAAAUGCAAGUAAUAAAUGAAUUGCUUCUAACCUUGCUACCGGUGCAUAAGUCUCGUCAUAGUCGAUCCCUUCUUCUUGUGUGUAUCCCUUGGCCACGAGUCUACCCUUGUUUCUUAUGACUUUUCCUUUUUCGUCCAUCUUGUUCUUGAAAACCCAUUUAGCUCCAAUAAUUGAUUUACCUUUUGGUUUAGGAGUCAACUCCCAGACAUCAUUAAUUCUGAAUUGUCUGAGUUCUUCUUGCAUAGCUUCAAUCCAGCUUUCAUCGGAUAAAGCUUCUUCUAUGCUCUUGGGUUCUAUUUCAGAAAUAAGAGCCAUGGCACUAGACUCUUCUUGCCUUUUGGAUCUUGUGCGAAUUCCUUCAUUGAUGUCGCCAAUAAUAAGAUCUUUGGGAUGACUGGACUUAUGUUUCCAGUUGUUGGUUAAUUAAUCAGAUUGAUGGUCACUUCCUUUACUUGAAUCUUUAACAGUCACUUGUUGCUGGUCCUUCAAAGUCUGAGCUGCUUCUUGAGAUUUAGACUUUGUAGAGUCUGGAGCAGAUUUAGUCUCUUCAAGAUGAGUCUGAAUAGAUUCAUUUUGUAUAGAAUCUUGGAAUUUGACAUUCAUUGAUUCUUCCACAGUUUGAGUCUUCUUGUUGUAGACUCUGUACGCUUUGCUUGUGGUUGAAUAUCCAAGGAAGAUGCAUUCAUCUGACUUUUCUUCAAACUUACCAAUUCGAUCAUUUGGAUUUUUCAAUAUGAAACAUUUGCAUCCGAAUACAUGAAAAUAUGAAACAAUGGGCUUCUUUUCUUUGAAUAGUUCAUAGGGGGUUUUUUCUAGAAUAAGUCUUAGAAAAACUCUAUUAAUAAUAUAGCAUGAUGUUGAAACUGCUUCAGCCCAAAAACGUAAAGAGAUAUUGCUUUCAAUUAAGAGAGUUCUAGCCAUUUCUUGAAGAGAUCUAUUCUUCCUUUCCAUAACUCCAUUUUGCUCUGGAGUAUAUGGAGAAGAGAACAAAUGCUGAAAACCAGAUUCUUCACAAAAUUUUGCAAAAUCUUGAUUUUCAAAUUCAUCUCCAUGGUCUGUUUUUAUACUUGAAAUGACAUACCCCUUUUCAUUCUGAACUUUCUUAGCAAAUUUUUCAAAGUAAGAGAAAGUUUCAGACUUACUUGCCAAUAAAUAUACCCAAGUAAAUCGUGAAUAAUCAUCCACAAUUAUUAGGCAAUAUUUCUUACCUCUAAUACUCUGCGUUCUUGUUGGUCCGAAGAGAUCCAUAUGCAAGAGCUGUAGUACACGGUUAGUGGAAACUUGAUUUAUUGGCUUAAAGGAAUUUCUUACCUGUUUUCCCAAUAUACAUGGUGUACAUAGAUCAGACUUUUGGUAUGAUAAAUUGGGUAGACCACGAACAAGCUUCUUUGCUGAGAUUUUGGCUAUCUGCUUUAUGUUGAUAUGCCCAAGUUUUUUGUGCCAUAAGUUUGCUUCGUCUUGGAUUGAUGUUAGACAUUGCGAUUCAUCUGGUUUCACGUCUAAGAGGUAGAUAUUCCCAUGUCUUCGACCCAUAAAUGACUGAGUAGAGUCUUUACUGGUUCCUGAACAAAUACCCUCUUGAAAGUUGAUUUUAAAACCGGCAUCACAUAGCUGACUGAUACUGAGCAAGUUAUAGUUUAGCCCUUCAACUAAAGAAACAUUGCUUAUUGUGAGGUUCCCAAUCUUUACAAUUCCGAAUCCCAUUAUUUUUCCUUUGCUGUUUCCUCCAAAUGAAACUUUUCCACCAUUCACUUGAACAAGCUUUAUGAAGCAAUUUGAAUCUCCUGUCAUGUGUCUCGAGCAUCCACUAUCCAGGUACCAUUUCACCUUUUUCUUGAUAGUAACCUGCAUUUAAAAAAGACUCAAGCUUUCUUUGGUACCCAUAUUUUCUUGGGUCCUUUUGAGUUAGUCUAAUAUGUGGUUUUUGCCCAGACUUUAUUGACAUGUCUCCAAACCAUAUGACAUCCUUUCUUAAAAUGUUCUGCACUAUUGCAUUUUGAACAUCUAAGAGCAUUGCGACCUACUAGUUUUACAAAGGUCCUUUCAAAAUGAUUUUUGUAAGCAUUUCUUGUGGGUCUUUGUUUGAUUCUUUCUUUUACUUUAGGAAAAUCGAUUAAAGGAAUGGUUUUAGCAGUCAUUCCUAAACCGGCUUUAUUGAAAUAAGGUCUUUGGACAGAAAGUAUUUUCUCCAGUUUUUCAGAUCCUAGAGAAAAUCUUUUGGAAAUAUUUGAAAUAUCAUUUUUCAAGAAUGCAUUUUCUUUUAAAAGAUUAUAUUCACUUUCUUUGAGAGAAGAAACAUCCCGGUCUAAGCAUUUCACUUUUUCUUUCAAAACAUUCUCUUGUUGUUUUAGAGCAGAAUUUUCUUUUUUGAGUUCGGAAAUUCUUUUAAGAGAAGUCUUAAGACUAAAACAUAAUUCAUCAAUGUAUUUUGAAACUUUAAAAGGGAUUUUGAAGUUACUCACCUCAAAUUCACUUUCUGAAUCUGAAUCAGUCUCGGAGUUUGAUUCUGAGUCUGAUUGUGCCAUUAGACAUAUGUUGGCAUAAUCAUCAUCACUAUCUUCGCACUAUGUAUCACUCCAGGUUUCAGCUUUGAGAGCUUUUCGAUAUCUUUCAGUUUUUCCUUUCUUCUUCCUCAAAAGAGGACAGUUGGGUCUGAUGUGUCCAUUUUUCUUACAUUCAAAGCAGACUAUAUCUUUGUUUGAUUCAUCAUCUUCAACAGACUUGGUCUGUUGCUUUUGAAAACUUUGUUUCUUUGAAUUGAAUCUUCUUCCUUUUCUGUUCAGCUUUCUGAAUCUUCUUAUCAUGAGAGCAAGUUCUUCAUCAUCCAUGUCGUCUUCAGAAUCUGUUACAUCAUUAGAUUUUAAUGCAAUUGAUUUCUUACCUUUAGGAUCUUCGUCUUCAUUGAUUCGUUCCACUUCAUAAGACUGAAGGGUCCCAACCAACUCAUCGACAGACAGUGGCAUGAUUCUUUGGGUCUCUCUGAUUGAGGUCUUUAUAUGAUUCCAAUCCUUGGAGAGUCCACGCAAUAGCUUGUUUACUUUCAUGGGAUCAGAAAUUGGUUGACCUUGAUUUUCAAGACCAUUCACGAUUUCUGUAAAACGACUAAACAUGUCAGUUAUUGAUUCUCCUGGUUUCAUUCUGAAGGCUUCGUAUUGACCGAGAAGAAUGUUGAUUCUAGUCUCUUUCACUCGAUCGGUUCCUUCAUAGGUAAUGUGUAAUCUAUCCCAGACUUCUUUGGCUGUAUCACAAGAAGAUAUUUUGUUAUAUUCAGUAGGUGAUAAAGCACAAUAUAAGGAAUAAAUUACUUUUGCAUCAAGAGCUUGUCUCUUAAUUAUCUCUUCCCGAGUCAUUUCGCUAGACUCAACAGUGUCUUUUCCUCUUUUUGAGACAGAUGUAGCUUUAGGAACAAUUCCUUUUUCUACAACGUCCCAUUCCAGAGGAUCCUUUGAUCUUAAGAACGUCUUCAUCUUGUUUUUCCAUAUAUUGUAGUCCUUUCCAUCAAAGUAAGGCGGUCUGGUGUUACUUUGCCCUUCUACCAGCCCUGGAGCCAACAUACUAGCCAUUGAUCUUUAACUCUGAAGUAAAACACUUCAAACAAAGUGAGUACACGAGCUCUGAUACCAAUUGAGAUAGCUAGUAUAAGCACCUAGAGGGGGGUGAAUAGGUGCACAAACAAUUUAUCGAGAUACGGAAGAGAUUCUAGGCAAACGAUAGAAAGGAAAUUCUCUAUUGAUUAAUAAAAUGAAGUACGAUCAAAGUAAAGAGAGUAAAGAAGAGAAAAUUGAACACAAGGUUUAUAGUGGUUCGGCUUAUUCCAAGCCUACGUCCACUCUUCCGCACUGAUAGCCCACCGACUGGAUUUCAUUAUGAACAAAAGAGUAGUUACAGCACAGCUUUUCCUUGAUUCCACAGUGUAGAUGUUCUACCACACCUCCUCAAGGUUUCUCACAAUAUAGACUCUCUUUUGUAUACAAAGUUUCGCUCAAAAGAAUUGUCUAAACAACAAGGAGCUUCAGACUUUGGAAUUCUUCUAUCGCGCACACCUCGAACAACUUAGAACAUCUUCCGUAUAUACUCAUUUAUGCCAUCAUACCCGUUGGCACUUACCAAAGGAAUUCCUCCAAUCUACCCGUUGGACGGAAUCAAUUAGGAAGAUUAUUCAAGCUAUUAAAGGAACGUGUCGAUAGCCCAUCAAUCAUGUUCGCCCAUACAAUCAGGAUCUCGGUUUCUAUAAGUAGAACCUUCCAAGAAUAUUUAGGCAAUCAUUGGAUCCUUAAUCUUCGAGUCAAUCUCGAUCAAUCAAAGGAUUUCGUUGUGUCUUUUCUAGCCAAGAGAUCUUCUCCAGUUGAUAAGGUCAUAUCCUUAAUGAAACAUCCAGUUCUGGAUAACCUUUCUUCAACGGAUUAGAGACUGUCAAUGAGGAUAGACUUUGAGUCUUGAGUCUGGCUGUCCGUAGGUCUUCAGACUUUAAAUAGCAGAGUCUGCAAGCCUUCAGACUAGACUGAUGGAAACGUUUUGUCAGCUUCAAAACACUUUAAGAAGAUUUCUCCAACACAUUGCUUGUCAUUAAAUGAGUUUUUGACCACAUUUUCAAUGUGAAAUUUUCUCAGCUGGUAAAUGCAGAACUCAGAGUGAGGUCCAAGGCUUGUAAAGCUGUUUAGAAUUGCACUCUUGCCAUGACAUUGGCAGAGUAUGCAUCAGCUGUAAGUGUUCUUUAUAAAGAUUUUCACGUUUACCUAGAGCUUGUUGUUGUUAUUACUCUUCAGGUUUCACCAUUUAAAUACAAUAACAUUGUAACUAAAUGCACAGCUUUUUAUUUUGUAGGUUUAAUGCCAGAUUUGACAGAACUUUGUAGUUGGUUUUGUCCUAGAUGUGAUGGAAAGACCCAGGUAAUUUAAUAUGGUUCAAUAUGACAUUGUUGCUGAGGUUGCCUGAAGAUGGAUCCUUAGUACAGUAUUAAAUGGCCAAUUCUUCUGAUGAGAUUUUGUGGGCAUAUGCUGCCUCCUCUUAUUAGAUACUGAACUGGUAAUUAAUGCCUUUUGAUAUGAGAGGAGGGGUUUGAAUUCAUUGAAUUGAUAGUGGACAUUCAACACUGCUUACACACAGAUUGUUUGGUUGCAGUGGCUUACCAAUCUGCAAUGCUUGCGAUGCCUAUAUGUUUAAAUUGCAUCUAAUUCUUUAUAUCUAUUUCUAAACGUACAUAUAUGUUACCUGUAGGCAUACGUUGGGGUGGCCAAGGAUCUUAAUGCUAUGAUUAUAGCUUUUAGAGGUGCACAAGAACAUAGGUAUGCAUGUUAACUUUACCAACUCUUCCCCUUACAAAUGACUUGUGAAGGUUUUGAUGAAAAUUUAGCUAAGAAGAGCAACCUCCUGUGAGUGUGUACACAAGACCCAUGGAUCGACUGUCCAUAAGAAGGGAAAAGGGUGAAUCAUUUCCACCAAGAUGUGAAAGUUACCUUCUUGUAAUUGUAGAUUGGUUCAUGAGAAGAUCACAUACUUCACUAAUUUUGUUCUGUGAAAAAUUCUAUCACCUCUCUUUGUCAUUUGAGCUUUUCAGGUAGUGAUUACUUCUAUUUAUGUUUACAGCAUACAGAAUUGGGUUGAAGAUCUCUACUGGAUAGUGGAAACAGCUUGACGUACUACCCGGGCAUGCAUGGUGCCCUGGAUAGCUCUAAAGAUGAUUAUGCCUCUUGCAAUCUGUGGAUUCUUCUCAUUUGGAUUGAGUUACAGUCUUACUCUAUUGAUGUCCCUUUAUCAUGAUAUGACAAUUCAACCUGGUAGGAUGCUGUUAUAAGAACCAAGGAUUUAUGAGGGGACAUCAAUGUCAUGGUGACAGAGCAUUCUAUGGGAGGGGCUAUGAAAUCCUUUUGCAAAAUUGAUCUUGUGGUAAGAUAGCUAAAAACUGCUAUGGUCUGGAGUUGUGAAUUUUAUCUUCUUCUUUUUUUCCUAUUGCGUUCUUCCAAUAUUCAGAUGAUAAUCUAUUAAGAGUCAUCUAGAAUUCUCUGCCAAAUCUGUAUUGAAGAGUCUAGGCUCUUUAUGUGGAUCUUGAACUUUCUAUUGCUCUCAUAUUUAUAUUCACAAUUCAUCAUAGACAGCAUCUUGUUUUCUUUCAGUUUUGGUAAGUCAAACCAUAGACAAAACACAAGCAGAAUGGGGUGCACUAAGCCAUUUAUGCUAACCAACAAUUGUUUAAGUAUCUAGCACUGUAAAUUGAGUCUUACCCAUAAAGCUAUGGAGCUUCAAGUUGGUUGAAUACCUAAAUAUAGUGGAUAAGGUCACUUCCAACUAAUCAUUACAAAGUUUACUUACUUGCUGGAAAAUUUAUGGAAUUGUCGAUAUGUUUAUGGUCUAGACACAUAACUUUUUAAAGCACUUGAAGCUCAAGUUUUAUGUCAUCUAAUCUUGAAGUGCUAAUGCUUUUUAAGAUAGAUUAUAUAUCAAUCCUAAAUUUGUGUUUGGUGUACUGUUUCUAUCUAAGUCUCUCUCUAAUCAAAAGAAGCAGAUCCUCUUCAGUAGGACUACAAGGCCAGAUAUGUUGUAGGCUGGAGCCAAUGCUAAGAUGUCUAAAUUAUGCCUUUUCUCUCUGCUUUAUUGGACAGAGUGUUCCAGGGUACAUUUGGAGGCACCUGUUGCUCAACUAGUACCAGAAAUGGUGCCCAAUCCAAAAUCAUGUCCCAUUGAUUCUCUUCUCCAUGACAAGUGGUGAUUUUUUAGAGUUAAACUUGUAGCAAGUAUAACGUCUUGUCCUAAAACUUUUAAAUGAUUUAUAAUUUUAUUUUUGUUUACUGGUUUCUUGCUGAAAAUUUUGUCGAGCCAAUUGUGACGUCAUGCCUAUUCGUUGUGAUCCUUUUUAAGAUUGAGUUUCUCCUUCGCUACUUGUGAUAGUAAGUUUUGUAGUUCAAGGGGCAUUUAUGUUAUUAGCAGGAUGUGACUCACCCCACCAACAUUCAAGUGCUUCUUGUGGAAGCAAUUAAAUGCGCUUCUGUUGUAAAUUCGCGUCCAAUCCCACUAUUCCAUAUUAUUAACACCUUUUUGUGGUGCUGAGGGUGGGUUUGGUUUUGUUGUGUGUGGGGUUUUGUGUUGGGAAACUUAUGGAUGGGAUCUUGACAGAGUUAACGCUAGACCUUCAACCCUUAUGGAGACAAAGGGCUAUUCUAUUGUUCACCUUUGUAUAUGAAAUGCAAUAUAUGGUUAUUGAUGCAUAGUGUUUGUUUCCCAUCUUGAAAGGGCUAUUGAUGUAUUGACAUUCAAGUUAUUUGGCUGUCUAAUUAUGUGUGCUGAAACUCUCUUUUCCAGACCAGCAUUUGCCUGAUUUACUUAACCAAAACACUUUAUUUCCUGGUUAAUCAUGAAGCACAGAAUAUUAAGGUUUUGACAUUUGGACAACUCUGUAUUGGCAAUGCAGUGUUUGCAUCUUACUACAGUGUCUGCUUACCAAAAACAUUACGUAUUCUUCCUGGACAAGAUUUUUUGUCUUAUUUGCCUCCGUACUAAUUUCGGUUCCCACAGAAGACGUACCAUCAAUUCCCUAGAGAGGUAUGGUGUUGAUCUUGACAGAAUAUCAAAUAAAUUAUGGGGAAUUGUUGAUGACUGAAUUUGAGGUUUGCUUCACAUUUCUUUCAACCUGUCUAACAAGUGAAGUAUCAUACAUUCCGGCAUUGUAUGUACUCUCUUUUUUCAGCUUAUAAAUUAUGACUGUCUUGUUUGUUUUUCUUCUUAACAAAGCAAGGUAGUUUGUAGGACUCAUUACGUUAUAAAAUUUUGGGAUAAGUGUUCCAGAAGUCCUACAACUUGUCACGAAAGUGCAUUUCAGUCCUAAAACUUGCAAAAAAUGCAUUUCAGUCCUACAACUUGUCAAAAUGUUUCAAACGAGUCCUAAAAUCGACGCCGUCUAAUUUCUUAACGGAAAAAGCUGACGUGGCCCCCGCGUGGCUUUUUUUAAUCGUUUCUCUCUCCUCCGUUGCAAAUAGUUUUUAAAAAAAAAAGCCACGCAUGCAAAACGACGUCGUCUCCUCCUUUCUUCUUCACCACGAUGCCGUCUCCUCCUCUCUUCUUCACCACGACACCGUCUCCUCCUUUCUCCUUCCCCACGACGCCGUCUCCUCCUUUCUCCUUCCCCACGACGCCGUGUCCUCCUUUCUCCUUCCCCACGACGCCGUCUCCUCCUCCCCCCUCUGUCUCUACUUCUUCUUUCUCUAUUUUGAGUGUCCCCUAAGCCCCAAAUCGAAUUUGUCCAAACCCUAAGCCCCAAAUCGAUCUCGUCCGAACCCUAAACCCCAAAUCGAAUUCGUCCGAACCCUAAGGCCCAAAUCGAUCUCGUUCGAACCCUAAACCCCAAAUCGAAUUCGUUCGAACCCUAAGCCCCAAAUCGAUCUCAUCCGAACCCUAAAACUCAAAUCGAUUUCGUCCUAACCCUAAGCCCCAAAUCAAAUUUGACAAUCUGCAGUUAUCUUGCGAUUUGGGUCCUCAUCGAACUUGAGUUCGACGCUCGUCGUGAGUUCGUGUUCUUUCCUUCCUUUGACGAUUGCGUGUUCGUGUGAAGAUCUCGCUUACGGGAGUCUCGACAUCUCAGCGGCGAAGCGAUUGGCGUCGGGGACGACGAAAGGGUCAACGACGGCGAUGGCGACUCCUCCUCACGCAGGUAUCGCUCUCUGCAUUAUAGCAUUUUGUUGUUUUCCAUUCUCCAAUACUAGUGACAAAUUAGAACAUUGAUGCAGAAGUAAGUUAUGGUUGUUUAUUCAUUUAGUGCAUUUUAAAGAGAUGUUUUUUGGAGAUUGAAAACAUCUCCUAAAUCUCUCAAGUAAACACAUUGCAUUAUGCAGAAGUUAUUAAUAUGAAGACGUUAUGAAGGAAUCAUAAUAUAGCUAAUAUACUUCUAUUAGGUUCCUAUAAUACGAAGCCCAGACGAAUGAGGGUAGCAAUAUCUGCAUCAAGUAGCGUAACUCCUAAUGAGGUCAACUCGGAGCCAACAUGUUAUUGUGGCCUUCAAUCGCCAAUUCUUAUGGCAAAGACAAAGAAAAAUGCAGGAAGAAGGUUCCAUGGAUGUGCUAAGUUUGAUAGUCCAAGUUGCUGCAAUUUCUUCAUGUGGGUGGAUCCAAAGAUACCAAAUCAUGUGAGGGACAUGAUAGUUGACCUCCUUGAAAAAAAUCAAACAUUGUCUGAAUCAAGCCAAUCGAGGGGUGACGGAGUCGAGGUGAGCUCAUUGCUAGCUGAAAUAAAGACUCAAAAGGCAAAAAAUAGACGUUUAAAGGUGGAGCUUGCACAAGUAAAGAAAGGAAAGAUGCUAUAUCAAUCAACAUUCAUUCUAUGCAUGUGUUAUAUCGCUAUAUUGGUUAUGUAUAAUGUGAAAAUUGGUGGGAAAUUUCUAAGUCUUCCAUAGUACCUUCUAUCUGAGUUUGUAAAUUUGAACACUAGUUGUGGAUAAUUGAGAUGUGAAUGAAAUCUGAUGUGAGUUUGUAGUUUGCAAGACCAGUUGCUUGCCAUGCGAGAAAUUACUAUCGCAUUGCAAAAUGUUGCUUGAUUUGUGUGCUUGUCAAUAGCACUACAUGAGCUAUUGCCACUAGAAUAAAUUUGGAACUUCAAAAUGGUGACAACUCCCUUAUUAUGCAAUCGAGAUUGUUAAUUGGUGAUUUUUUCAUGAUUUUAAUAACGAGCUUGCCUCAAAUGGAAUGUGUAAAAAAUCAAGUGAAAUCAAAGCAGUCGCCUACAAUACCUAAGUUACCUAAUCAAAUCUUCCAUGAAUCAUCCAAUGCGGGCCACAGAGACCACGUAGAGCAAAACCCCAUCAUAUAAAAUGAAAAAUUAGCAAUAAGAGGUGGUGGUAUCGGUUACCAUUAAUGCCCCUGAGGAACUCGAGAAAAAUGUAUGGGAAAGAAGAUGACAAAAGUAUUGGAAGAAUGAAAAUUCUGCAUGGCCAAUUUCAGUAAUUACCUAUUAACAAUCCCGAAGAGUAAUCACUUUCAUGCAUUAUCCAAACCAAAACCAAGCAUCCCACAUAACUUGUUGAAACACGAUUCAUUGACAAAGCAACAGGCUUACAUUUUCAGUGCACAAAAGGUUCUGUUCAACAAAAUAUGCACUUUCAGUGCAGAAAAUGUUCUAUGCACAAACGCUACACGUCUCAUACAAAAAACCAGCUAAUAAUUGAUAUACAUUCACCUAACAACACCAAUUUCAGCAGACAUAUCAAUCCAAUAUGAUGGUCUCCGGUGGUCCAGUAGGUUGAGCCUUCACUUGAUUCAGAAUUCUGGCGCUUUUCCUUAUAUAUGGUCUCGCAGCGAUAGGCUUUGGAGGAGUUGUUGUAGCCUGACGUUGUAAUAGUGGCUUUGGCUUCAUCGCAACAUGCUUUCGAGGAGGUAAUGUUACACGAGAUGAUUGGGGUUGGGAACUUACCUGGGGUUGUGAUGGUGCCUUUCGCUUUAAACCAAGAUGCUUCUUCUGAGCUAUUGUAGCUUGAGAUGACUGAGCUUGAGAACUGGCCUGAGGUUGUGAUGGUGUCGUUGGUUUCAUUGCAACGUGCUUUGGAGGAGCUACUGUUGCAUGAUAUGACUGACGUUGUGAAGUGGCCUUGGGUUGUAAUAGUGGCUUCGGCGUCACCGCAUUUUGUUUUCGAGGAGCUGCUGAUAUAUGAUAUGACUGAGGUUGUGCACUGACUUGGAAAUGCACCUUUGCUGUUGACGUAGCUCUUGUGACUACCCCUUUGUCCGGUAGGUUAACGAUUCUUGCACCAAUUGUAUUAGGCUACAUAAGAAUGAGUAUCUUUUUAGCUUAAGGAGAUAAGUAAUUGCUAUUAUAAAAAUUUAAAAAUAUUACUCACCUUGCGAAUAUGAAGGUUUGUCAUAGGGUUUGCAUCAACACCCAACCCUAUCAUUUUCAUCCUCUUGCCUUGUGAUUCUCUCUGUAUCAUGCAAUUUUCAAUGGUAGGUCUUUUAAACUGAAAUAAUAGAAAAUUCAUUCAACAUCAGAACAUAGUCACAAUACAUGUAUACUUGGGGAUUGAGGUAUUACUUACCGGAAUUUUUUCACGUCUAUGCUUAGCCAUUAUAUUGGCCGCUGCACUGCCUUCCCCUUGAUCCGAACGAACUUCACCAAAAGCAUUGGCCUCACCACUACAUCCUCUAACAUCAGCACUAGCAUGAGCAGAAGUAGUGGCACUACAUUCUCUUACAUUUGCACGAGCACUACAUUCUCUUACAUCUGCACUAGCCUGAGCAGAAGCAUUAACAUGCCCACUAUUGUCUCCUACUGAAUUGGCAUUUGCAGAAGCAUUGGCAUGGCUUUCGGAUCCUCCUUCAGCUACGCUUGUCGUUGCUUUAGCUUUAGCCUGAAUAUAUAUUCAAAGUUACUAAAUUGGAAUCUUCAUAUACAAAACUUACAAUAAUGGUUAGAUGACAACUUACUUGUCUUUUUCCGAGCCUUGGACCAGUGGAAUUAGCCUGAGAUUGAGCAUAAGCUUCAGCUGUACUUGCAUUGGCAUGAGCACUGGAUGUACAUACAUUGACCUGAGCAUUGGAUGUACGUAUAUUUGCAGAAGCAUUGGAUAUACGUACAUUGGCCCCAGCAUUGGCCUGAGAAGCACAUAUAAAGUAUUGAUUAACAACAUGUUAAAGUGACAUGCCCAGCAUUAAGAUGAUCAGUUAGUUGAGGAAAUACCUUUUUUAAAGGACAUCCCUUGCAGUUAUGUCCAAUUUGUUUGCAAGCAGAACAAGUCAUUUGCUUACCCUCUUUAGUCAUUCUAUCACCUCUUACAAGCUCAAUCGGUUGCUUUCUUCUACUCCUUUUUGGCCUACCAGGCAUGUUCUUCAUUGGUGGGGGUUGAGGAGCUUCUUUAUUGGUUUUAUUCCAAAAUUUCUGUCAUCUCACCGUAGGCAUCAUGAAUUGAUAAGCACUUAGAUACUUUUCCUUGUUGAAGCACUCGGCUAGAUAGUCGGUCGGAUCAUUUCUCUUAUGGUGUAUUGCACAAAUGGUAUGGCAACAUGGAAUUCCACUAAGUUCCCAAGCUCUACAAGAACAAGUUUCUAAAUUCAAAUCAACAACAUAUUUGUCACCACCUUCUGUAAUCUCAUAUCCUUCAUUUUCAUUCCAUAUCAAAUGGCAAUACCUACUAGCAGAUGUAUUCUCAUGUAACUUAUGCAUAAUCCUUGGACCGUAAUUUCUAGUCCACCUAGCACAUCCAUCCCUCUGAGUAUGCAUUCUAUUCAUAACCAUGAUUCUAAUAUCCUCCAGCAUACUCACAAUGGCCUUGCACCUAGCUUCCACACACCUGCCAUUGAACGCUUCACUCAGAUUAUUAUCAACGACAUCACAUUUAAUAUCGGUGUCAAAGAAGGCUUUGCACCAAUGUUUUGGCUCAAUACAGAAUAAGUCAUCAUGACCUUCCCGAGUCAGUUCCUUCAACCUCUGUCUAUGCAUCUCGAAAUCUGACAUAUUAUUGCUCUUGACACAUCUCCAAAAUUGCCUCAACAACUGUUUUCCUUUGUAUUUUUUACCCCAGUUGGAAUAAAUGUGCCUUGCACACAUCCUAUGCUCUGCAUUUGGCAACAAUUCAGCUACAGAUUGGACAAGACCCUGACAAUUACCGAAAAAAAGAAAAUAUAUAUGAAAACAGAAAGAAAAACAUUGUAAUGUCACAAUCAAUUUACAAAUGAAAAAAGAAAAAAAAAACAUACCUUUUGUUGAUCACUUAUCAACGCCCAUCCGUCACCAUUACACAUAUCAAGGUCUGACUUCAACAAUUCGAUAAACCAAGUCCAUGUGUCCUUAUUCUCGAUUCUUACCACUGCCCAUGCCACUGGAUACAUUUGAUUGUUGCCAUCCCUUCCGACGGCACAUAACAACUCACCCUUGAUCAAACCCCUCAAAAAACAUCCAUCUAAUCCAAUGAUCUUCCUACAUCCAGCCAAAAAACCUUUCUUGCAAGCAUCAAAGCAAAUGUAAACCCUAUCAAAUACUGGUAGAGAAUUUGGCCAUGGCCUUUCAACUUUCAAUUUAAAAUUGCUUGAUGGGCUUGCAGUGUAAAGCUCUCCCAAGUAGUCGUGCAUCUGUGCAUAUUCCUUCUUGUAAUUGCCUUGCAAUUCCUUUAAUACUUCCAGCUUUGUUCUCCUACACUGACUAAAAGUGACAUUUACUCCAAGUUGUUCUCUAACUAAUUUCUUUAACUCAAGUGCUUUGAUUUUAGGCAUUGUAGAAAUGAGAAUCAUGAAGUGCUUAGCUAAAUAAUUGCUAGACACUCUCUUAUUCUCGAAAGUGAUACUGCAUAUAUGCUGAUUUACAUACCUUCUCAAAUGAAAUGACCUAGUUUUUCUAUCAAGAGCACCAUAGAUCAUCCAGUUACAAUUGUUCUGGCCACACCUGGCUCUUACAACACUUUUUGUGUUCUUAGUGUAUUUGAUUGCUCUUUGCUCAGCCACAGAAUACUUCAAAAUUGCAUUCUUGAACUCAGUUGCAUCAUCAAAUGUCAUGCCAACAAUAAAUUCUGGAUUUGUACCACUUUGAUCAUAUGAUGGAAACCUACUUCUCCUCCUUGAAAUAACAUCAACCUCUUCACCACCCUCAUCAUUUAAAAUUGAUUGAAGACUGUCUUCCUCAUCUGAAUCAGCAUACUCUGUUUCGUACCCAGAAUCAUCUAACGAUUGAGUCUCAUCCACAGUCGGUGGUUGGGAAGUACUAGUUGCCUCACUAUAAUUUAAUAUUUUGAGCCUAUGUCUUGCUGAAAAUUCAAUUAAUUUUUUCCUUGCUUCAACCAGUUCAAAGUCAUCAUCAUCACUCGCCUCUUCCAUAUCCACCAAAUUAUGUGCAUCAUCAUCCUCUUCCUCAUCUAGAUCCCUAUUGGCAACUCCAGCCCGAUUCCCGUCACCAUCAGUAUUUCUAAUCACAUUAAACAUACCUCCAGUUUUCAUCUCAACACCCCCCAUCUCAGCUCCUGCCUUUUCAUUAUCAACAUGCUCAACAUAUAGUUUUCAGAGCAUAGAUGAUGAUAAAAUAGAUCCAUCACAUCAGCGUUAUCCCAUAAAUACCUAAGAGUUACUCCGUCUACAAGAGUCUUACUUCCAGGAACUCUGUAAAAGAGUUUCUUUACUCUACAUACACCCAAAGCCUCAAUAGCUUCAAUUAUACUAGACAGUGAAGGCUUACUUAAACUUAUUUCAGCAACAUCAGCCCUUCCACCUAUGUAUUCCAAUGGUGGGCCACCUUUAAAGUUACCUCCAUAACGAACAGUGACAUAAACUUUGUUCUCGGCAAUUGGACCUACAAGGGAACAGAAACAAAAAGCAGAGCACUUUCAAUCAUCAAAUUAUUGAAGCAAUGUUCAAGUUCUAAAUUGAAGAUAUUUUUAUAAAAGACUAACAAUCAAUAUAGAAACAGCAAAUUAGCAUAAUCCGUUUUACAACCACAAUGCAACUACAUGAUCAAUAGUGAGAGCAAUGUUCUAAUUUGCUGCAAUGUUAUAAUUUAUCGCAAGAAUUGAAAAAUACAAAACAACCAUAACGCAGAUAGUAAAACGCCGCUAUAAUGUAGAGAGUAAAACACCUUUGCAAAACAAAACAAAAAAAAAAUGGUAAUAUUACUAUGACAUAUCCAAAUACUGUAAUGUAGAGAGUGAUACCUGCAUGAGGAGUCACCAUCACCGUCCCUGAUGCUGCUCGCUCCGCCGUUGAGACGCCGAGAUGCCCACAACACAUAUCUUUGCACGAACUCGCAAUUAUCAAAGAAGAGAACAUAAAGUUGAUGUGUGUCAAACUCGAGCUCUCUGAACUCCAAAUAAUGAAGAACUGAGGAUGCUAACUGACAUCGUUUUACAUAAUGCAGAGAUUAAAGCACUUUUGCAAAACAAAAAAACUCGUAGCAUUACCAUGAGAUACCCAAAUGUUAUAAUGCAGAGAGCGAUACCUGCAUGAGGAGGAGUCGCCAUCGUCUUCGCUGACCCUGUCGUCGUCCCUGACGCCAAUCGCUUCACCGCUGAGAUUUCCAAACUCCCGCAAAGAGGUCUUCACAUGAACUCCCAAUCGUCAAAGGAAGGAAAGAACACGAACUCACGACGAGCGUCAAACUCGAGGUUGAUGAGGACCCAAAUCGCAAGAGAACCGCAAAUCAUCAAAUUUGGGGCUUAGGGUUCGGACGAAUUCGAUUUAGGACUUACGGUACGGAUGAAUUCGAUUUAGGGCUUAGGGUUCGGACGAGUUCGAUUUGGGGCUUAGGGUUCAGACGAGUUCGAUUUGGGGCUUAGGGUUCGAACGAGUUCGAUUUGGGGCUUAGGGGAUACUCGGAAAGCAAAAGAAUACGUAGAGAUGGAGAGGGGAGGGAGAACACAACGGUGAAGAAGACAUACAGACGGAGGGGGAGACGAUGUCGUGGUGAAGGAGAAAGGAGGAGACGACGUCGUGGUGAAGGAGAAAGGAGGAGACGGCGUCGUGGGGAAGGAGGUUCGGACGAAUUCGAUUUGGGGUUUAGGGUUCGGACGAGAUCGAUUUGGGGCUUAGGGUUUGGACGAAUUCGAUUUGGGGCUUAGGGGACACUCAGAAUAGAGAAAGAAGAAGUAGAGACAGAGGGGGGAGGAGGAGACGGCGUCGUGGGGAAGGAGAAAGGAGGAGACGGCGUCGUGGGGAAGGAGAAAGGAGGAGACGGCGUCGUGGUGAAGAAGAGAGGAGGAGACGGCGUCGUGGUGAAGAAGAAAGGAGGAGACGACGUCGUUCUGCAUGCGUGGCUUUUUUUUUUUUAAACUAUUCGCAACGGAGGAGAGAGAAACGAUUAAAAAAAGCCACGCGGGGGCCACGUUAGCUUUUUCCGUUAAGAAAUUAGACGGCGUCGAUUUUAGGACUCGUUUGAAACAUUUUGACAAGUUGUAGGACUGAAAUGCACUUUUUGCAAGUUUUAGGACUGAAAUGCACUUUCGUGACAAGUUGUAGGACUUCUGGAACACUUAUCCCUAAAAAAUUUUAAGUAACUCUCAUUCUUGCGAAAGCCAUCAUGAGUUUUUCAUAUCGAUUCCAAAGUUUAAGACACAUAAUAAUGUUUAUUAUACUCUCUAUCUCUCUCUCUCUCUCUCUUACACACACACACACACACACUAUGUAUGUCUACCAAUGCGUAUAAUUAUUAGUGACUAGCUCAAAGAUAGCCACGGUUGAACAUAUUAAUGUGAGAUGAAAAUGAUUUGAUUCCACCUGCUUCUCUAAUAACUAAUCAUACUCGUAACAGUUUUCAUGUAAUUGGAAUCUUCCCUUUAUUGUAGGUAUGGCUAUAUAACAUAGGAUUUAGUAGUUAUCAGGUUGAGAAAGUUUGUGAUACCUCAGGAGAAGAUGCAUCAUGCAGCAAGUGAUGAGCUAGUUUCAGUCGAAGCUACUUGUUCAAACAAUUAUUUUGUGGAUUUAUCAUGCAAGAUGCAAUAAGUCGUGAUGGACCAGAUUGUUCUAGAAAAUGUCCGUCCUUUGUUACUAGGAAUAUUUGUGGACAACUGAUCAGGGUAUUUUCCUGCAGAUUGGUAACUGGUAACAGCAUUGUGGACCAUUUAGUCUUUCUAUAGUGUGCAAUUAAUGGCUAAGACAUGAGAAUCGUGCAAAAUCUUCACGGACACUAUGGAUGGAAUGUGGAGGCGAAGAUGUCAAAGGAAAUCUUAUGCUUUCCAGGAAUCCUUUUGUUUCUGCAUUGAGGCCGCAUUCAGACUCUGAUGCCAAGAGGAAAUUCAGUUGAAAUGCUCCUGGGUCAGUACUGUGACACUUGCAUGGUUAGGCAAUUAACCGGAUUCUAUGAGGUGAAACAAAGACUACGUUCACAGACCACAUCCUUUAGGAUAACCAAAAGGUGAAUGGAAGAGCUUUUGUCGCCAAUUAAAACCUACGCAUCUGAUUAUAUUUUUCAUUUUUUAAAUUAAAACCUAUACAUUUGAUUAUAUCCUUCAUUGUUUAAGCAAUAACAAAGUUAAUUUUGGUAAGGUGUGGGUAUUGGCUUCAAAUUUAAAGAACAAUCCGGCAAGUUUUAAGGAUCUCGCAUCAAUGACCAACAUGUAAAUCAACAAAAGUAAUGCACUUGAUUGUAAUAAUACUAGCAUCAAUUUGUGUAUUCAAGGGUGUUGGAGAAAUCUUUCCAGAAGAUUUUGAAGCUGACAAAACAUUUCUAUCAGUCUAGUCUUGAUAUCAUUGGUUUAAAGUCUCAAGACUUUGUAAUCUCAAGACUCAAGACUCAAGACUCAAGAUUAUUCUCGCUGACAGUCUUUCUAAUCCAGUUGCGUAGGAUAUCCGAAGCCGAAGUAUAUGGUUGGGGAUUUGAUCCAAUCCUCUGGAAUAGAUCCCUUGGUUGGAUAAUCAUUUCGGAUUCUUUUGAUUCUUAUCUAAGAUCAAUUGAAGAUCUGAUGGUCGACGAAACAUUCUUGGAAUGUUCUAUUCUUGGAAACCAAAAUCCUGAUUGUAUGGGCGAACAGGAUUGAUGGGCUAUCAUCAGAUUCCUUAAAUAGCUCGGAUGAUCUUCUUAAUUGAUUCCGUCCAACGGGUAGAUUGGAGGAAUUCCUUUGGUAAGUGCCAACGGCUAUGAUGGCAUAAAGGAGUAUAAAAGGAAGACGUUCUAGUUGUUUUAAGUGUGAUCGAUAGAUAAAUUCCAGAGUCUGAAGAACCUUGAUUGUUAGUCGAGACAGUUCGAGCGAAAUUGUAUACACAGAGAGUGGUUGUACUUGGUGAUACCUUGAGCGAGUGUAGUAGAUCAUCUACAUCGAGAAAUCAAGGAAGAUCAACACUGUAACAUCUCUUUGUUCAUAGUGGAAUCCAGCCAAUCGGCUGUCAGUGCAGAAGAGUGGACGUAGGCUUGAAUCAAGCCGAACCACUAUAAACCUCGUGUUUAAUUCUCUCUUUCCUUUACUCAGUCUUACGAUUGAUUUUUAAUCCUUCAUCUGUUUAAGUAUUACGCAAACUGCAAGAAAAUUUUCAUAAAACCUAUUCACCCCCUCUAGGUACUCGUACUAGCAUCAUCAAUUGGUAUCAGAGCUUGUGUUCUUACUUUAUUUGAAGUGUUUUACUUCAGAGUAAAAGAUCCAUGGCUAGUAUGCUAGCACCAGGGCUGGUGGAAGGGCAAAGCAAUACAAGACCACCCUACUUUGAUGGAAAGGAUUACAACAUCUGGAAAAACAAGAUGAAAGCUUUUCUACGAUCAAAGGAUCCUCUGGAAUGGGAUGUGGUGGAAAGAGGAAUUACUCCUACUGCUGCAUCAGCAUCCGAAAGAGGGAAAGAAACUGUUGAACCCAGCGGAAUGUCUCAAGAUGAGAUAAACAAGAGACAAGCACUCGAUGCAAAAGCAAUUUACUCUUUAUAUUGUGCUUUAUCACCAACUGAAUAUAACAGAAUAUCUUCUUGUGAUACAGCAAAAGAAGUCUGGGACAGAUUACAUAUCACUUAUGAAGGGACAGACCGAGUGAAGGAGACCAGAAUCAACAUUCUCCUUGGUCAAUAUGAAGCCUUCAAAAUGAAACAAGGAGAAUCUAUAACUGACAUGUUUAGCCGUUUUACAGAUAUUGUCAAUGGCCUUGAGAAUCAAGGACAGAAAAUUUCUGAUCCUAUGAAAGUGAACAAGCUACUGCGUGGACUCUCCAAGGAUUGGAAUCAUAUAAAGACUUCAAUAAGAGAGACGCAAAGAAUUAUGCCAUUAUCUGUAGACGAGCUGAUUGGAACUCUUCAGUCUUAUGAAGUGGAACGAAUUAAUGAAGAAGAAGAUCCAAGAGGUAAGAAAUCCAUUGCGUUAAAAUCUAACGAUGAUUCUGAUGAUACAGACUCUGAAGAAGAUCUGGAUGAUGAGGAGCUUGCUCUUAUGAUUAGAAGGUUCAGAAAGUUGAAUAGAAAAGGAAGAAGGUUCAACCCAAGGAAACAAAGUUUUCAGAAACAGCAAACCAAGUUUGUUGAUAAUGAGGAACCAAACAAAGAUGUAGUUUGCUUCGAAUGUAAGAAAAAGGGACACAUCAGACCAAAUUGUCCUCUCCUGAAGAAGAAAAGAGGAAAAGCUGAAAAGUCUCGAAAAGCUCUCAAAGCCGAAACUUGGAGCGAUACAGAGUGUGAAGAAAGUGAUGAGGAAUAUGCUAACCUAUGUCUGAUGGCACAAUCAGACUCAGACUCUGGAUCAGACUCAGACAGUGAAUUUGAGGUAAGUGAUUAUAAAAUUCCUGUCAAAGUCUCUAAAUACAUUGAUGAACUAUGUUUUAGUCUUAAGACUUCUCUAAAAAGGAUUUCCGAACUGAAAAAGGAAAACUUAGUUUUAAAACAAAAGGAAAAUAUUUUAGAAGAAAAAGUGAAAAGUUUAGAUUUAAAUUUUUCUACUCUUAAGGAGAAUGAAGAUAAACUUUCAUUAGAAAAUGCUUUCUUAAAAACUGACUUAUCAAAUAUUUCAAAGAAAUUUUCAAUAGGGUCUGAAAAACUUGAAAAAGUUCUUUCAGUCCAAAGACCUUACUUUAACAAAUCUGGUUUGGGUAUGACAGAAGAAACAAUUCCUUUAAUUGAUUUUCCAAAAGUAAAAGAAAGAAUUAAGAAUAGACCAACAAAGGAGACUUACAAAAAUCAUUUCAAGAAAGUCUUUGUAAAGUCUGUAGGUCGAAGUGCUCUAAGGUGUUCAAAGUGUAACAGUUAGGAUCAUUUUGAAAAAGAAUGUCCUAUGGUUUGGAAGCCUGUUAAGAGAGUAUGGCCUAGUAAUGCUUAUUCUACUAACGCCAAAGGACCCAAGAAAAUUUGGGUACCAAAGAAAGCGUGAGACUCUUCUUUGAAUGCAGGUCUCUGUCAAAAAGAAAGUUAAGUGGUAUCUUGAUAGCGGAUGUUCAAGACACAUGACAGGAGACUCAAAUUGCUUCAUAAAGAUUGUUCAAGUGAAUGGUGGAAAAGUUUCAUUUGGUGGAAACAGCAAAGGAAGCAUUGUGGGUUUUGGAACUGUGAAAAUUGGAAAUCUCACAAUAAGCAAUGUCUCUCUAGUGGAAGGACUCAACUACAAUCUUCUAAGCAUUAGCCAAUUGUGUGAUACUGGUUUCAAGAUCUCCUUUCAAGAAGGCACGUGUUCUGGAAUUAGCAAAGACUCAACUCAGUCUUUCAUGGGUCGAAGACAUGGAAAUAUCUACCUUCUUGAUGUAAAACCAAAUGAAGCACAAUGCUUAAUCUCAAUUCAAGAUGAAGCAGUCUUAUGGCACAGAAAGCUUGGCCAUGUCAAUAUGAAACAAUUAGCCAAAAUCUCAUCAAAGAAGCUUGUUCGAGGUCUACCUAAAUUGCCAUACCAAAAGUCUGAUUCAUGCACUCCAUGCAUUCUGGGAAAGCAGGUAAGAAAUUCAUUUAAGCAAAUAAACCAUGUUUCUACUAAUCAUGUACUACAGUUGCUUCAUAUGGAUCUCUUCGGACCAACCAGAACCCAGAGCAUUGGAGGUAAGAAAUAUUUCCUAGUAAUUGUGGAUGACUACUCCCGUUUUACUUGGGUAUAUUUUCUUUCAAGUAAGUCAGAAACCUUUUCGUAUUUUGAAAAAUUUGCCAAAAAGGUCCAAAAUGAAAAAGGAUGUGCAAUUUCAAGCAUAAGAACAGAUCAUGGAAGUGAAUUUGAAAAUAAAGAUUUUACGAAAUUUUGUGAUAAAUCAGGUUUUAAUCAUAUGUUUUCCUCUCCAUAUACUCCAGAGCAAAACGGAGUUGUGGAAAGAAAGAAUAGAUCUCUUCAAGAAAUGGCUAGAACACUUUUAAUUGAAAGCAAAAUUUCUUCACGAUUUUGGGCUGAAGCUGUUUCAACAGCAUGCUAUAUUAUAAAUAGAGUCUUUUUAAGACCUAUUUUGGAGAAAACCCCCUAUGAAUUGUUCAAAGGUAAAGAGCCUAUUGUUUCAUACUUUCAUGUGUUUGGUUGCAAAUGUUUUAUUUUGAAAAAUGCAAAUGAUAGAGUUGGUAAGUUUGAAGAAAGAUCAGAUGAAGGCAUCUUUCUUGGAUAUUCUACAUCAAGCAAAGCCUACAGAGUCUACAACAAGAAAAGCCAGUUAGUGGAGGAAUCAACGAAUGUUAAAUUCCAAGACUCAAUGCAAGAUGAAUCCAGCCAGACUCAGUAUGAAGAGUCUGAACCGACUCCAGACCUUCCAAUGCUUACAACUCAAGAAGCAUCUCAGUCUCUGGAAGUCCAACAUCAAGAAGCACAUGAAGAUUCAAACAAAGAAAGAGAUCAUCAACUAGGAAGAACAACCAGUAACUGGAAGCAUAAAUCCAGUCAUCCUAAAGAUCUCAUUAUUGGCGAAAUGAAUGAAGGAAUCCGCACCAGAUCAAAAAGGCAUGAAGAAUCUAGUGCUGUGGCUCUCAUUUCUGAAAUCGAACCAAAAAGCAUAGAAGAAGCUUUAUCUGAUGAAAGUUGGAUCGAAGCUAUGCAAGAAGAACUCAGACAAUUCAACAUCAAUAAUGUCUGGGAAUUGACAUCUAAACCAAAAGGUAAAACUGUUAUUGGAACCAAAUGGGUAUUCAGGAACAAGAUGAAUGAAGAAGGAAAAGUCGUACGAAACAAAGCAAGACUCGUGGCCAAAGGAUAUACGCAAGAAGAAGGAAUAGACUAUGAUGAGACUUACGCUCCAGUAGCAAGGUUAGAAGCUAUUCGUCUAUUACUUGCAUUUGCUUGUUAUAAAAAUUUCAGGUUAUUCCAAAUGGACGUCAAAAGUGCAUUCCUAAAUGGAUUCAUCAAUGAGGAAGUCUAUGUGGAACAACCACCUGGGUUCGAAGACCCAGAGAAACUACAUUCAGUCUUUAGACUGAAAAAAGCCUUGUAUGGUUUAAAGCAAGCACCUCGAGCAUGGUACGACAGACUAAGUAAAUUCUUAUUACAGAAUGGUUUUGUCAAAGGUAAAGUAGAUUCUACUUUGUUUAUCAAAAAGGAAAGCAAAAGCUUUUUACUUGUUCAAAUAUAUGUGGACGAUAUUAUUUUUGGAUCAUCUAAUGAGAGUCUAUGCAAGAAAUUUUCUAAGUCUAUGCAGGAUGAGUUUGAAAUGAGUAUGAUGGGAGAAUUAACAUUCUUUCUUGGACUUCAAGUUAAACAAAUGAAGGAAGGAACUUUUAUUCAUCAAGAAAAAUAUGCGAAUGACCUUGUCAAAAGGUUUGGAUUGGAAAAUUGCAAAAAGAUCGACAUACCAAUGUCAUGUUCUCAGAAGAUAGACAAGGAUGAAGAAGGGAAGAAAGUAGAUCAAAAGCUGUACAGGAGCAUGAUCGGCUCACUUCUUUAUCUUACUGCUUCUAGACCUGAUAUUUUGUUGAGUGUUUGCAUUUGUGCUAGGUUUCAAUCAGAUCCCAGAGAAUCCCAUCUCAAUGCGGUAAAACGUGUUAUCAAAUACGUUGCCUCAUCUUCAAGCAUCGGUCUCUGGUAUCCCAAGAAGGGAGACUUUAAUCUUCUAGGAUACUCAGAUGCAGAUCUGGCCGGUUGCAGAGUUGAUAGAAAAAGCACCUCUGGAAUUUGUCAAAUACUUGGAAACAGGACAGUGUCUUGGUUUUCAAGAAAGCAAAGCACUGUAUCUCUCUCAACGACAGAAGCAGAGUAUGUAGCUCUUGGAAGCUGCUGUUCGCAAAUUCUCUGGAUAAAACAACAGCUACAAGACUUUGGGAUUGAAGACUCAUGCACAGAAAUCAGAUGUGACAACACCAGUGCGAUCAAUCUCACCAAAAAUCCAAUCCUUCAUUCAAGAGCAAAGCAUAUUGAGAUUCGACAUCACUUCAUCAGAGAUCAUAUUCAAAAUGGAGAAAUCUCGAUUCAAUUUGUUGAUUCAAAGAGUCAACUAGCGGAUAUAUUCACAAAGCCUUUGGAGAAAAAUCAAUUCAACAUUAUCCGUUCAAGACUCAACAUUUUGAAGCCUGAAGAAGUUAAAGUCUAGAGACUCACCAACUCUAAGACUCUAAUCUUUCAGACUUUAAAUCCUCAGACUCAGACACUCGUGGCUAUAGACUGUAAGUUGUAUUUCAUCUAAGAGGUACGAAUUUUUGUUUAACUCAAAAAGGUACGAUCUUUCAUUCAGUUAUUCUAUAAUCCGCAUGAAAUUUGAAGUCUUAUCUGCUUAAAGGAAUAAUUUUGGCAGUUAUUGAUUUUGAAAAUAAUAAAUCGUUCACUUUCCUUGCACCGUUUGAACUUCCCUUUUCAAAACUGAGUUAUAUAUAUAUAUAUAUAUAUAUAUAUAUAUACAGUUUUUCUUUUCUCAAUCUUCAAAACCCUAAAAGGCACUCUCCUCCCGAUACUGUUCUACCGCUUGUUCGUCUUCGAGAAAGUGGUCAUUUUUCUUGGGAAAGCAAGUGAAGGAAUCUUCCAGCGACAAAGAAAGAUGUCUUCUUCGAGGAAAUCAUCAAGAAUCGCAAGCAGGGGACCACAAAGAAUGGAGAAGGGACCGACUCACUUCGAUCUCACUGAGGAAGAAGACUUAACAAGUCAGCGACAAAGUCCGAUUCGCUCUCAUCCACGUCAUUCAACGCCUCCUGCCCCACAAGGUGCAAGUCAUUCUUUGGAAGAAGAGAUAAUCGAGGAUGCUGACCCAGUAAGAGUCCAAAAGCCCUCCUUUAUGUAUAAACUUUAUCGUGCGUUGAAAAGCACAGGUUCUUCAUUGAAGUUUAUAGAUGACUUCCUUAAGGACAAAAAUUAUGGGAAUGAGUAUCGAUUUCUGAAGAAAAUGGAGGAAUUGGGAAUUGCCCCGAAAGGAACAGCAGAGGAAGCACUUGUGAACAUUCCAAGUGAUCCUCUUAUGCCAGGACAAAAUUUAAUUGAAGGGAACGAUGAUGACAGAAUGUUCCUUGAAUUUCAACCGAAAAUGGGCGUGGCAGCAAAGGUGAAAGGAAAUCAGAUGGAUUUGUUCAAAUCCAAGGAUCAAGAAAAAGUGCAUUCAAGGCUGAUGAAAAGAGGGGUGAUAAACCCUAGAAGUGUCGAUUUUGACUUCCUGGACGCCAUCAACAUAAACUUAAGAGAAAAGUUGAAUUUGUUUCAACUUGAGAAUUUUUGCUCUGACUCAACAGACGGGUAUGCUCAUCUGACCGCUUAUUUCUAUUCAAAUCUUAGCUUUCUGGAUGCGAAUAGAAUAUCAUUUAGUGUACUAGACAAAGUCUACGUGGUAGAUGUGAAUAUGUUGGCAGAUAUAGUUGGAGUUGAACGAGGACGUUAUCUACCAAUCAAAGUCUCACCUGCUCGUAUUACUCUGGAACUUGUCAAAGAUAGGGACGCAGAGAAGAAAAUUACCUAUUCCAGGAUGAAUGCUAUCAACAUUCUGCUACAUAAGGUUGUAAUCAAUUGUCUUAGACCAAAGUCUACGUCAAAGACUACUGUGUCUCAUUCUGAAGCAAAGUUGAUAUAUGCGAUCAACUCAGGACGAAAGUUCUCUCUCCCGCACACUAUUCUCUUCCAUAUGUACAGAGCAAUGUCGAAAGACAAAGGACAAUUGCCUUAUCCUGGUCUGGUGACCAAGAUCUUCAGACACAUGAAUAUUGAACCGCCUCAAACACUUUGUAUUCAACCGUGUGAUAAGAUGGUGAUAGGUUUGAAGAUGUUAUCGAAGAUGCGUCUGAAAGAACUUUCCAAGGCAAUGGAGAAAUUCAGAGUGAAAUCUCAUGUUCAGUCUGCUUCAAAGAGAAAAGGAAAGGAGGCCAUUGGAGCCCCAUCGAAAAAGAAGAAAAGAUCUCUCAUCUUGGAAGAUGAAGAUGAAGAGGCUGAAGAUCCUACUAUUCCUGCUCUGACAAGAACAAGACGUUCUGUGUCUCAGCCUACAGAAUUUCAGAAGAAACAGAGAGAAGAAGAAGAGCAAACCAAAAGCAGAGAAGAAGAAGAGCAGAGAGAGAAGGAGAAAGAAGAUGAAGAAGAGAAAGAAAAGUCUGCUGCUGAAUCUGGAGAGAAGGGAAAUCUAGAGCAUGAUCAUCACUCUUCCCCUUUGGAUGUACUAGAGACAGGGGGAGUUGGCGAGCAUGAAAGGUCAACACCUCAUGCUGCAGAUAGUGAAGGUCCAAGACAUUCUCCAGAAGACCCAGAAGAAUUUCAGGUUUCUCAAUUACCUGAAGAAGGUGAUACAUCAACACCAAAUCUGCAAGACUAUACAGAAGUGCCAUCGUAUACAUUUACUCCAUCUGAAAAAGCUGAUGCAAAUACUCAGACAGACAAUUCUGCAGAUUUUCAUCGUAUCAUGGAUAUUCUUCUGGAAAUGCGUGGUCAAAUAUAUGCUCUGGAAUGUGAAAUUCAAGUCAUGAAGAAUGCUGCACAAGCAUCUUCAGUAAACCUAGAGGACAAGAUGAAAGACCUUGCUCUGCAAAUUCAAGCCAAUGCCAAAGGAGAGGAGGUAGCUCAUCUAAGGGAAGACUUGAAGAGGCUAGAAGGCGUAGUCCAGUCAAUGGGAGAAUUCCAGAUCGUGCGCAUUCCAAGCAGACAUGACUCCUUUCUCACCCUCUUUUUAAAAUGAUGACAAAAAGGGGGAGAACCAAUUUGAACAAACAAACAUUAUUUUAAACUUUGAUUUUUGUGGUUAUGUUUUUGAGUAUGACUUGAGAACUUGAACUUGGGUGUGAGACUGAAUGGCUGUGGAUUUUGAUGCUUGACUGGUUGCAUUUAUAUUAAGUAUUGUUAUAUGGUAUUACUCAUGAAAGACUAACCAAUUUUGCUGUGGAUGCAGAGUCUGGUUGUUUAUUAAUCUUUAUGAGUUAGCCAUAUUGCUUGAGAAAUGUUUUUGCAGGUCAAAGUUGUUCAAAUCUACAAGAAAGUUUUGUCACCAUCAAAAAGGGGGAGAUUGUUGGAGAAAUCUUUCCAGAAGAUUUUGAAGCUGACAAAACAUUUCUAUCAGUCUAGUCUUGAUAUCAUUGGUUUAAAGUCUCAAGACUUUGUAAUCUCAAGACUCAAGACUCAAGACUCAAGAUUAUUCUCGCUGACAGUCUUUCUAAUCCAGUUGCGUAGGAUAUCCGAAGCCGAAGUAUAUGGUUGGGGAUUUGAUCCAAUCCUCUGGAAUAGAUCCCUUGGUUGGAUAAUCAUUUCGGAUUCUUUUGAUUCUUAUCUAAGAUCAAUUGAAGAUCUGAUGGUCGACGAAACAUUCUUGGAAUGUUCUAUUCUUGGAAACCAAAAUCCUGAUUGUAUGGGCGAACAGGAUUGAUGGGCUAUCAUCAGAUUCCUUAAAUAGCUCGGAUGAUCUUCUUAAUUGAUUCCGUCCAACGGAUAGAUUGGAGGAAUUCCUUUGGUAAGUGCCAACGGCUAUGAUGGCAUAAAGGAGUAUAAAAGGAAGACGUUCUAGUUGUUUUAAGUGUGAUCGAUAGAUAAAUUCCAGAGUCUAAAGAACCUUGAUUGUUAGUCGAGACAGUUCGAGCGAAAUUGUAUACACAGAGAGUGGUUGUACUUGGUGAUACCUUGAGCGAGUGUAGUAGAUCAUCUACAUCGAGAAAUCAAGGAAGAUCAACACUGUAACAUCUCUUUGUUCAUAGUGGAAUCCAGCCAAUCGGCUGUCAGUGCAGAAGAGUGGACGUAGGCUUGAAUCAAGCCGAACCACUAUAAACCUCGUGUUUAAUUCUCUCUUUCCUUUACUCAGUCUUACGAUUGAUUUUUAAUCCUUCAUCUGUUUAAGUAUUACGCAAACUGCAAGAAAAUUUUCAUAAAACCUAUUCACCCCCCUCUAGGUACUCGUACUAGCAUCAUCAAAGGGUUGUAAGAGCUCCAGUUGACAGGAAGUUGCGUAAUUGAUUGUCUUCAAUGAUGAACAAUGUAUAGAAUUUUAAGAUCCUUCGGUGCUUGAUAUUUAGGGAUUUCCGUAUCGAUAUGCAAUCAAUCAGGAGUUCCUCUAAGAUUUUAGUUUUACGAGCUUGUCCACUACAUUGCAAAGUUUCGUGCAGUGCUUCACAUUUAAGGAAGCUAAGUGCUUCAACUGACCAACGGAUCGUCAAUUUGGACCAAGCUUUCACAUAAUUACUCCAAGUCAGUCGUUCUAAAUUAACGUGUAGAGAGAAGUCCGCAACAGAAAGAGCUUGCUAAGAUAAGUUCUGCAGCAUAUGAUAUAUACCUUAAUGUUUGGCUCCAACCAUCCCAUUUCUCUAACUUUGCUCCAUCAACAGAUUUUCAGGAAGGAAAUGUGACUUCUUUUGGAAAACACAUUUUGGAAGAGCAUUCAUAUUGUGCCACACGAAAGUCUUCCAUAAGUUCAACCUGCAAGUUUACACUAUCAACUUGAGGAUAUCUUAAGUUGGAAAAUCUCCAAAAGUCCUGGCGGUGUUGUUGCCGAUGGUCAAACUUGAGACACACAGCUUCGACUUUGUCUUUCUCCCGCCAAAAGGAAAACACAUCACUUCCAGUUCAUUUUUUCCAAAGGUCGCGUAAAAUCCUCCCAUAGCAUUACAGGACGUUAAAUAUUAGUGCGGUAGAUGAGUACGGUGCUAAAGAAAAUGUAGUAACAGAAAUAAGUCGCCAAAUGAAUUCUGGCCCCAAGCUUUUUCACGUAAAAUUUUUAGAACCAUCGACAACAGUGCUACAAUGAACAAGAGUGAGCGUAAAGUAAGGAAUCUAUUUUUUGAGAGGACUUAGUGCGAUGUCAUUUUGGCCAAGAUCAACCAUCUCAUAGUCCACGAUGGACUUGUCUUUUUAAUUAAAAAACCGCAUAUGAAUAAAAAAAAUUAUUAAAAAAUUCACGUAAAAUUUUAGGCAGGAGCACUUAAAGUGAUCUUUUUUUCUUCCGAUUUGCAAUUGACGGAUCUAAUAAAAAAAUUUGCCACCAAAGUGAGCAGCUUAUGAGAAUUAUUUCCACUUCUAGUAUCCUUUUUUCUGAGAAGAACUAGUAGGGGCAUGGACAAUCUCGCUCUUUGUCUCUAUGGUGGGACUUCGCUGCCUUUCAUGAUGUCACGAGCAAUAGAAGUAGUUGUGAAUAUAAAAUUUUGUAGCACUGUUGUCAAUGGUUCUUAAAAUUUGCUACAAAAUUUAAGCUAUUAGAUAAAUGUCAAGUUUAAUAUUUGAACAUUCUAACACUUCCUCACAAAAGUAGACUAGACUUUGACCUAUGACUAAGCCUAUAUUGUAAGGGAGACGAAUAAGUUGUCUAGAAAAAAAUUGAAUUUAAGAUUUUCUACUUGGAUAUUAGAUAAAAAUUUUGUAAGAUCAUCGUUAACUAUUAUAAAAGUUUAAACUUUUAAAUGAAAUUGUAGUUUAAUCUUUAUACAUCCCUACAUCAGGCAGUCCAGUUGCCGUGGUGACUGUUAAAUAUUACUGGUGUUGUUGAACUCGAAAAUGGAUCAUAGCAGAAUUUUACGUUGCUCCUCAUCAGCAAAUCUGAUGCUUCUUUGUGAUUCCACAAUCUACUCUGCUUCUUUAUUUCCAUAUCCCCAUUUUGACAGGUGAUUUCUCUUCCUAGGCCUUUUAGCUGAUCAUGCAUCCAUAUCUUGUUAUCCUCAACAAUCAUUAUCAAGGACAUGUUCUCUAGGACUUCCAUAGCUUUUUCUAGAAAAUAUGCAGGCUCGUUCCAACAUGAAUCAUGAUGUCUUUGUCAUAUCGGACGCGAAAAGACAAGUUAUGUUGAUAAAUGUUUUCUUUUUCCCAUCAUCUAAUACCUCAUAACUUGUUUCAACUUCCUGUUAGCUUCGGCAUGAAGAACUCUUUCCAACUUCUUUAAAGUGACAAUUACGCAUCUACAUGGCAAGUUUCUAAAAUUUAAAGAGAUAAGUCGAAAUCCAUAACAUUAAGUUCGUACUUCUAAUUGAUUUAAUCAGCAUUGAGAACACAUUUGUUUUUGGUGGUAAAUAUAAGCCUGCUUCCCCAUCAAACCAAUCACGAUUACACAUGAGUGCAUUCAGUUGAUUCUUUUGAUCCACAAGACACAAAAGGACGGUAACUUUUAUACUAGACAGCCUAUUUUUCAUUGGCUUGAUCCCUUCAUUAACAUUACUUAUUCCUGUCAAUUUCCUUUUGAGGACAUGCAGAAUGAGUUGAUUCUGCAGGUACUCAGUGCCCUUGAGCUCUGAAGUUUCAUGGGCGUUAGAAAGCAACAAUGUUCAAAAUCAUGUGAACGUUGAGUGUACAUGACUUUGGUGAGAGUGGUCUUUCUAACACCAUUCAUUCCAUGAAUUUCGACAAUUUACGUUUCUUAUGAGUGAGUGCCUAUCAUACUCAUGACUAUCUUGAACACCAUUUUCACAUCGAAAGGUCCAUGAAAUAGUUUUGGCAGGUGCAACUAUGACCACCGCAAACUCCACCUUAUGCGCACCCAAUUUUUCUCCCUAUCCAGACAAGCCCUUCAAGUGUAUACUCGUCAAAGAACAUUUGGGUACUCAUAAGUAAGUCCUAUUGCAUAUCAAUGAAAAGAAAACACAUUUAGAUGAAAUGCAAUAUUCAUUCUUAUGGCCUCACAAAAGAUUAAUAAACAAUCUGGUUUGCAUAAAAAAAAAAAAAAAACUUUUACCCCCAAAAAUAUUACGUAUGAUGCCCGAAAUUGAAAAAUAAACCCCUCUAACCUGUUCUAAUGAUUUCUCAAGAAAAAAAGGGCGAACCAUCCAACUGAAACUUCAGAUCGAGUUAAACAGAUUUAACAGUUUCAUCAAUAGGCAACAACUUCCCUCACUGACUCCCUUCCUCUGUUCCUGCUAGGUUUGGUUUGGUUUUGCCUCGGCCCGGGUUGUGGGUGUUUUCUUCUUUCUUUGUUUUCCCUUUGACUCCCUUCCUCUGUUCCUGCUGCGCGGUCAGAGUGUAAGUUGGCGCCGUUCCUUGUUUGUCCAAAGUUAUUAAUAUAUUCUUACCUUUCACCAAAAAAAAAAAAAAAAAAAAAAAAAAAAACAACUUCCCUCACUGACUUCAAUUUUCUGGCUCUCAAUAGAUGAAUACACAGUUUACCAACCCAAGAUUGUGAAAGGAAUUAUAGUCCAAAUUAAAUGUCAUGCUUCAUCGUCCUUCAUUUGGUCUUCAUUUGUAAAGUAGCCACAGCUCCCUGCACCAAAAGAACCCUAUAAGUUUUCUCUUACUUCAAUUCUGCUUAGCAACAUCAGAAAACGGCAAAAAGGCAGUGGUUUGAGAUGUCUCCCUUAGCACUUCUUGUCUGUCUUAAAACCUAAAAGAAUCCUCUACCUCUAGUAUAACAUGAGGUGACUUGAAGGACUUCUAUUACAGAUAAUCACCUAGGCAUAACCAUCCCUAGAAAAUGUUGGAAAUAAUGGAGAGAUUACAAGAGUCCAGUUAUAUGAUUUCUGAUCCCAAGUUGAUGUUUAUCAUAUGUUCUUUGCACGGACAAUAUUGAAAUUUAGCCUUCACUAUCAGAUGAUUUAUGAUACCUUGGAGAAGCUAAACAGUUUUCCUCUCCCGUCACAGAUGGAAGCUUUGCCACACCAUCUUUUGAUGCCGCAACCCAAGUGAAAUUCCUCUUUCUUCAUUUAUAACUUCUCCAUGACAUUUACAAAUCCCACUAAGAAGCACACCUUCUCUUGGAAGAUAAACUGAACAUAAGCAUAUCGAUACAGAGUGUCUUUUUCACAAUUGCAGCAAUGAGUUAAUCGCCAUAAAAUUCCAGGAUGAGAACCAUAGUGCUAUGACCUUCCAACACACAUUCCAUCUAAUUGUUUAUAGUAUAGCAAAGUUAUCUCCAAUCCGAAGUAGAGGGUAUGAACUUCGAAAUAUGUGAACAGCAAAUCAGAGAGGAUCUAUAAUGAAUUGUCCUAAAUCAAAUAAUACCGAUGCAAUCCACUUGCAUACCUCUAGUUGGGAAACAUAAAGGCAAAGAGAAACCAUCCAAAAAGAAUUUAACUGAAAAAGCCAAACCAAACUAAGAAAAGAAAACAUACAUUUGUAAAUAAUGAAGAACCCUCUGGUUGUAUGGAGGUACCAUUAUUUCAAUACCUUCUUCAUAUUUCUAGGCAUCAACUCACAAAAAAUGUAAUUUGAAAGUGGAUGUAAAACUUCACUUUGAAUGUCAUCUUCAUUUUCAUUUGUUCGGUCUUCAUUGGUACAGCUGUCCAAUUAGCCAUAGCUCCCUGCACAAAAAGGUUACCGUAAGUUUUCAAACUUUAAUACCUCUCAGUAGCAUUUGACAUCGGCAAAGAGGCAGUCGUUUGAUAUGUCUUCCUGGGCACUUCUCGUCAAUCUUAAAACCCAAAAGAAUCCUCUGCUAAGAUUAAUGUGAAUGGAAGGGCUUCUAUUACAAAUAAUCACCAAGGCAUAACUAUUUCUAGAAAAUAUAGGCAAUAAUUGAGAUCACACAAGAGUCCAUUUACAAGAUCUCUGACCUCACUGAGACUCAUCAUACGUCCUAAAUGAUUUAUGAUACCUUAAAGAAGUGAGCCAUUAGAUGGUUCUCCUCUCUGGUCACAGGUGGAAGUUUUGUUGUGUGAACUAUUGAUGCCUUUACCCAAGUGAAAUUCGUCUUUUAUGUUAUAAUUUCUCUUUAACAUUUGCAAAUCCCACUCAGAAGCACACCUAUCCUGGAAUAAACUAAAGGUAAGUAUAUCAAUACGGACGGUCUGUCUACUUCACGGUUGUAACAAUGAGUUAAUUACGCUAUAAAGUUCUAGGAUUAGAACCAUAGUGCUAUUGUCACGCCCCGAAUCCCGAGCGCGUGCCCAUCCCUAUCUGAUCGAUAAUAAUUUGCGACUUCUUAGGACGAGUCGCCGACCCUUUCCAUUUUAUUGCACAUGUAGAAGCGAAAAGAAAUCCCUUGACAGUAAUCAUCUCGGGAUAGAAAGGCAGGACAAUAGAUUCACAAACAAACAUGCUUUUAUAUAUACACUGAGUCAUGUACACAGGUCUAUGGCCAAAAGACUACAAAAGACUGGCCUUCCAAAAAGAAGCAGUCCUAACUGACCUACGCUUCCAAUCACCUCCUCUCAGCUCCAGGUCCUCUACUCGACGACCCUGAAAAUGUUGUCCCACAACAGGCUGAGAUAUCAUCUCAGCGAGUCUAAGUUCUAAACCCCAAUUAGUAAGGAGAUACACCCAGAAGUGUCCUAAUCACACAAGCACACAAUCAAGGAGACUUACCUCGUCUCAGAUCCACCAUGCAGGUCAGUAUAAUUCAAAUACUCAAUUAAACAAUUCAAUUCAAAUUCACCAUCAAUCAGUCGAUUCAUUCGACUCCAUGACAUCAAUGUCAACCAUAUAUUAUGUCGAUUCGAACACUGCUUGCCUAAGCUAAAAUAGAUAUACUCAUAUAUCAUUGCUCCCCAAAGCUAAUAUCUAAAAUUUGCUCAUCGAAGCUGCUAGAUCAAAUAGUGCUCACCGAAGCUGCUAAAUAACAAGUGCUCGCCGAAGCUGAUGUCUAAAGUGCUCACCAAAGCUGCUAAAGCAUUAUUGCUUGCCAUUGCUCACUGAAGCUGCUAGAGAUCUAUAAUGACGUUAACGCUCCCCGAAGCUGUUAUAGAUCCAUAUUGCUCACCUAAGCUGAUUUGGUACUCAAAGACCACUUUCACCCGACACCCGGCAUUUUCCAAUUAAAAUACCAAUAUAUCACAAUCAUCACUCAAUUCAACAAUACAUCAUUCAAUUGCAGAAACUAAAAACAUCACUGCAAUCAGCUCGAAAUUCUAUCGAGCGGCUCUCCCGGUAUAAUUUCGGGAAAAAUAAUUAAUAAUUAAAUAUUACCGAAAUUAAUUAAAUAAAUCAAUUUAAAUUCUAACAAUACUAACCUAGGCUAGAAUCAUUAAAUUAAUAACUAAUACGAAUUGGCGAAAUUCCCAAACCCUUUUAGAUAAAUAGUACAAUUUAUUUAGGCCUUAGCUAAACCAUGCUAACCACCUAACAUGCUCAAUUAAAUAAUUACAUUUCUAAUUUAAUCUAACUAACCACCUAAUUCCUAAUAAAAUAAAUUUAAACACCCCUUAAACGUCAUUAGCCUACUAAGCAAAAUUUAGAGUAUAAACUCACCGGUGUAUCGCGAAAACCGGUUCACCGCGACGACGACGCGACGACGGCCAAAAUCUUAAUUUUCGACGGUGUCGGCGAACUUGGACCAGGCCUAGGACCAGCCCAACACAACUCAGCAAGGCUGAGUUUAGGUCUUGGGCUUCUGCAGGCUGCUGGUCGCGGGCUUGGGCCUUCUUCUCGGGCCCAAAAUGGCUGAACUUCAAAUGGGCUAGAACUAACUGAACUUGGGCCUAAGCUUGGGCUUCAAAAAUCUGCUAGAGAUUGGCUGAAAAUCACUGGGCUGAAGAUACUUGCUGGACUUGAAUCGAGUUGGACCAAAGGCUCAAAUUGUGGGCUGCAAUUGGGCUCGUGGGCUGAAGCUUGCAGAUUUGGGCCGCUGAAAAUCGAACUGGCUUGCUGGGCUGAUCCACGAGCGCAGGAAAUGGACGCUGGAGAAGACCACACGGACAGCUUGCUGGCGAAGAGGAAAGAAGCGGAGCAGCAGGCGUCAACGUGGGAGCUACUGUAGGGGUCUUCGAUGCUGGGGGUUUGACCGAGGUUUCGGUGGUUACAAACGGUGAAGGGUUCGGCUUUGAGGGCUGAAGGAUGAACGGCAAGUAGCAGUUGCAGGGGGGAAAGAUCGCUGAAGCAGCUUCGGCCUUCACUUCGGUCGUUGGUGCUGAGUCGCGGACGAAGGAAAAAUGAGAGAUCUUCGAACGUGGCUGCUUCGAGCGGUUGGCAGACGUAGCGAGAGAGAUGGGACCAGCUGGCGUUGCGGAUGAACGGAGAAGCAGCUUCGUCCGAGCUGCGGGAGACGCGCGGCCAAGAGUCAACAAAACAACUUGGCUGAGGAACUUUGACUCAUGGAGAUCAGGUGUUGGACGUGUGGCUCUGCAACAGGGGAAUUGGUGGCUUCAGUGGACGCAUGGGCUUGAGAGAAAUGCAUGGAGAGAGAGAGAGAGAACUCGGUGGAUGGUGAUAUUGAUGAUGAAAGAUGAUGAUGAUGAUGGCAUGGGAUGAAGGAUAUGCGACCAAGAGCAAUUUCGGUGGGGGAUUGCCGUUGCAGAGAGGGAGACCGAAAUGAAGAAGCUCAAAAAUGAAAAUGAAAGUGAAGCGGAAGACCAGGUUGUCGCACAAAGGGAGGAGGAGGAGAGAGAAAACCCAAUUUAAUUAGCCAAGGCCAAAAUAUCUAGCAUCCAUCAUGAUUUUGGUCCAAAAAGUCUUCAUGAUUAUCCCUUUGUCCCCAUGUUUAUUAUUUGCUAUUUGAUCAUCAAAUAAUUCACUUUUGAUAUCCAAAAAUCCAACCUCUUCUCAAGCUCCGAAUUUAAUCAAAUUGAACUAUAAUUCAUCACUCAAUUUCCUAAAUUGAGGUCCAAUUUCGCAGUAGAAAAAUCUCAAAUAAUUUUCUAUAAUUCCCCAAUAUUAUACAGCUCGGCUUGAAAGUCCAAAUUUUAUUUAAUUUGGCCCAUCCGAAUUUCCGCUAAUUUUCCGCGGCAUCCGAUUCGAUUUUCCGUAAAAAUCCCGGAAUCUCUGAAAAAUCUUCGGAGAAUGAGUCGACGUUCCUAAAAUAGCUUGUGACACCUCAGAACUUUCAAUUUCUGAAAUCGGGUUCAAAUUCGCGAUUAUUUUCAAUCCGGCACACUUUAGCGUGACCUAAUCUACCAAGUAACUUUUAGGAAUUUUUUGGUGCAAUUGACCUAUGAUCGAUUUAUCUCGAGUCACAAAGUAAAUCUUCGACACAUUAGCGACUCUCAGUUGUCGUGAAAAUCUCGAUGUUUCAAUUACGGACACCGGGUACCAAAACGACAAAAUCGAUUUAGUGCUGAUCGAUGAGAAUUUUUCAAUUAAGUGAAAUCACCCACAAUUUGAUCACAUAUCUCAAUCGAAUCGACCUAUCUCUGAUUUUUUAUCGCUCUCUGACGGUGCCGUAAUGACCCUUGCAGAUCAACACGGUUGAGCAAUCGAUUCUUGGUUGAAUUCUCAAGUCAAAUUGCAUUUAGAUUCCCUAAUUGCUUCCCCAGAUAGUCUAGUUAUCUCAUAAGUGAUCAGCUCAGAGAAUAGCACUAUCGGUGCGUCGACGAAAGGCCCGAUUUAUUUAGUCGAAAACGAAUUCUGAAAAUUCAGGAUGUCACAACUAUGACCUUCCAACACCCAUUCCAUCUAGUGGUUUACACCAUAACAAAGUAUCUCCAAGGCGUAGCAAGGUUGUCAACUUCAAACUAUGUGAAACAACAAAUUAACAAGGAUCUCUAAUAAUAGUCAAAUAUCAAAUAAAAACGAUGCAAUCAACUAGCAUAGCUCCAGCUGGGAAACAUAAACGCACGGAGAAACCUUCCAAAGAAUAAAUAACUAAAAAAAAGCCAAACCAAAUUGAGAAAGGAAAACAAAAAUGUUGCACAUAAUUAAGAACCCUCUGGUUGUAUGGAGGUAUCAUAAUUUUAAUACCUUCCUCAGAUUUUCAGUUAGAAGAUAAUAAACAAGUGCAUGUAAAACUUCUGUGUUCAUAUCUGUGAAAAAAUUUGAUUGCAAAAAAGAGCAAACAUUGAUUGUCAAAUAAAUGAGUUACCUCAAUUCGUUCAAAGUUUGAACACAAGGGAAACAAUUUAUGGUCGUGGAAUAAGAAGUUUUCAAGUGCAACGUGCACUUGUCCGUUGUCUUCUCCCUCAUAAUAUAUGCUUUGCCUAAACAGGACUGACUUCUCCGAGAAAAGCCUAGAAAUUGCACCACAUUUAAUUUUUUGUAGCGAUAUAUUCUAACCUCUUUCAUUCCAUUCAAGCUGGACAAAUCGGGCAACUUCUAUAAAAAAUCACAGGAAUCAAUCUCCAAGUUUUCCAAAGACUCUGGUAGUUCACCUUGAAUCCCAAUUGGAUUUUUACAACUCUCUACUUGAAGACUCCUCAGUUCGAUGAAAUUGGUUAUAUUAGAGAGUAUCUUCACAUGUCCAAGUCCAAGAAGACACAAAUCUCGUAGGUUCUCCAAACAACCAAGGCCUUGAAUCUCUGUAAUUGCAGCGAAAGAAAUAAAGGAGAGAUGAUAGUUUAUUCAAAUUCGAUAGAUCUAUCAUCGAGAAAAGUGACCUACAUUUUGGCAACCGUAAGGAGGAUAUACUCGAGGGAAGCUUUGGGAGGCGAUGCAGAUUUGUGCAUAGAAGGUGAAGUGACUUGAGAUGAGAAGGGAGGGUAAGGUCUAUCGGUGAGGUGGUCACGUAAGGUGACAGUUUCAGAGACUUUAGAUUGCUUAAGUUCCCAAUCCACCGUGGCAUGGAAACUUCCACAAGCUCGUUAGACAUCCCCUCAUAAUUAAGUGGGCCAAACCACAGAUCCAAUACCUUUAAUUUAGUGAGGUACGAGAGAUCUAGAAACAUGUCCAUGUCCAUGUCCAACCAAGAUAGUUUUAAUUCAAUAAGACUUUUAGGAAGCAUUGGCAGUGCAUUUAUUUCCACACUGACCAAUUUAAAGAUCCUCAGGGAUCGACUCCUACAGAUGCAAUCGCCAAUUUUCACAUGGACUGCACGGUAUAUUGAAUAAAGGCAUUCUAUUUCUUCGAGCUUCUCAAUCGUCCAAAGUACAAUCACAACAUCUCAAUUCACAAGGUGGUGCAUGUGUUAAUAUACACAUCAUGGAUAUUCCAAAGAACUUACAAGAGAAGACAACUCCUAGUAAACAAUGGAAAUGAACAUCCGAAGCCCAAGAUUAAUCCCAGGGAAAAUGAAAAGUGUGGAACAAGAGACAUCAAUUUACAUCACAUGAAGUAAGAACGACAUAAUAAGUGAAUUCAAGCAUCCCGUGGUAUUCUAUUAGCACUGACAGCUUCUACUGAUUCCAGUUCUUCCACGACUUUAGUCCUGGAAGGCCGCUUGUUGUGAGUCAUUUGGAGGCAUUAUAAAGCAAGCUGAGCAAUUUGGAAUGCAGAAUCUAUAUAUGCAAGGUAUAGGGACGGUAUAAAUUUGGUUCCCAUUUCCUGCAGGUGGCAACAUCAUGAGCGACCAGCUUCUUCUAAAAUAACCAGUGUUUCUUUUUCGGUAAUUGGAGCAUCUGCAGAAAAUGGAAAGUUAUGUGGGCAAUACAACUGUAGAUUCCAUGCCAAAGGAUUUAAUUAGCUAAAAGGAAAACACACCUCGUAUUUCAUAGAGGGGAUUAUAGUGAACCUCAUACCAGAAGCUCAACCAAAACUCUGCAUCAAUUGAAAGUAAGGUUAACAAAAGGAAAAACUCAGAAAAUAUGGAGUUUCAAAAGACCAGUUGCACAUUGAACAAAAGCAACAGUAGAUCAAUUGCAAAUGUUUACAUCUAGGUUUAAAAUCAAUCAAAUGUAUAUUAAGCCGUUCCCAAGCAGCUGUUCUAAGAGAGCAAAAGAACAAAUAUUUAAUUUCCCAGAUGAACAACAACAACGCAUUGCAAAGGAGGGUCUAUGCGUAUAUCUAUAAGAGCAACGCUCUUUUUUCCAAGCCAAACGAGAAGUAAAAUAUCAACUUCACAUUCAUCACAUUGCACCGACUGAUCAUUUGACCCAACAAAACAACUAUGAAGAAGAAUAGCAAGCAAUACCGUAGGCAGACGGAACUUAUAAAUCCAAUGGCCCAACAAUAAUCAAGCUAUCAAUAUAAGUAUCAUCAAGAGGUUUUAGCCCUCCUUCAGGUUCUCCAACAUCAACCAAAUAAGCACUGAACAUCAAUGACUCACCGGAACAAAUAACUUCAUCAUUCUUCAAAAUUCUGCAUUCCGACAGCUGCUCGCUGCCGUCGUAGGGCAUUACCUAUCAUAUAUCCGACCAUCAAUCACAGCAUGGACUAAUUUACUCCAAACAAGCUCAAUCACGGAAAAUAUUACAACCAAAAGCACAGAAUAGAACAAUCCGUGAUGAUAGAAAAAAUGAAAUCCUAAGCAGCAUUGAGCUGCUGCCAUUAAGUGCGAUCGAGCAAGCUAAAUUUGGGGGAAAACGGUAAUAAAUCAAUAGCCACUGCAGUUUUGACACAGAUUAGCCAAUCAAACCGAAUCAUGUCCAAUCCCAAUCAAAGGCAACUAAAUUGCUGAACGGGUUGAGCUGGACAUCACUGGCAGAGAUUAGUAGUGAAAGCGAAGGUACCUUGCUGGUGGAGGUGCAGAGUGAGAGGAAGCCGUCGCAAUAGACCUUGUGCAUCAGCUUCUGCUUCAGGUGCUUCUUGAAGGUGACAUUCCAGCACAUGCAGACUCAAGCACAUAACUUAUUUCAUCAAACACCAAAAUUGCACAUGAUCACCGAACACUGGACAGGAAAAAUUUAGAUGGUUCACACUCACACAAAGCAUAAUUCAGCACACUAAUUACAAACACGAUCCAAAAGCAGUUCAGGAUUGAAAAAGAAAACCAAAGCACAACACCAAUCCACUCCUAGAACCUGCAUUGCUGGCUCAAAAUGCAGGCGUUGAGUCCAUCACGGAGCUGAAAGCUCUGACGUAUUCAUCUGUGGGAUUUUGCUGAGUCUGAGUGUUCUGUAUGAGGGCAACAAGGAUGGUGAUGCCAGAUUUCUGUCCCUCAAGAUUCUGUUUGAUGCAAUGUUCAAUUUCCUAAUCUCCAGAAUUAGAGCUUAAGUUGGCAGACUUGAAAUCCAUAUGCUAGGUGCAAUUUCUCCCUCUUUACCCAACCUUGAUUGAGGAUGAGGACCACGAUACCAAUGUGAGCGCAGAAGCUCUCCCUGAUGCUCAUAGAGUUCAACUUGACUAAAAUUUCUGAGAUUCUACACCCAAAGACAGUCAGCCACUGCUUCAGAUUUUCACUUGGUGAUCUGUCCUGUGCAAAUUUGAAUGAUGUUGAGCUGCAUGUGGCUCUGACAUCGGCUCGGGAUAUGGAUCCUAAGUUGCUUUCUCAGCUGAAAGUAGCACAGCGGAUUCGAAAUCUUUUAGUGUUUGUACAUGGGAAGAAUUUGGAAAAUUUUCUCAAAUUGAUGCUUGGCUUGUGCAAAGCUCUUCUUUUAUGAUCACUAGGUUCUACGAAAGGUUCCACGUACAAGGAAGAGCCAACACUACCUGAGGAAAUUUCUUCUGAGGUGGCGAGUAGCAUAUGACAGAUAACUGAAUUUGGUGGCAGUGCCAGUGUUUUCCUGGAAUUGAGUGGGUCUCAUGACAAAAACAAUGCCGAUAUUGCUUUUGAAUGCACAGUUCUAUUACUGAAGGUGGCCCCGAGGGAAGGUGCCCUCUUUUUCUUACCGAUCUUUUGUAAGUGAGUGCAACUCUCAAGUCUCGGCGAGAUGGCCUCCUUCUCUACUGGUACAGAAAAUGCUGCAUUCUCUCAGUUACAACUGUAGGUGAUGUUUGCUGCACAGAAUGAUUUUUGUCAGUGUGCCCAUCAAAGAUUGCUAUGAUUGAAGGCAUCGUUGCUGAGAUAAGAUAUUCUGGUGGUGUUGCUUUAGCCACUGCUGCCACACAGGUAAUCUCGGAAUUGCGGUGGCUCCCUCAUUUAUGACUUCUCCAUAACAUUUGCAAAUCCCACUAAGAAGCACACCUUUCCUGAAAAAUAGACUGAACUUAAGCAUAGCUAUACAGAGUGUCUCUACUUCAAAGUCACAAUAAUGAGUUGGUUAUGCUGUAAAGUCUCAGGAUGAGAACCAUAGUUGUAUGACCUUCUAGCACACAUUCCAUCUAUUUGUUUACAGAAUAGCGAAGUUAUCUCCAAUGCAAAGCGAGGAUAUCAAUUUCGAAAUAUAUGAAGCAGCAAAUCGACAAGGAUCUCUAAUAACUUGGUACAUAUCAAAUAAAAAUGAUGCAAUCAACAUGCAUAUCUCUAGGAGAAAUCAUCCUAAGAAAAUGCAGCUAAAAAAGCCAAAGCAAACAAGGAAGGGAACACAACUACUUGUACAUGAUUAUGAGCCCUUUGGCUGUUCGGAGGUUUUAUAAUUUCGAUGCCUUCAUCAGAUUUUCAGACAUGAACCUGUUAUUAAAAAGUGCAUGUGAAACUUCUCUGUUCAUAUCUGUAAAAGAAUUUGAUUGCCAAAAAAGGAAAACAUCAGUACUUACCUCAAUUCAUCUAAGGUUUGAACACGAGGGAACAAUUUGUGGUCGUGCAUCAAAAAGCUUCCAAGUGCAACGUGCACUUAUUCAUCGUCUUGACCAUUCUCUUUCAUAAAUUUCAAAAAAUCGUCUUGCUUCAUUAAUUCGAAAUUGUUUAGCCAUUGCAGAAAUUCGUCCUCCAUCAUGUUCUGCUAUUCUUGCCCAAACCGGUAAUUUGUCUUCUUCAUCGUCUUCUCCCACAAAUUCGAUUGACUUCUCCGAGCAAAGCCGAGAAAUUUCCUCCACCGCCAAUUUCCCGCAACGUUUUAUGAUAACCUUUUGCUGUCCCUUCAAGCUUGAUAGAUCAGGCAACUUCUGUAAAGAUUCACAGGAUUCAAUCUCCAAGUAGGCCAAAGAUUGGGGUAGUCUGUCUCGAAUCUCAACCAGAUUACCACAGUUUCUUACUUGAAGAAUUCUUAGUUGGUUCAAAUUGCUUAGAUCAGGUAGGAUCUGCAUCUGUUUAAAGCCAUAAAGCUCCAAUCGUUGUGGACUCAUCCAGGCGUUAUGAAGAACCUGAUCGCAAUUGUUUAUUUGAACAAAUGUCUUACCCAUUAAGCAGAACAGAUCGGGCAACUCCUAAAAUGAAGGACAGAAAGAAAUUUCAAAUUCAUCCAAAAACCACGGUGGUUCGCCUUGAAUCUCGACCAGAUUAUCACAUUCCCAUACUCGAAUACGCCUUAGCUUGUUUAACUUGCUUAGAUCAGGUAGCAUCCCCAGCUAUCCGAUGCAUUGAAGGUACAAAUCUCGUAGGUUCUCCAAACAACCAAGGCCUUCAAUCUCCGCAACUGCAGAGUACGAAAUAGAGAGAGAUGAUAGUUUCCUCAAAUUCGUUAGAUCCAUCGAGCAAAGUGAGUGGAAACCAAGGAGAUCUAAGGAGGUUAAACUUGAGGGAAGCAACCACCCGUGGUGGUGGCGUAGGUGGUUGAGCAAGGGAACUUUUCACGAGAGGUCCCGAGUUCGAUCCACGGCGUCGUCGUUGCUUAAGUGCUAGCCAUGCCUUAUCCGGGGCACGUGGGUGGUGGUUUCCCACGUGUCUCCCCAGGGUUUACUCCCCGGCUGCCGGCCGUGCGGUGGAUUCCCUGGGUCACCAAAAAAAAAACUUGAGGGAAGCUUCCGAAGGCGACGCGGAUGAGGAGGGAGGCUUAGGUCUGUCGAUGAGGCUUUCCCCCUAAAAUAGCGCAGUCCCAGAGACUCCAAUUUGCUCAAGUUCCCAAUCCACGGUGGUAUCGGCUCUUCCAUAAGCCCAAGAUAUUUCCCAUCAGAAUCGCGUGGCUGAAAGUCCAGACGCAAUACCUUCAAGUCAGUGAGGUUUGAGAGAUCCGGAAGCGUGUCCACCCAAAAAUCCCCCAGUUUUAAUUGGGUAAGACUUUCUGGAAGCCUUGGUAGGGCGUGCAUUCUUACAUUUUGCAAUGUCAAGAUCCUCAUGGAUUUAUUACCGUAGAUGCAAUUGCCAAUUUCAACGUGGGAAUACGUGCCAGAGUGGCCAGAGAUUUCUAUUUUUUCUAGCUUCUCUAUCGUCCAAAAGGCAUUGGGUAUUCCGCUUAUAUCACUACUCCGCAUCUUAACUGCUUUCAAAUUCUUCAACUUUCCGAUGGAAUCGGGUAGUUCUUUGAUCCUUGUGCCACUCAUGUCCAAGUCAGUCAACGAUUCCAAAUUGCCGAAUGUCUCCGGAAGCAUCUUCAAACUCAAGCAACUUCUUAGAGAUAGGUAUUCAAGGCUUGCAAGAUCUCCACCCAGCUCGUCCGGCAGCCUCUGAAGAUUUCAACAAUCACUUACAUCUAAGAAAACCAAGCAUUUCAACUGACAAAUUGAUCUAUCAAUUUCAAUUAAUGAUUCACGGCCUGAUAGGAUCAAACGCUCUAAAUUUGAAUGACUAGAUAAGUUGGGGGUUCUCUUCAAGUGUUGGCAAUCGGCCAGAUCCAAAACUUUCAAAUUCUUAAUCACCUAUAAAAGAAAAAUCAUGCAAAGUUUACUUUUGAAUCUAAUAAAAUGGAAGAACAAGUGUUGUCUAGCAUAUAACAUACCUUCAUGUGGCUCCACCCCUUCCAAUAAUGUGUAAUUUCGCUUCGAGAUAGAUCAAGAAUAGUCACAUUCUCUAUGGAGAAAUUUGCAAUCUUAAAUGUUGGGUCAAUAUUAUGCCAAAAAAGCCAUCGUAAUUCUGGAAGGAGAUUUGAAUUCUUUUGGAAAACAUUAAUUAGAAGACAAUUUGAUAGCCAUUCGAGCCAAAGAAGCUUCUCUUUUGCACAAUAAUUUUCCCCCGAAUCAUCCACUUCAAGGAACGUUAGAUUUGGCAAGCUCUUAAAGUCCUCACGGGUAAAACAAUGCCAAUGGUCAAACUUGAGACGAAGAGCUUCAACUUCUUCUUUUUCCUGCCCAAAGGAAAAAAUUUAAAACAAAAAAGUUGAAAGGAAACUCAUUUAUUCAGGUUCACUAUUUUAAGGGGUUGAGUUGAGUACUAUCGUUCCUUUAAUUUUAAAAGAGCAAAAAUAUUGAUUGAAUAGGUCCCAAUGGUGUUAGAGUACAUAGAAAGUAACUACCUUUUUAUUUUUUGAAAAGAAAAUAUUCAUAAGUAACUUGACAAUUUAGUGCACGAGGGAUUUUACCUCAUGUCUCCUUAGAAAAUCUGAUACGUCCUCAAGAUUCCACACUCUACAUUGCUUCUUUAUUUUCAUCUUGCUCUCUUGAUGAAUUAUUUCUCUUCCAACAUCUCUGAGUUGAUCAUGCAUCCACACUUUAUUAUAUUCUUCAAUCUUUAUCAAAGACAUGUUUUGCAAAACUUCUAUAGCUUCUUCCGGAAAAAAGUCACUUUUCCAGAAAUAGACAACAAUAUCUUUGUCAUAUCCAAUGAAAAAACAAGUUAUAUCAAGGAAUAUAUGACGUUGUUGAACGUCUAAUGCUUCCAAACUUAUUUUUAGCUGAUUCUGAAUUUCUGCAUGAGGAACACUUUCCAACUUCUUCAAUAUGUCAUCCCACUUGAUCCUUUUAGUGCGAGAUAAAAGUGAACCUAUGACUUCUAGAGCUAGCGGAAGACCUUUAGCAAUGCGUAUUGCCCUAUAGGAUUGGCCAAUAUACUCAUCUAAAGGAGAAUCUCUUCUGAAGGCAUGUUUGCUGAAGAGUUGAAGAGAUUGAUUGUGAUCCAUGCCAUUAACCUCAUAAGUGGAGUCCACUUCGGGAACAACGAGAACAUCUUUGUUCCUUGUAGUAAUUAUGAGUUUACUCCCCUUACCAAACCAAUCACGCUUACCUACAAGCACACGCAUAUGAUCAAUUUUUUCCAUGUCAUCAAGAAGAAGGAGAACUCUUUUAUUAGGAAACCUGUCUUCAAUUGUCUGAAUCCCUUGGUCAAUGUCUUUUAUGUCUGGGCAUUUCUUUUUCAGGAUGUCAGUGAUGAGCUAAUUCUGCAAGGAUGGAAUGCGAUUUCCUUUUGACAUUUCUCGGAUAUUGGAAAGAAAGCAACAAUUUUCAAAAUCAUGUGAAAGUUGAUUGUAGAUGAUUUUGGCAAUAGUCGUCUUUCCAACACCACCCAUCCCAUAAAUCCCUAUAAUACGUGUUUCCCUUGUUUGAGCACCUAUCAUUUCCAUGAUUGCAUCCACAUGGUUGUCAACAUUGACCAAGCAAUCUGAUACCACCAGAUAAGCCUUCUUCAACUCAUUAAAAACCUUUUGGGUUACGAUUUUUGUGAUCUCACCUUCUUCCCUAGUGUUUGUUAGAGGUCAAAUGGCAAUGAGUUAGAAAAUUGUGUUGAACCAAACUAUGUUCUCACAAGAACAAAGUGAAAACUAGAGACCUAUUCGAAAUGCAUUCCAUAAAAAUUUACUCCAUUGUAGAUAAAUUAGCAUUGGUACAUAUAAUUAAUGAAUGACCUAAGCUGGAAAAAAAAUUAUUUGGAAUGAAAAAAAGACAAUAUUGGGAUUGUACCAUUAUUUUGUGUGAUUUCCACAAUAUAAUUUCAAUAGCAUAAAAUUCAAUUUCAACGAGGCCAACACAAAUCUAGAAAAGAAACCAAUUGAACCAUAUUAAAAGUUUUAAUGGUACUAUGCACAUCAAAUGGAAUGAUAGAGGCAGUCACUUGUUAGGCAUGUUGUGUAGAUCCCACCUGUUUAUUGCCCCAGCUGCACUGAGAGCAGCCUUCCACUGAUGCAUAGUCUCUUUGUUGUGUCGCUUCUUCUUUUCAUGUGAAAGAAAGGCCUCUCCAUAACCCCCAGUUUGGUAUCGAACCUCUGAAGGUGCCACAUCAUAAAAAAUUGGCAUAAUCAUUUGUCCCCUAGAUUUUUGGCACUCGACCAUCUCAACUAGCUCAUUGAGACACCAUACGCUAAAGGCAUAACGUUUUGAAAAUAUAGGUAUUGAGAUCUUCGAUUGAUUAAUUGCUCGGAGUAGUUCUGGGCCAAAAUUUUCCCCUUUGCGGAGCUCUUUGUCAUCCUUAUAGACGUGGAUUCUUGCAUCCAUCAUACUAGUGUAAAGGAAGCUAGUAAAACCUGUUCGAGUAUCGCUUCCUCUAAAGCUCAAGAAUACUUCAUAUUCAUAUCUUGAUGAAUUACCCAUUCCCUGGCCUUCUAUUGUCGUGUGAGUAAAAGAAGCACUCCCUACUAUUCCAUCAUUUUCACAGGUACUGUGUUUCUGCACUCCCCUCCAUUGAUUUCACUUGAUCUAAUCUUCAAGAAAUACCAAACAACAUAUCAGCAAAAGUAAUGGCAGCUAGAGAUGGAGAAUGUUUAAAAGCCUGACUCACAAAUAAUGAAAAUUCUGUAGGUCAUUAAACUUAGUACCCAGGAUUAGCUAAAUAUGCAAAGAGUCGUGGGCCAGUGUGCUACAAUUGUUUAAUAAGAAUGAUUCAUUGUAGCAUCACUCCAGUCUGUCAAAGUUGACAAUGCAUGUGAACAUAGGAGUAUUAAAUCUUGAGGAGCAUUUUAACACCUCGAGGAGUUUUAAAUCCAUUGGGAGAACGCUGACAUAGCACAGUGCAAAGUUUUCAUUUAAAAAAAAAAAAAAACGGCUUGCUCUUUUCAAACUUGAGAACAUAAAUUAUUCCCUAGGAGUUCUAAAUCUUAAGGGGAGAAUGUGAACAUGUUCUCAUUUGACAUAACACAAUGCAAGGCAUUCCUUUUAAAAAGAAAAGUUUCACACUUCUCGAAUUUGUACAACAUAAAUUGUUUCUUCUUAAUGUCACUUUUGCAAAUAUGACUACCACUCUCUCUAGAAUGGAUCAAAAAAAUUAACCACAACUAUUCAUGUGGUGGGAUAGUUGUAGUUUGAAAUAUUACACGUUUCCAAAAUUCCUUUUACCAAAAAUGGAGUUUUGUUUCGUUCACGCUAGAUUUAAAGAACCAAUUAUAAACUUAAAGUAUAACUGGUAAGUAAAAAUUAACCAAUAACUUGUGAGUCUGGGCAAUUGUUAGAAAGUCAUCAAAAAAAUAGUUUUUUCAUCCUCAAACCAAAUAGUGGAUUACCAUUUUUUUCUUUUAGAUUUUGCAAAUGGGUUAGUAUUUUCGCUUGUAGAUUAUGAAUGCUCACAUACUUUAUUAUUAAUAGGCUCGAUUGAUGUUCCAACUUACUUACAAACAAAAUAACUACUUUACCCCUCUAGUUCCAAAUACGGUGUUAACAUAGUUUCGAUUUUAUGAGUAGCAAUGUUCAUUUGUACAUACCACGUGAACCAAAUAAUUAAUUUACCAUAUGGAAAAAACUCUUGUAACUUACCAGCAAUCGUCUGCUUUUAUAAGCGGAUAAGUAUGUUUGGUAGUAAACUACAAGUUGCUUACAUGCUUUGUUAGUAGUCUUGGUUAGCGGUGGGAACUUACAAACAAAUAACUAUUUCACUAGUAUAAAUCCUUACUAUAUUAUUAACCUUAUUUAGAAUAAAUUCACUUGUCUCGCAUGUUGAAUAAUAAUCUUUUCAAGUUCGAAUAUUAUUGGCAAAGAAAAAGUUUGAAUAAUUCGAGUUAUUGGAUUGAUUCGAACUUGGAAUCGGGAAAAUUAUACUCAAGAAGCUUGUGUUUAAAGGAAGCGCCAAAAGAGGAGAAACAGAGAGAACGGAAAUUUGUCCAGGAGCACGCCUCAUUUUAGCCAAACUUCCUUCAUUGCCCUCACGUAAACGACGAAAUCACCGGACGUGACACCGAAUAUGCCCGCCGACAGAGCAAGAGCCCGAGGUCGAAUCAGGAAAAUUCGCAAAUCCGUCGUCCUCUCCUUCCCUUCCCCCCCACCCAAAAACAAAAAGCUCGCCGUAGCUUUCGAUCGCGAAUCGCUACGGAGUCCACGAACGCUGCGAAGACCACGAUUCGAGGUUUGAAUUCGAGCAAUGCGGACGAAGACCGCAAUCGAUCUCUCCAUCUCGCCAGGCGAUCGCGCCAUUUUGAUUGCGUGAGAUUGGAAUGAUGUUGUUGCUCCAGCAGAAUGUGGAGUUGAGGGUGAUGGUUGUUCUGGAGUGCUUCAUUGCCGCGGGUGGGGGCGAGAGGUAAUUGCAAUUCGUGUUCAUGUAAUCAAUUACUGCUCCGAUCCUCCCACUUGAUUGGGAUUGGGAGUCUAGUAUCGAGCAUGUCGGUUUUGAGGUUGGACUGUGAGGUUUGUAGUGUGAAUUUGGCGGAUUAGGCACUUCAGGGUUGGGGGGAUCGUCGACCGUGUUGUGGAGCUGAAGUGCCUGAUUUGAUGGGGCAUACUACUGCCGAAUUAUUUGGUUGGAUUAGCUAAGCUCUUGGAUUACUGAGUUUGGAUCAAUACUACAACUGGAAUAUAGUCAGAUUGAUCGAAUUUCCAUAUAUUUGUUCGAUACAAAUAUUUCUUCCCGCUGUUUCUACUUUGGGGGUAAAAUUUGUUGAGUGUCUCACAAUGAUUGACUAUCGGCUAUUCGGCCUUUCUCCAGUUGAGUAAUGGACUGUAGCUUGUAGGUUUCAGCGGACUAGCUUUAUGGGAAAGAGGAGCCUUAUGCUUUUCACUUAUUCGCCUUUCGUUGCAUUUGAACAUAUAGUUCUUUAAGUUCACGAACAAGGAUGGCAGUAUUAUACUGAAAUAUUAUUUUGAGUUGAUGUUUCCUUGAAGUGUUCCUCUUACUUGAUUGUCGAAAUAGCUUUCUAGAGACAUAAGAAACUUGCUCCAUUGCUUGUCAUUAAAUGAGUUUUUGACCACAUUUUCAAUGUGAAAUUUUCUCAACUGGUAAAUGCAGAACUCAGACUGAGGUCCAAGGCUUGUAAAGCUGUUUACAAUCACAUUCUUGCCAUGACAUUGGCGGAGUAUGCAUCUGCUGUAAGUGUUCUUUAUAAGGUUUUUCACAUUUACCUAGAGCUUGUUGUUGUUAUUACUCUUCAGGUUUCACCAUUUUAAUACAAUAACAUUGUAACUAGAUGAGCAGCUUUUUAUUUUGCAGGUUUAAUGUCAGAUUUGACAGAACUUAGUAGUUUGACUUGUCCUAGAUGUGAUGGAAAGACCAAGGUAAUUUAAUAUGGUUUAAUAUGACAUUGUUGCUAAGGUUGCCUGAAGAAUGGAUCCUCAGUACAGUAUUAAAUGGCCAAUCUUCUGAUGAGAUUUUGUGGGCAUAUGCUGCCUCCUCUUUUUAGAUUCUAAACUGGUAAUUAAUUUUUUUUUGACAUGAAAGCAGGGGUUUGAAUUCAUUGAAUUGAUAGUGGGCAUUCAACACUGCUUACGCGCAGAUUAUUUGGUUGCAGUGGCUUACCAAUCUGCAAUGCUUGCGAUGCCUACAUGUUUAAAUUGCAUCUAUUCUAAACGUACAUAUAUGUUACCUGUAGGCAUAAUUGGGGUGGCCAAGGAUCUUAAUGCUGUGAUUAUAGCUUUUAGAGGUGCACAAGAACAUAUGUAUGCAUGUUAACUUUAGCAACUCUUCCCCUUACAUAUGACUUGCAAAGGAUUUGAUGAAAAUUUAAGCUAGGAAGAGCAGCCUCCUGGGAGUGCGUAAACAAGACCCAUGGGUCGGCUGUCCAUAGGAAGGAAAAAAGGGUGAAUCAUUUCCACCAAGAUGCGAAAGUUACCUUCUUGUAAUUUUAGAUUGGUUCAUGAGAAGAUCACAUACUUAACUAAUUUUGUUCUGUGAAAAAUUCUGUCACCUCUCUGUCAUUUGAGCUUUUCAGUUAGUGAUUACUUAUAUUUAUGUCUACAGCAUACAGAAUUGGGUUGAAGAUCUCUACUGGAUAGUGGAAACAGCUUGAUGUACUACCCUGGUAUGCAUGGUGCCCUGGGUAGUUCUAGAGAUGAUAUGCCUCUUGCAAGCUGUGGAUUCUUCUCGUUUGGAUUGAGUUACAGUCUUACUCUAUUGAUUGUUGCUUGGGUUCAUCAUGGAUUUUACUAUACUUCACAAUAUUACAAUUCAACCUGGAAUUUGGAUGCUGUUAUAAGAACCAAGGAUUUAUUAGGGGUGUGCAACGGAAACCGCCCGAAUCGGGAACCGGCUGGACCGGACCGAACCGGUCGGUUUUGGGCGGUUCCCACGGUCGGCGGUCCGGUCCCCGGUUCCUAAUCUUGGAACUGGUGGCCGGUCGGUCCGGUUCCCGGUUUCAAGGUGGGAACCGGACCGAACCGGACCGACCGGACCGAACCAAACUUUUUUAUAUAUAAUUUAUAUACAUAUAAUUAAUAAAACAUAUAAAUAUGAUAACUUAUUGCAACCAAAAUUGCAAUUUGAGGUAGCAACCUCUUAUGUGGCCAAGAGACCAUUAAAAUCCUUUUUAUUAUCUUUUAUUUAUAGAAAAAAUCUCCUUGAUAGUUUCGACGUGGGACUAAGACUUCAAGAGAUCCCAUGAAUCAUACAAGUGAAGUUUGAAUAUUUUGCACGUGGAACACGUGUGAUUAGUUUUGUUGAAUUGCCCGAGAAUCGAAUUGAAUUGAUCAGUCAAAAGCGCGAUCACUCUUUAGUUCUUUAGUGCAAAAAAGUAUAGUUGAUUUUUUUGGACCGGACCGGAACCGAUGGAACCGAUGGUCUGGUCCGGUUCCCGGUCCUAGGACCAAACGGUCCAGUCCACGGUUCGCAAUUUUGGGAACCAGUGCUCCCAGUCCGGUUCCCGGUUCCAAGGUGGAACCGGACGAAACCGGGAACCGAUCACCCCUAGGAUUUAUAAGGUGACAUCAAUGUCAUGGUGACAGAGCAUUCUAUGGGAGGGGCUAUGGCAUCCUUUUGCGGACUUGAUCUUGUGGUAAGAUAGUUAAAAACUGUUAUGGUCUGGACUUGUGAAUUUUAUUGGUUUUUUUUUUUUUUCCUUCUUCUAUCAUAUUCUUCCAAUAUUCAUAUGGUAAUAUGUUAAAGAGUCAACUGGAAUUCUCUGCCAAAUCUGUGCUGAAGAGUCUAGGCUAUUUAUACGGAUCUUGAACUUUCUAAUGCUCUCAUAUUUAUAUUCACAAUUCGUCAUAGACAGCAUCUUGUUUUCUUUCGGUUUUGGUAAGUCAAACCCUAGACAAAACACAAGCCAAAUGGGGUGCAAACAGCCAUUUAUGCUAACCACCAAUUGUUUAAGUAUCUGGCAGUGUGAAUUGAGUCUUACCCAUUAAGCUAUGGAGCUUCAAGUUGGUUGAAUACCUAAUUAUAGUGGAUAAGGUCACUUCAAACUAAUCGUUACAAAGUUUACUUGCUUAUGGAAUUGUUGAUAUGUUUAUGGUCUGGACAUAUAACUUUUUAAAGCACUUGAAGCUCAAGUUUUAUGUCAUGUAAUCUUGAGGUGCUAAUGCAUUUUAAGAUAGAUUAAAUAUCGAUCCUAAAUUUGUGUUUUGUGUACUGUUUCUGUCUAAGUCUCUCUCUAAUCAAAAGAAGCAGCUCCUUUUUAGUAGGACUACAAGGCCAGAUAUGUUGUAGGUUGAAGCCAAUGCUGAGAUGUCUAAAUUAUGCCUUUUCUCUCAGUUUUAUUGGACAGAGUGUUCUAGGGUACUUUUGUAGGCACCUGUUGCACAACUAGUACCAGAAAUGGUGCCCGAUCGAAAUUUAUGUCCCAUUGAUUCUCUUCUCAUUGACAAGUGGUGAUUUUUUAGAGUUAAAUUUUAUCUUGAAGUCUGAUUACACUAAUGUUCUUGUGGCCUAUGAUAGGAUCAUAGGUUGCAUGGACUUUAGACUAUGCCCUUUCUCAAAGUAUUAGUAGCAAGUAUAACAUCUUGUCCUAAAACUUUUAAAUGAUUUAAAAUUUUACUUUUGUUUUCUGGUUUCUUGCCGAAAAUUUUGUCGAGCCAAUUGUGAUGUCAUGCCCAUCUGUUGCAGUCCUUUUUAAGAUUGAGUUUCUCCUUCGCUACUUGUGUCAGUAAGUUUUGUAGUUCAAGGGGCCUUUUCAUCAGGAACCAGGAAUUUUUUGUUUUUGUUAUUAGCAGGAUGUGACUAAUUCCACCAACAUCCAAGUGCUUCUUGUGGAAGCAAUUAAAUGUGCUUCAGUUGUAAGUUUGCGCCCAAUCCCACUAUUCCAUAUCAGUAACACCUUUUUGUGGUGCUGAGGGUGGGUUUGGUUUUGUUGCGUGUGGGGUUUGGUGUUGGGAAACUUAUGGAUGGGAUCUUGACAGAGUUAACGCUAGACCUUCAACCCUUAUGGAGACAAAGGGCUGUUCUAUUGUUCACCUUUGUAUGUGAAAUGCAAUAUAUGUUUAUUGAUGCAUAGUGUUUCCUUCCCGUCUUGAAAUGGCUAUUGAUGUAUUAACAUUCAAUUUAUUUGGGUGUCUAAUUAUUUGUGCUGAAGCUGUCUUUUCCAGACCAGCAUUCACUUGAUUUACUUAUAUAACCGAAACACUUUAUUUCCUGGUUAAUCAUGAAGCACGGAAUAUUCAAGUUUUAACAUUUGGACAACCUUGUAUUGGCAAUGCAGUGUCUGCGUCUUACUACAGUGACCGCGUAUCAAAAACAUUACGUAUUCCUGCUGGACAAGAUGUUUUGUCUCAGUUGCCUCUAUACUAUUUUCGGUUCCCACAGAAGAUGAAAUGUCAAUUCCCUAGAGAGUUAUGGCGUUGAUCUUGACAGAAUAUCAAAUUUAUGGGGAAUUGUCGAUGACUGAAUUUGAGGUUUGCUUCACAUUUCUUUCAUCCUGUCUAACAAGUGAAGUAUCAUAUAUUCCGGCAUCGUAUGUACUCUCUCUUUUUUUAGCAUAUAAAUUAUGGCUAUCUUAUUUGUUUUUCUUGUUAACUAAGGAGGAUGGUUCGUAGGACUCAUUACCUCUUAAAAAUGUUUAACUCUCAUUCCUGCAAAAGCCAUCAUGAGUUUUGCAUAUUGAUUCCAAAGUUUAAGACAUGUAAUAAUGUUUACUACUCUCUCUCUCUCUCUCUCUCUCUCUCUCUCUCUCUCUCUCAAAUUCUGUAUGUCUACUAAUGCAUAUAGUUAUUGGUGACUAACUCAAAGACAGCCACAGAUAAACAUAUUAAUGAAGUUAACGUCCUCCUACAUGAAGCAUUGGGAUCGACCAGUUUCAGAUUCAGACAAAAUAGCAAUUUAUAAGGUAUCUCAAAUAAAUCACUACGCAGUAAAUUGACAAAACAAUGAUCUUGGAAUUUAUAUGAAUUGACUUGACCUCACUAGGCAAGUUAAUUUGCAAUUCAAAGCCACCGAAACAUCUAAACCAAACCAAAACAAAACAAAGAAGAUCUGAACAAAGGUACUUGUAGAACUAUAUCACUAGUCAACAUGCAAAGUGCACAUAAAAGAAGAUUCACAUAAACCUCUUUGUAUUCAUAUGUAUAACAGAAUAUGAAGCACUUCUUAUCAGAAAAAAAGUACUCAACAAGGCAAGCGUCCAAUUUUUCUUUUCUUCCCCAGAAAUUUGCCAAGUUUGAUCAAGCAACUCCAUAAUGUACUGAGCUUCCAAAUGUCCCGUGGUGGAUGCCUGUUCGCUUUAAUUUCUUCCACAUUGAUACAUUAGAAGAAACUACAGGAUACAGUUGCUGGAGAAGAUAAACAAAUUGUGCGGCGAUUCUGGUCAACCAAAUUAUCACAAUGGUGCAAAUGAAAAGCCACUAGUUUCUUCAAGCCACUUAGUCGGCCAAUCUGUCCAGUGGGUUGGGUUCAUUCAGCUCCAAAGUUCUAAGAUUCUCCAGACUUUCAAGGCCUCAAAUCUCUAUAAAUAGUUUCCUUAAGUUUGAUAGGUCUAUUGGUGUAUGCAUUGACCAUAAAUGCCUGAUACACAUGGACGGUAAACUUGAGGGUAACCUUGGGAGGCACCGCAGACAUUCUCGCUAGAGUUCAGGUCUCUUAAGAUGAGAAACCUGUUCUAUAUUUGGUGAUAAAGGUCGUCAUUAUUGAAGAGGACAACUCUAAAGACUCCAAUUUGUGUAACCUCCUGAUCAACCGUGGAUAGAAUCUUUCACAAGCUUUUCAACUGGGUGAAGAGAAUUUCGGCUUUCCCGGGACUAAUCCCUUGAGCUUUUAAAGUUUGGGAGACCAGAAAUGCCAUCAUCAACUCAGUAGGACUGUGCAGACAGGCAAGACUUUCUGGGAGCCUGGUACUUGGUGUAUCUCAGCACAUGUCAAUUUCAAGAUCCUACAAGAUGAAUAUCUCCAGAUAUCAUUGAAAUUUCUAUUAGCAAAUUUUCGCUAAGCUCUGCAUCUUCUCAGCACAUGUCAAUUUCAAGAUCCUACAAGAUGGCAGAGAAGCUCAUGUUCAGUACGUUCAAAAGUUUUAUGUUCCUUACCAAACCAGGCAACUCUUCUAUGUCCAUGUUCGAGAUCCAGCUCAGCAAGUGAUUCCAAAAUCCACAUCGAGUCUAGUAGCAUCUUUAUCGAUUUGCAGUUUCUCAAAGACUGGUGUCCAAAGCUUACAAGGGAUACAGUUGAGUUGGGAAACUCCACGAUCCCCAGCUCCUUUCAGAGCAAGCCUUGAUAGGGAAGUUAGGUGACUGAUUGAAGGUUUCAUAGUGAGUGAGGAACGAUGGCAAGCGCUGAGAAUUUGUAGACUCUUCAAUCCUUGGCAUUCAGGCACAUGCUUUAUUGAUGUCCCAUCAUAUAGUUCUCUCAAUCAUUACAUUUUAUAAGGCUCCUUUGGGAGCUGGCGGAGAGUCUUGCAGAAAUUCCAAUUUAAUAAAACUAAGUGCUGUAUCUUAUUGAUAGACCUAUCAAUCUGGACGAAGAUUUUGCAUUUCUUGGAUCAAUCUUUCUAAAUUCACAUGUACCUGAAAUCUACCAUCUAACAGCACCAUUUUGACAUCGAAAGAUCCACCUGAUCUAACUGAAUUGAAGACAUACAGCAAUCCCUUUUAAGGCAGAAGUUCAUGUCCACUUUCCAUCCCAUCCUGAUGUUUACCCGUUAAAACCGGCAUGCGAAUCGAACAAAGUUAACGUCAAGCAAAGUAGUCAACACAACAUUUCCAAAAUCAUGCACCGCAUACCAAUUGGUCUGAAGUUCACACCAGCAGCUCCUCCAAUACUUUAGAUCGUGUGAGGUCGUGUGAGAUCCUCCGUGAGGUACUCACCGAGAUACCCAAUGGUAAAUUCAUUUGCUACUAAAUAUACGUGAUGGACCUUUUUUAGCUUUCUUCUGCUUGUUUCAUCCUUUUAUUCAAUCAUUUCACCAUUGACGUUGAUCCAUGGUUUAUAGCAGCAUCAUUAUUCGGACUGCCCUCUCCAGUGAUCUUACCGCUCUCAGUAUUCUCUCGAAGAAAUCUUGGAACAGAACAGUAGAAACAACAAUGGUAGCAACUGUCACCACACAGGGCAACCUCAAGUGGUCAAUCGUUUUGCACUAGUACAAGUGGUCAACCUCAGUAGAAACAACAAUCGUCGAGCUGCUAAUGCUCCUCCUCAAAGCCAUUGGACAGGGCCUCGUCGGAUGAUGGCUGCUGCUUGAGGGUUUCGCCAUAGCGUUGCUAAGAACCCAUUUCAACGGAUCGAUCAAUCCAUCGAUUGAGGUCGUCACUACUUGCUCUAGAGAAUCAGAAAGUGCACAUUCUUGACGUUAUCACCAUACCUCGAAAUGUUAAGUUUGAGUUGUUGCUGCUCAGUCCAUCCGUACAUAAAUUAGUCUAUUAUUGUAGUCCCAUUAGCAUGUUAGAAGCCUGAAAGUCUUUCCAAAUGAGGUAUCAAAUGCCCAAGACACUAGUCAAAAGUUCGCUCACGACAUUAUUCAAACUUGGGAACACGGGAAAACCAGUGUGAUUUUGUUGUCAUCGGGUUACCACGCUUGGAAGUGGGUUGUGAAUUUUAAAGUGAAUGAGCAUUGUAUGAGCUUGAUAAAAUAAUGACCGGUGAAUUUGACAAAGGUCAAAUGAGUGAUUGAUUUAUCUAUACUACCGAUAAAAUUAGAAGAUUUGAGGGAUAAGUAUAUUAAGAGUGUAAUAACUUUUGUAUGACGCUUACUUGAGUGCUAUAAUUUUUUUUUCACUCAUUUAAAUGGCACAAGUUUAAGCAUCUUGCACUUGGAUGGCUGUUUGAAUUCUUGCCCAAGGAUUUCAUAUUACCAGAAAAUCAAUGUUCUUAACAGAAAAACGAAAGAACAAAAGGGAAAAACAAAAAAAAGGAAGCAUCUCUGCCUAUAAAAUGCAUAAUCAAAAGAUAUCCUUCCAAUGCAGGUAAAUGAAAAUUAAAACCUAUCACUCUGAAGAACAACAAUUAACUCCUUCAAGAAUAAGCUGAACUAGCAUCAUCCUCAUUAUUUUCCACUCGUACACCAAAAUAAUCAACUAAGUGAUAACAAAAACUCAAGUACCAGCUGUUCUGGUCUUUACCAAAAAAAAAAAAAAACUCAAGUACCAGAUAAUAGAAAGUAGGUAGUGCAGCACAAUAACACAACAUUACGUAGACUUAAAAGGUUAAAUGAUUACCCAAUCGAAGCUAAACAGAAAUUAAACCAAAAAAGAAAAAAAAUGUGCACGAGAAACAGUUCUGAGAAAUAUGCACAGGAAUGCUGAAAUCUUUAGCAACCUCCUCCUGAAAAAAUACAGCGGUUUUGUUGUCACUUGGUUUGAUUCCUGUUGGAAAAAUCCUCGAAACUAUCAACAGAGAAGACUAUCCCCAGAGAUGGCCAAAAGCUAGUUUGCUAGACAUGGCGAUACUGUUUCGAUAGGAUAUUGCAGCGUAAUUUGACUGUGACAAAGUCAACGAUUCCUGGUACACACUGUCCAUUCGUUUCCAAUGUACAGCCAAACAGCAGUGUGGUUUUGUGUUUUUCAGCAUCUAAUGCACAAUAUGAUAUACGGUUCAUCAGCGAUUUCGUGGAUGAUUCCGACAAUUUAUUUUCAAUAAUCUAACCACAACAAUUGAGAGUCCACUGGGCAAGAAUGGACACAAAACAUCAGAUUCCUAUGUAAUUAAUCUGUCAAAAUUAGGACAGGCACAUGCCCACAUUGUCAGGCAUCUCAGAGAUAAAGAUGGCCACUAUUAAUGAUUGUUCGAUAUGUGUUAGCACUAGGUCCAAGCUCAUCAUAGACUGCAAUUUAGUAAAAAAGAAAUGGCUCCUCAUAUCUAAGCACGAAAAUAGGUCCUUUAUGUGCUGCAAGAGUCUCAAAAUUUUCCCUGUCAAGGACUUGCAGACAUUUGAGACCAUUAGUCUAUAGGAAUUCCAAGUUCAGAAUAAAAUACCAAUACACUGCUAUUCAUUUGAUGUCUCAAAACAAAAAAUAAAGCGCCAAUAUUGUGGUCAUAUUUCAAGUUUAGCUCAACUUUUAGUUGCAUUUGAACAAGUAUAUUUGUUUUGAGUCCUUUAAAAUCUAACUCCAUGACUUUGUCAUUAUGAUUUGAUCAUGUGAUUCAAGGUCCUCUUGUUUUCAACUUUGUCUUCUGAUGAGUGUAAAACCACAAGGCGAUAGCAACAAGGGGAGUGAUGUAGGAACAACGAUCAUCCCCCAACGCACACAUGACAAAUCCUAUAAAUUCCAUCCAGUAGCUCCAACCCUUGAGUCUGUUCUCUGUUCGACAAUUUUUGGUGUUGAGAACGGAACUACAUCACUGUAAUUUUACGUAACUAAGGUAUAAAAGCUGCUUAAGAUUAGUUAUGGGAUUCUCGCAAUGCUGCUUCUUCGAUUCAGUUGCUCUUUGCUACUUCUCCAGUUGCUAAAUGAGCCACAACUUCCUGCAAAGAAAAAUAUUUCCAUUAACUUGUUAAGAAUUAACCAUCUCAAUCAGAAAACCAGCUCAAAAAGUCCGUCUGAGAUGUUUGUACCUCUUGGUCUUCACGUCGAUGUUUAAUGCGCAGUAAAUGUAUCAAAAUCAAUGGAAAAGAAUGGGUUGUGUAGAUUAGCGUGAAUAUAAUCCGCGUCAAGACAUAUGUCUGCGAACCUGUACGCGUGAUCUUAUGAUCCCGAAUACAUGUAUCUAUUAUUCGAACUCAGCAGUUAAAUUCUCAGAAGAUUCAUUCAAGUACCUCAUCAGGAGCAGAGUCAUUUUCCUUCUUCCUCAAUUCCUCUUCCUUUUCCAGUCCAGUUGGAUUCUUCUCUUCCACCACCACUUUAUCAUACUCGCCCUCCUUCACCUGUUCAUGCCUAGGCAAGUUGUACUCGGAGGAGAGGCCCUCAGACACGAUCCCUUCCGGCACUUCCUCGUCUCUUCUGGGAGAGAAGUAACGAUCCGGCAAGUCAUGGGAUGUGAACCUCCCUGGUUCUGCCUCAUCCUCUUCUACUAGCGGUUCUGUCUCCGGCUCUUGCUCCUGCUCAAUCUCCUUUUCUUCCUCUACACGCUUCUCUUCCUCUCUGUCUUCAUCCUCGGCCUUUGUUUCUUCUUCUUCUUUGUUCUCUUCUUCUUGUUCAGGCUCGGGAUGUUCAGUUAUGUCCUUAACAUCAGCCGCAGUUCCUGUACCCUGGCUCACCGCAUUAUUGAUUUCUUGUUGCACGAGUAAUGCCGCGCCAUUCCCAAUUGCUUCCAUCUGAGGAAACGUUCUGUUCCACUUGUUUGUUCUUCUCGGGAUUGGUGCUCGAAACUCCUGCUUUCAGUAAUGGUGUUUCCGGUGGCAACAGCAUGCUUCGACUCCGCGCAACGCAUUUUCGUAAAAGGAAACGUCAAUGGAAAGGAAUUAGAUUGGGGUAUUGAUUCUCUCUCCCUUUGUGCAUCAGAUUGAAAUGACUUUUCGGCUUUCGUUUUCCUUGGCUGUUGCAGUUUUGAUUUGCUGAAGCGGGUUGUAUCCGUGGUUGACAAAAGGAAGGAGUUUUUUCUGUUGUGGAUUGAGGGUGGAGAGGAGACAGUUGCAGCUUAAGUUAAAAAGGGGAGUUUCUCCCUCCAAUCUAGAAAACGACAAUUCGUUUCUUAUUAUCGGUGGGGUUUUCCUUUCAUUUUUCCAACCCAACCUUAGUUCAAUGAAAAAACAUACUUUAGAAUUAACACAAUUCAAUAUUGAAAAGACCGAAUUAGUCCUACUCAAAAACUUAUUUAAGUCUCUCGCUCCAUGUUUGAGCAAUUUAAUUUUCAAUUGAUUUUGAGUACUUUUGAUGGUAAGACUUUAGGACUUGUGGAUGGACUUUUUUAAGAGAAAAUGACAAUUCUUUUAUACAAAGGAACACAAGGUUAAUCGGCAUAGAAAUGCUAAAAGUGAGGUAUGUUUUUGAUGUUUUAUAAUGUCAAUCGACCACAUAAACCAAAAUUCAGAUGGUCGUGAAAUAUGAGAUUGUUUGCACUUAAUCUAAUCGAAAAUUGAGCUUACCUAAUUUUUCAAAUUCACAAAUAAAUCCUUUCAUGAACCAUUAAAUCAAAAUUGAUCAAGAGUAAGUAUGUCAAAAAGUGAGAUAUCGCAAAAAGAUGAAUUAUAAUCAUGUUAGCAAACAAAUAAUCAAAGUAUUACCAAAUAAUCCCACAAAUGCUUUACUUCCCGAAUGGAAUUUAAAUUUCUCUCAACUUGCCAUAAUUUUUUUUUCUUAGGCUAAAUAAUAAGCAUCUCCGAACAUAUAUCCUCCCAUAUAAUAUAUAAUUACCCUAUCUUUCUUCCAUUUCGAGAGUGUCGUUUGCAAAAGUUUUUAUGAUUGUUCCGCACCGUAAGUGGCCAUGGACGCCGCCACAGGGGAACAUUACCGUAUUCCCUUCUUCCUCCUCGUCGGAGCCGUGCACGCCGCCGCCGCCGCCGCGAGAGCUCGCAGGCUCCGCCGCAUUCUCAAGCCUCCGAUUCAUGUCGGCUCGGCUGGAUUCGUCCCUCCGAAUGACCACCGAGUCGCGGAAUGCGCUCGGAUUCGUGCGCAAGCAUGUCGAGAUCGCAGCUCCCCCUCCUCUGCUGCUCAGUCCCUCGGUUUUCGCAGGUAGCGUGCUUGUCGUCGUCCGUUAGGCUUUUCUUUUUUCGCUGCUGAGGAAUCUCGACGUGGAUUGUAGAUGCCAGACUGAUGGGUUCUUGGUCAGUAGGGGGCCUUCUUUAGGUUGAGUUUGAUGUCUAGAUAUGGGGCGGCGGGUGGAGAAUUUGAUGAUUGAUGAGGAAGUCUGAAUAACUUAUUCGAGGGAUGUGUACCUGGUGGUGCAGUCGAGUUGAAGCGGAGGGAUGAUUAUGCUGUCGGGAUCGUGCUUGUUGAUUGAGACGCCGUAAUUUUCAUCGUGUUUGCUUCGUAUAUUUGAUAUUGGAGACAUGAUUCUGUAAUAGAAUGAAUCGCGUCGAAUUGUUUCUUCUAGUCUAGCGCUUCAUGUUCUUCAAUGUCGGUUCUGGGUUGAAUUAGUUUGUUGAUACAAAACGGAGCUGCGUUUCUCUUGGCAGUAUAAGGUUUUGAUGCGACCGUCGUUGGAACUCACAGGGCCAGUUCGUGGCAACAGAUUGCCUGCUUCCCCUUGUUCGAUAAUUUCUAGUUUACCGUAUUCUUCUGAAGCAAGUGCUGAAAUGGAGGAACCCACAGGAUUUUUUGCCUUUUUCCAUAUAAUGUGUGUCUUGACACAUUGUGGAGUUCUUUUUCCGAUAUUUGGUUCUUGUAAUAUCAUGCAGAGACCGUGAAGGAGAUGUAUGAUAAAAUUCUUGAGUCCGCUAAUAUGAAAAGAACAAUGGCUCCAAACGCAUGGACGUGGUCGAUGAUUGAAAAUUGCAAGAACAGAGAGGAUAUCAGAGCUUCUCUUUGAUGUCUUGCAGAACCUACGCAGAUUUGUCAGUUGACUUCUUGCUCCAUUUGAGAAAUAAAGUUUUGAUUUGUGACUAGUUGAUAAAUCAAUUUGUUUUUUUCUUUCAUCGCAGAGAUUGUCAAAUCUUCGUAUUCAUGACUGCAACCUUUGUCAGGAAGUCACAAAAGCAUCUGUGCGUGCAAGGGCUCUUCAUUUUGGUGAGCUCUAUCUACACAAGUUGUGUGCCAAGUUCAAAAAUUUUGUAUCUUGCUAAUAUAUUUACCUGAUACUUCUUCUGCAUUCGAUUGUUGCUACUUACCCUAUCAUUAGCACAAUCAUUUUGUCGUAUGUUGUUGGUUCUCAAAUGAUCUUUUUACCUCAAGCCUUUCAUGCUUGGAGAACAUACUCAGCUGCUUAUGAAAUUUUUUUACCACCCCGCUGGUACUGUUAGCUAGUUAUGCUUUCGUGUUUUUUUCUUUUUUCCCUUGAUCCGUCAAUUAUGUAAACCAGAAUUUUUUCCUACACGGAUGCUACAUGUGUAUCAAGCAUGGGUAUGGAAAUGACACAACACAUAUAACAUAUUCAAGAAAUAGUUUUUCAUGUUUGAAUGUGUAAAGGCACAUUCAAUUUAAAGUACUUAGGACAUUGUUAAAUGUGUAUUAACUUGUCUUUUGUGAGUAACAUGUUAACCUGCUUGACACGCUGCAAUGUGUUUAAGUAGUUAGAAGGGUCAAUUUAUUUUACAUGUACAGACUUGUUAACUCGUUGAUGACUUGGACAAUAUUAAGCUCAGUCCAACUUAAUAUGUGUCAAGCACUUAUUCUUUAAAUAGGUCUUUUUGCACAUUGCUGGCUCUGUAAGACUGAUUUCUUGAAUGACACCUCCACUUCAAGUUAUUGAAUUCAUUAUUGAAGCUUAGCAAAGAGCAUUCACUUUUUUUUUUUUGGUCGAAAAGAGCAUUCACUUUUUGCAGACAUGUUUUUAUGAACAUUAAGCUUCAGUAGUUAUCAGUUCGAGCUGUUUCUAGUAAUUAAGCUCUUGAUAAUUUUCAAGAAAAAUAAAUCAAAUCAAACUGCAGUUCCAUGGUGUAACUCAUUUUAGGAGAUUGCAGCAGUUAAUUGUCACUAGGAGUACAUGAUUUAAUCAGAACUGACAUCUGUAAAUCCUUAUUUAGGCUAAGAAAUUAAAUUGCAUGGUGCACUUAAUCCAUGAUGAUAGAAACUAAGGGUUGACAAAAUUGUAGGUAAGAAGGCCUUGUGGGAGCAUAAUGUCUAUGGAUUCACCCCUACAAUUGGCUCUGCAAACCAUCUUUUGGUAAUGAUGAAGUGUAUCUUUAUCAAGCAAUUCUCUUUCCAUUCGUUUUAUUUACACAAUUCUUCUGCUAACUUGGGGUAUUGCAAUGCAGAAAUAUGCUAAAGAGUGCUAAAGAGCACAAAGAUGCUACCCUCAUGCAGGAAGUUAUGAAGCUUUUGAAGAGGAAUAACUUGCCAUUGCAACCCACCGUGGCCGAUAUUGUUUUCAGGUUCACUUCUGUGCUGUUUCUCCUGAGAAGGAUGUUAUUAGCAUGUAGUAAGCCAUUAUUGCACUUAAUUGUGUGUUAUGUACUACAUAGUUAUCAAGCAAUUUGUCCAAUUUAUAAGUGUCAUUUAUAUACGAUUUAAUCAACUUGUUUUUAUUUGAAUCAUUUUGUCUACACUGCUACUCUCGAUCUAAUAGUUUGCUCAUGUUAUUUGACAUCCUUUCUUUCCAUGGAAAAAUUUUGCAGCAUUUGUGACGAUACAGACAAUUGAGGGUUCCUCACAAAGUAUUCAAAGAGAUUUGUCAAAAAUGGAGUGAAUUUGCAUAAAGCUGCAUUCGACAUCUGGAUGGAGUUUGCUGCAAAAGUAGGUGAGAAACACUAGCUCUGUCUCCCUUCGCUGCUCUCAAGCCCUUGUCCCUCAACAAUCUUAUUUUCCAUUUCUUCCCACAAAUAGUUCUCUCAUCCAGGGCCCGCCACUUACUGCAAAAGAUGGGAUGUGCUCUUCUGUACAAUGAUUUAUUUCUCUCCUUAAACAAAAGGGUAGAACUUAGAAAUAAAAAGAAUUCUCGCUGCGCUGUGUCCUUCAAUGUCUUUGUUUCUUUAAUUGUUCUGAGAUUAUGCUUCUUUAUCCUAUUUAGUGGUUUGACGAAAAUUACCCUUUUCAGGAGACAUUGAAUCUCUAUGGGAAACUGAGAAGUUAAGAUGUGAGUCCAUGAAGCAGCACACCGUGGGCAGUGGGUUCUCAUGUGCGAAGGUAGUUUACAAUCGCAGACUGUUGAAAUCACAAAUAUCAGACCCUGAAAGCAAUAGGUCUUCUUGCAUUAGAAAAUCUGAUAAUGGGAAAAUAUUAAUAUUGCAAUACAGAUCAGUACAAAGUUCUUGGUAAACCAGGUGAGAGGUCUAUGGCCGAAAAAAGCGAGAGUUAAUGAUUGAAUAAACCAAAAUUUGGCUCACAUCCUAGGACAUGAAGCACCUAUGGGCAUGAGAAUGCUCAUUGUGAUCACACAAAGGAGAUAUAACUACAUUUUCGGUAUUUGGAAGCAUUUAUUGUGGCUUUUAGCACUCUGGUUUAAGAUUAAAUUUUUAUCGUCAUUUACUUGUUUUGUGGCAAACUAAAUGGUUUUAUAACCAAUUUUUUGUGCAGGGAUAUUUACUUGAAGGCGAACCUGAGGAGGCUGCUACAGUCAUUCACGUCUUCAAUCAGGUGCUCCUCACUUCUCAGAGCAUCUAUAGCUAUUAUUAAUAUGCUCAUCAUCACCAUCUGGCAUGAUUGCAAUCCUAAAUUACCUCAGCCUCUGAACUAGUCCUUCAAUUUUCCAUAUACUGUCAAGGAAUAAAGCAAUUAGUGGAAGAUAUACAGAAUUGUCCCCCAAAAUGUGCUCAGAUAAAAUUACCAUGACAUAUCCUCUCUCAAGGGGGACUGGAUGAUUUGGGUUUCGUAUUUGGUGCAUGCUAUACUAUUAAAAUAACUUGAGUUAGUUCCAUGGAUCCUAAUAGAGUUCGAAAGAUCAUCUCAGACUCCUCCUGAAUUGAAUAAAGUUGGAAAUACACGUAUGUAGGCUCUGUUUGUUCAGAUGUCGCUUCUUAGGUCUCAUAAUGUGAAUGCCUUGGAUUGAUGCCAGAGUUUUCCUGAUGCUAAGAGGUCCAGCAUCAUGGUUGAACUUCAAAAGCUUGUCAGUGAGUGGCUUUUCGAGGUUAUCAAACGGAAGAAAGAAUAUGACCACAAGGUACUUCCUUUGACUAAAUAUCCAUCACUUUGGGUAGAAGUAGAAAUAUUGCUUGUUUGCAGUUAUAUAUUGCUCUGGUAGAGAUAGAAAUAUGGCUUGUUUAAAACCUCUCAUUCUUUUCGCUCAUGUAGGCAUUGGCUGCUUCUCUCAAAUCCGAUAUCCUGGCCUUGGUGGUGAAAGUGAAUACGGAACAACUAACCACCGAAGGCACCCUUUGUUAAAGUAUGACAGAAUUGAGAUUGAAUGCACUAGCUGCAGAUCUGUCUCCUAUGUGGACUGCUAAGGUUGCCAUGUUAAUUUCAACCGAUUCCGCUGAGAAGCAAGACAAGCGCGGUACUCACGUCUCGAGCAACAGGCAUCUGAAGUUCUCUUGUGAAGGUCCCUGAACCAUGAAAAGAUCUGCUCCUUCUUGAUUUGAAUGUUGUCACUUCUGUACUUUCAGAUAAUGAUUCUUUUCUUUUCUUUCCCCUAAAAAUCUGAGUGUAUUUGAGACGAUCGGUGCAUCAUCAGCAAUUGAAUUCUGAGAACAACCUCGGAUGACUAGUUUUUGCAAAAAGGAUUCUUUUGGCUCACGCAUUUUAGAUGGGACCAAAUGGACAGUUAAGAGAGACAAUUGAUAAGGUGGUCCUUUCAAUUUCCAUCUGAUUUAGCAGGCUAUUUUGUCAUAUUUCUGACAGAAUUUCGCUGUCCAAAAUUAAGAGAGUGAAUUUAAUGCCGACUCAUUUGAUGUUGGCAUACAGCGACCGCCAUUGCUUCCUGAUUUAAUCGGAUUGAACUGUCCAAUCGUGCUGCAAGAGUGCAUAACAUAAAUUACAUCCCUUUUUACAUCAUGAAAGAUAACGAAAAACCUGAAUUAUCGGAAAUGGCUUUGGUACCCACAUGCGUAGGUUUGUGCAUAUAAGGCGUAAAAGAGGUGACAAACGCAAUCCUCUAGAAUUAAAACAUGUGCAUUAAUCAUGUGCAAAUUUUAGUAAUGAAUUGACAUAAUUGUAAUAGGUGUGAGAUUUUUUUGGUAAUUUUUUUGUAUUUUCGCUAUUAAUACCUAAAUUUUUGCAUAAAAAAUGAGUUAAUUUUUUACCCCAAAAAAAUAAAAAUCACAUGGCGUAUAGUUUAGGUACAUUUAUUUUUAAUUUGCAUUUUUUGCAUUUAUUUAUUGAACUGACGAUGAGCGCAAGAUAUUUCACAUAUUCAAAUAAUAUACACUAAGGGAUGUAUAUUGGGCAAAAAUAAAAUUUUCGGAUGAAAUAUUUGAAAAAUAUCGCGUCGGGUGCAUAUAUUUCGAAUGAUAUAUUCAGGAAAUUAUGCAUAACCAAAAUUGGAAACAAAAUAUGCCAUGGGAUCUAAAUUUUUCCUCUAUAAAAGGCGUUGUGCGCGUACGGACGAAGGGGGGCAACAGUGUCGUCUUCUUCGUGGACCCCCUGUCCACGUCGGCCCCACGUUCACCUCGCCGGCACCGCCUUGGCCAGGCACCGCCUUCGCCACUACGAUUCUGCCACCGCCGCUUCGCCGUACUCCCCGCGAAGCUAGCCGCGACGACCCCACGCCGGCAGAUCUGAGCUGAGCUCGCCUCUGCUCGCGAUUAGCCCCUGACGUCCCCUGAUCCAGCCGCGACCGACGCCAGCCGAGCCCCACUCGCCGUCUCUGAGUCGCUCCCCUUCUGCGACGCCAGCCCCCGCUGCGCUCCGCCUCGCCUCCAGCCCGUGCCGGCCCUCGACGCCGCUGCUGCUUCCCGACGCCAUCAGAUCCAGCGGCCAACACAGCCCCGUCACCCGCAUCAGUCCGUGCACCGCACCUCACGCCCGAGCGAUCCCCCCGACGCCGGCAGAUCCCAAGCCGGUCGCUGCUCGUCUGCUUCGCCGUCGUCGCCACCACAGCAAGUCGCUGCCCACCGACCGACGUCUCUGAUCAGCGCCCGACGUCCGCUCCACCUCUGCUCCGACGCCGCUGCUGCCCCUGCAACGCCCCCUCGUCGGUGCCCUGCUCCGCCGGAGUCCCUCGCCGGCGUCUGCCCUCACUGCCCGCGCCGGACGAGCUGCUCGCUGUUGAUCCCUUCGCUGGAGUUCCGAACGGCGGCCAAAAUUUUUUAAAAAUAAAAAAUAAAAAAAUCAAAUUAGGUAUGUUUGCUUCAUUUUAUUAGGCAAGUUUGUUUUUAUUUUAUUUCUUGUUUACUUAUUUGCAAUAUUUUCCUAUGCAUAAUUAGAAUACCACAUAUCAUCUUAUUCGCAACCACACCUGGAUUUUUUAUUUUAUCUAUAAGGUUUUAAAGCCUUAUAAUUAAUCAAGCGGAAAUAAAAAGGCUUAAGAUCAAUUUAUCGAUUUUAUUAAUAAAAUAUUAUCCACGAUGUUUGAUAUUUUUGAUUUUGAAUGGCUUGUCUUGAUUACUUUAUUUUUAUUUAUCUUGAAAUAUGUUUGAGUUAGAAUAUUGCAUGCUUUAGGGUUAUUUUGCAUGUUUAGGGUAGGAACUUUAUUAUUUCGAAUUUUUAAAAAUAGAAAAUACCAAAAACAUAAAUUUAGGAUAUUAGAUUUUCGUUUCACUGAAUUAAGUUGUAUGUUUAAUUAUUUGCUAAUUUUGAUUAAAAAAAAGGAGCAAAAAAAAAACAAAAAAGAAGAAAAAAUUAGAAUGAGGCAUCCUUUGCACGUCAUUACAUAUUAGGAUAGUUUAAUUCUAGAAAAUAUUUUAUAAGUUUAGAUGAAUUACAUCUUAGGUUAGAGAUUGCUAAGUUAAGAUAAUAUCUUAGUUUAAAUUAGGGUUUAGCCUGACCUAAUCCUUAAUAUAAGUUAGAAUCUUAAUUUAGUUAGAUAAUUUUCACAUUUUUCUAAUUUCGAAUUUCAUGAAAAAUACAAAAAGUGUCUUAGGAUAAAUUAGUUUCAAUCUUUAGGAUAGGUUGAAUGCUUUUUAAGAAAAUAGAAAAUGUCAUGUGCAUGCCAUAUAAAAUUGGGUUCAUGAAAUGCAUGUUACUUAGUUAUUGUGGUUAGAUCCAUUUAGCUAUAAAUUACAUGUGAUUAGGUUAAAUUGCAUUGCAUUGCAUGACUCUGAAAACGAAAAAAAAAAUUGCAUGUUAAUUUUUUAUUUUUAUUUUUCGGCGUGUUAAUUAGAAAUCAUAUUUAGGGUUGAUGUGAAUUCUUAUCUAACAACCCAGAUGCUUUCGUUACUAAAAGAUAGUUCCGUAAUUUAUUCAUUAUUUUCUUAGAUGUUAAAUUGGUGAAUUGCGCACCCGCAUGAUCACCUCACAUGUUAGGAAAAUCGAUUUAAAAUUAAUCCAAAGCUGCCCGCAAAAACAUUUUUGAAUAUUAAAAAGAAAUUGUACCGAAAGGACAUUAGAAAAAUCUAGUGUAAUCAAGUUUCCAUACCAUUAGCCUCUAGUUCGUAGGACAAUUAUUUUACCUAGGUAUCUAAUCGACUUAUCGAAAUCUGAUUAGUGGCGACUUCUAGAUAAUAAUUAUUUGCAUGUUAAGAGGUUUGAACUUAAGUCACGAAUUGAUAUGGGCUUGAGAGAACCCAAGUUAAAUCUAGACUUAACAAUCCAUUAGUCAAACUCUAGAUGGUUCAGCCUCUAAAUUUUGGUCACAACAUUCACUCAAAAAUUUAGGAUUACAAUCAGAAUGUAUAGGACUGAAUUUGAAUUUAUACAAUAAGCUUACAACUGAAUUGCAAUUCUCCCAACUCAACACCUACACUUAUAAUAAGUUUUUUUCCUUUUAAUAAGAGGCUUCGGAUAUAAGAACUUAACAGGGUACGUCAUGAGAGAAGGAUGUGAUGAAAUGUACCAUCGUGCAUUUCUUUGAAGAUAUAAUGUAGUAAUGCAAUCUCGAUGGAUAUUCCUAAGAACUCACGAGAAGACAACUCCCAGUAACAACGAGGUACAAUGGAAAUGAACAUUCAAAGCCCAAGAUUAAUCCGGGGAAAAAUGGAAAAGUUUGGAACAACAAACUUUGAUUUACAUAACAUGAAGUAAGAACGACGUGAUAAGUGAAUUCAAGCAUCCCGUGGAAUUCUAUUAGCACUGGCAGCCUCUACUGAUUCCUGUUCUACCACAACUUUAGUCCUCGAAGGCCGCUCGUUGGGAGUCAUUUGGAGGCAUUGUAAAGCAAGCUGUGCUAUUUGGAAUGCAUAAUCUAUAUAUGUAAGGUAUAGGGAUGGUAUAAAUUUGGUUCUCAUUUCCUGCAGGCCGCCAACAUCGUGAGCCACUAGCUUCUUCCAAAAUAUCUAGUGUUUCUUUUUCGGUAAUUGGAGCAUCUGCAGAAAUGAAAAGUUAUGUAGGCAAUACAAUCGUAGAUUCCAUGCCAAAGGAUUUAAGUAGCUAAAAGGAAAACACACCUCGUAUUUCAUAGAGGGAUUAUAGUGAACCUCACACCAGAAACUCAACCAAAACUCUGCAUCAAUUGAAAGUAAGGUUAAUAAAAGGAAAAACUCAAAAAAUAUGGAGUUUCAAAAGACCAGUUGCACAUUGAACAAAAGCAACAGUAGAUCAAUUGCAAAUGUUUACACCUAGGUUUAAAAUCAAUCAAAUAUAUAUUAAGCCGUACCCAAGCAGCUGUUCUAAGCAAGCAAAAGAACAAAUAUUUAAUUUCCUAAAUGAACAACAAGCAAAGCAUUGCGAAGGAGGGUCUAUGCGUAUAUGUAUGCAAGCAACACAAGCAACACUCUUUUUUCCAAGACAAAUGAGAAGUAAAAUAUCAACUUCACAUUGAACAUUGCACCAACUGAUCAUUUGACCCGACAAAACAACUAUGAAGAAGAAUAGCAAGCAAUACCCUAGGCAGAGGGAACUCAUAAAUCCAAUGGCCCAACAAUAAUCAAGUUAUCAAUAUAAGUAUCAUCAAGAGGUUUUAAACCUCCUUCAGGCUCUCGAACAUCAACCAAAAAAGCAUUGAACAUCAAUGGUACCAGAACGAUUGACUUCAUCAUUCUUCGAAAUUCUGCAUUCUGACAGUCGCUCACUGCCAUCAUAGGGUAUUACCUAUCAUAUAUCCGACCAUCAAUCACAGCAUGGACUAAUCUAUUCCAAACAAGCUCAAUCACAGAGAGUAUCACAACCAAAAGCACAUAACAGAACAAUCUGUGAUGAUAGAAAAAAUGAUACCCUAGGCAACAUCAAGCCGCUGCCAUUAAGUUCAAUCAAGCAAGCCAAAUAUGGGGUAAAACAGUAAUAAAUCGAUAGGCACUGCAAUUUUGACACAAAUUAGCCAAUCAAACCGAAUCAUGUCCAAGCCCAAUCAAAGGCAACUAAAUUGCCAACCGGAUUGAGCUGGACAUCACUGGCAGAGAUUAGUAGUGAAAGCGAAGGUGCCCUGCUGGUGGAGGUCUAGAGUGAGAGGAAGUCGUCGCAAUAGACCUUGCGCUUCAGCUUCUACUUCGGGUGCUUCGUGAAGGUGACAUUUCAGCACACACAGACUCAAGCACAUAACUCAUUUCAUCAAACACCGAAAUUGCACAUGAUCACCGAACAUUGGACAGGCAAAACUUAGUUGGUUCACACGUACACAAAGCAUAAUUCAGCACACUAAUUACAAACAUGAUCCAAAAGCAGUUCAGGAUUGAAAAAGAAAACAAGAGCACAACACCGAUCCGCUCCUAGAACCUGCAUUGUUGGCUCAAAAUGCGGGCGUUGAGUCCAUCACAGAGCUGAAAGCUCUGAUGUAUUCAUCCGUGGGAUUCUGUUUACAGCAUAGCAAAUUUAUCUCCCAUGCGAAGUGAGGUUAUCAAUUUCAAAAUAUGUGUGAAGCAGCAAAUCAACAACGAUCUCUAAUAAUUUGUUACAUAUCAAAUAAAAAUGAUGCAAUCGACAUACAUACCUCUAGGAGAAACCAUCCUAAGAAAAUGUAGCUAAAAAAGCCAAACCAAACUAGGAAAAGAACACAAAUACUUGUACAUAAUUAAGAGCCCUCUGGCUGCUCGGAGGCAUCAUAAUUUAAAUACCUUCAUCAGAUUUUCAGACAAGAAUCCGCUAAAAGGUCAUUAAAAAGUGCAUGCGAAACUUCUCUGUUCAUAUCUGUGAAAGAAUUUGAUUGCCAAAAAAGGAAAACAUUGGUACUUACCUGGAUUCGUUUAAGGUUUUAACACAAGGGAACAAUUCGUGGUCGUCCUUCAAAAAGCUUCCAAGCGGUAAUUUGUCUUCUUCAUCGUUUUCUCCCACAAAUUUGAUUGACUUCUCCGAGCAAAGCCGAGAAAUUUCCUCCACUGCUAAUUUCCCACAACAUCUUAUUGUAACCUCUCGCAGUCCCUUCAAGCUUGAUAGAUCAUGCAACUUCUCUAAAGAUUCACAGGAUACAAUCUCCAGGUAUUUGAAAGAUUGGGGUAGUUCACAUUGAAUCUCAACCAGAUUACCACAAUCGAUUAUGUAAAUACUCCUUAGCUUGUUUAACUUGCUUAGAUCAGGUAGCAUUGCCAGCUGUCCGAGGUAAUUAAACUCCAAAUCUCGUAGGUUCUCCAAACAACCAAGGCCUUCAAUCUCUGCAACUGGACAGUCCCCAAUCACGAGAGACGAUAGUUUCCUCAAAUUCGAUAGAUCCAUCGAGCAAAGUGAGUGGCAACACCAAAUGUCAAGAGACGAAAGUUUCCUCAAAUUCGAUAGAUCCAUCGAGCAAAGUGAGUGGCAGUGCGAAAUAUGGACAAUCGAUAGUCUCCUCAAAUUUGAUACAUCCAUCGAGCAAAGUGAGUCGCAGAGCAAAAUAUCGAGAGACGAUAGUUUCCUCAAAUUCGAUAGAUCCAUCGAGCCAAGUGAGUCGCAACCAGAGAGAUGUAAGGAGGAUAAAUUUGAGGGAAGCCUCGGGAGGUGACGUGGAUGAAGAGGGAGGCUGAGGUCUAUCGAUGAGGCGGUCUCCUUUAAAAAGCGCAGGUGCAAAGAUUCCAAUUGGCUUAAGUUCCCAAUCCACCGCGGUAUCGGUUCUUCUAGAAGCCCAUAAGAUUCAUAACCAUAGGUGUGAUCGCCAAUUCUUGCUUUGAAAUCCUUGACAUGAUUCUCAUCGUAGCUGAUUUCCUCUGGGUCGCCCUUCUUCGACUUCACACAGGCAUUGCGUAUUCUCUCUGAUAUCGUUCUGCAUCUUCAUUACUUUCAAUUUCUUCAACAUUCCAAUGGAAUUGGGUACUUCUUCAAUGGUCGUGUGACUUAUGUCCAACUUGGUUAGCGAAUCCAAAUUUCCAACUGUCUCCGGAAGCCUCUGGAGAUUCCAACAAUAGCUUACAUCUAAGAAAACCAAGCUUUUCAUUUGACAAAUUGAUCUAUCAAUUUCGAUUAAUGAUUCACAGCCUGAUAGAAUCAAAUGUUUUAAAUUUGAAUGAGCUGAGAAGUUGGGGGUUCUCUUCAAGUGUUGGCAAUAGGCCAGAUUUAGAAUUUUCAAAUUUUUUAUCACUUGUGAAAGAAAAAUCAUGCAAAGUUUAGUUUUGAAUCUAAUAAGACGGAAGAAUAAGUGUUGUCUAGCAUAUAACAUACCAAACCCAAGAACUUCACAUUCAUCACAUUGCACCUACAAAACAAUACCCUCAGCAGAGGGAACUUAUAUAUCCAAUUGCCAAACAAUAAUUAGGCUGCGAAUAUAAGUGUCAUCUAGAGGCUUUUGCCCUCCUUCAGGCUCUCCAGCAUUGACCAAAUAAGCAUUGAACAUCAGUGACUCACCAGAAUAGGUAACUUCAUCAUUCUUCAAAAUCCUGCAUUCCAACAGCUGCUUGCCGCCAUCAUACGGCAUUGCCUAUCAUAUAUCUGACCAUCAAUCACAGCAUGGACUAAUCUACUCAAAACACGCUCAAUCACAGAGAGUAUUACAAUCAGAAGCACAUAACAGAAAAUCCAUGAUGAUAGAAAAAAUGAAAUCCCAAGCAGCAUUGAGCUGCUGCCGUUCAGUUCGAUUGAGCAAGCUAAAUUUGGGAAAAAAAGGGUAAUAAAUCGAUAGCCACUGCAGUUUUGACAUAGAUUAGCCAAUCAAACAGAAUCAUGUCCUAGCCCAAUCAAAGGCAACUAAAUUGCCGAUCGGGUUGAGCUGGACAUCAAUGGUAGAGAUUAGUGGUGAAAGCAAAGGUACCUUGCUGGUGGUGGCGUGGAGAGAGAGGAAGCCGCCACAAUAGACCUUGUGCUUCAGCUUCUGCUGCAGGUGCUUCUUGAAGGUGACAUUACAGCACAUGCGGUCUCAAGCACAUAGCUAAUUUCAUCAAACACCAAAAUUGCACAUGAUCACCAAACACUAGACAGGCAAAACUUAAAUGGUUCACACUCACACGAAGCAUAAUUCAGCACACUAAUUACAAACACAAUCCAAAAGCAGUUCGGGAUUGAAAAAGAAAACCAGAGCACAACAUCAAUCCGUUCCUAGAACUUGCAUUGCCAGCUCAAAAGGCAAGCGUUGAGUCCAUCACAGAGAAGUCAUACUGGAUUCCUGAAAGCUCUGACGUAUUCAUCUGCGGGAUUCUGCUGAGUCUGGAUGUUCUGUGUCAGGGCAAUAAGGAUGGCAAUGCCAGAUUUCUGUCCCUCAAGAUUCUGUUUGAUGCGAUGUUCGUUUUCCUAAUCAAAACUCCAGAGUUAGAGCAUAAGCUGGCAGACUUGAAAUCCAUAUCCUAGGUGCAAUUUCGCCCUCUUUGGCCAACCUUGAAUGAGGAUGAGGACCCCGAUACCAAUGUGUGUGCAGAAGCUCCUCCUGAUGCUCAUAGAGUUCAACUUGACUAAAAUUUCUGAGACUCUACAACCAAAGACAGUCAGCCACUGCUUCAGAUUUUCACUUGGAGAUCUGUCCUGUGCAAAUGUGAAUGAUGUUGAGCUGUGCAUGGCUCUGGCAUCGGCUCCAGAAAUGGAUCCCAAGUUGCUUUCUCAACUGAAAGUAGUAUGGUGGAUUGGAAUCCUUUUGGAGUUUGUACAUGCGAAGAAUAUGGAAGAAUUUCUCAAAUUGACGCUUGGCUUGUGUAAAGCUCUUCUUUUACGAUCACUAGGUUCUAUGAAAGGUUCUGCGUACAUGGAAGAGCCACCACUACUUGAUGAAAGUUCUUCUGAGGUAGCGAGUAGCAUAUGAUGCAUAACUGACUUUGGUGGCAGUGCCAGUGUUUUCCUGGAAUUGAGUGGAUCUCAUCACAGAAACAAUGCCGAUAUUGCUUCAGAAUGCACAGUUCUAUUACUGAAAGCAGCCCCAAGGGAAGGUGCUCUCUUUUUCUUACCAAUCUUUUGUAAGUGAGUGCAAUUCUCAAGUCUCAGCAAAAGGGCGCUCCUUAUCUACUGGUACAGCGAAUGCUGCAUUCUCUUAGUUACUCCUGUAGGCGGUGUUUGCUGCACAGAAUGAUUUUUGUCAGUGUGCCUGUCAAAGAUUGCUAUGAUUGAAGGCAUCAUUGCUGAGAUAAAAUAUUCUGGUGCUGCUGCUUUAGCCAGUGCUGCCACACUGGUAAUCUCAGAAUUGCGGUGGCUCCCUCAUUUAUGACUUCUCUCCAUAACAUUUGCAAAUCCCACUAAGAAGCACACCUUUCCUGAAAAAUAAACUGAACUUAAGCAUGGCAAUACAGAGUGUCUGUCUACUUCAAAGUCGCAACAAUGAGUUGAUUGUACUGUAAAGUCCCAGGAUGAGAAUUUGUAUGACCUUCCAACACACAUUCCAUCUAUUUGUUUACAGCAUAGCGAAUUUAUCUCCCAUGCAAAGCGAGGAUAUCAAUUUCAAAAUAUGUGUGAAGCAGCAAAUCAACAAUGAUCUCUAAUAAUUUGUUACAUAUCAAAUAAAAAUGAUGCAAUCGACAUACAUACCUCUAGGAGAAACCAUCCUAAGAAAAUGUAGCUAAAAAAGCCAAACCAAACUAGGAAAAGAACACAAAUACUUGUACAUAAUUAAGAGCCCUCUGGCUGUUCGGAGGCAUCAUAAUUUAAAUACCUUCAUCAGAUUUUCAGACAAGAAUCCGCUAAAAGGUCAUUAAAAAGUGCAUGCGAAACUUCUCUGUUCAUAUCUGUGAAAGAAUUUGAUUGCCAGAAAAGGAAAACAUUGGUACUUACCUGGAUUCGUUUAAGGUUUGAACACAAGGGAACAAUUUGUGGUCGCGCUUCAAAAAGCUUCCAAGCGGUGAUUUGUCUUCUUCAUCAUUUUCUCCCACAAAUUUGAUUGACUUCUCCGAGCAAAGCCGAGAAAUUUCCUCCACCGCUAAUUUCCCACAACUUCUUAUUUUAACCUCUCGCAGUCCCUUCAAGCUUGAUAGAUCAGGCAACUUCUGUAAAGAUUCACAGCGAAUCGACAAUGUUUCCAAAGAGUGGGGUAGUUCGCCUUGAAUCUCAACUAGAUUACUGCACUGCCAUACUAGAAUACGCCUUAGCUUGUUUAACUUGCUUAGAUCAGGUAGCAUCGCCAGCUGCUCGAGCUUAUAAAGUUUCAAAACUCGUAGGUUCUCCAAACAACCAAGGCCUUCAAUCUCUGCAACUGCAGUGUCACAAAUCGAGAGAGACGAUAUUUUCCUCAAAUUCGAUAGAUCCAUCGAGCAAAGUGAGCGGCAGCGCGAAAUACGGAGAGACGAUAGUUUCCUUAAAUUCGAUAGAUCCAUCGAGCCAAGUGAGUGGCAGUUCCAAAUAUGGAGAGACGAUAGUUCCCUCGAAUUCGAUAGAUCCAUCGAGCAAAGUGAGUCGCAGAGCAAAAUAUCGAGAGACGAUAGUUUCCUCAAAUUCGAUAGAUCCAUCGAGCCAAGUGAGUCGCAACCAGAGAGAUGUAAGGAGGAUAAAUUUGAGGGAAGCCUCGGGAGGUGACGCGGAUGAAGAGGGAGGCUGAGGUCUGUCGAUGAGGCGGUCUCCUUUAAAAAGCGCAGGUGCAGAGAUUCCAAUUGGCUUAAGUUCCCAAUCCACCGCGGUAUCGGUUCUUCUAGAAGCCCAUAAGAUUUCCCAUCACAAUUAGGUGGGCCAAGGCCCAGAUGCAACACCUUUAAGUUAGCGAGAUUUGAGAGAUCCGGAACCGCGUCCACCCUCAACUUCUUCAGUUCUAAUUCGAUGAGACUUUCAGGAAGCCUUGGUAGGGCGUGUACUCCCGGCCAUCCCAUUCCCCACUUCCUUAGGGAUUCAUAACCAUAGAUGCGAUCGCCAAUUCUUGCGUAGGUAUGCUUGAUAUAAUCUUGAUGGUAGGAGAUUUCCAUUGGGGAUAUCUUCCCCAACUUCAAACAGGCAUUGCGUAUUCUUCUUCCGAUAUCAUUCUGCAUCUUCAUUACUUCCAAAUUCUUCAAGAUUCCAAUGGAAUUGGGUACUUCUUUGAUGGUCGUGUGACUUAUGUCCAACUUAGUUAGCGAAUCCAAAUUUCCAAUUGUCUCCGGAAGCCUAUGAAGAUUCCAACAAUAGCUUACAUCUAAGAAAAUCAAGCUUUUCAACUGACAAAUUGAUCUAUCAAUUUCGAUUAAUGAUUCACAGCCUGAUAGAAUCAAAUGUUUUAAAUUUGAAUGAGUUGAGAAGUUGGGGGUUCUCUUCAAGUGUUGGCAAUAGGCCAGAUUCAGAAUUUUCAAAUUCUUUAUCACCUGUGAAAGAAAAAUCAUGCAAAGUUUAGUUUUGAAUCUAAUAAGACGGAAGAAUAAGUGUUGUCUAGCAUAUAACAUACCUUCACGUGGCUCCACCCCUUCCAAUCAUGAGUAAUUUCACUCCAAGAUAGAUCAAGGAUAAUCAAAUUCUCUACAGAGAAAUUUGCAAUAUUAAAUGUUGGGCGAAUAUUAUGCCAAGAAAGCCAUCGUAAUCGUGGAAGGAGAUCUGAAUUCCUUCGGAAAAUAUUAGUUGGAAGAGCAUAUAACGGCCAUUUGAGCCAAAGAAGCAACUUUUCUCCACGAAAAUUUUCCUUCAAGUCAUUUACUUCAAGGAACGUUAGAUAUUGCAGGCUCUUAAAGUCAUCAUAGGUAAAACGGUGCUGAUCAUCAAACUUGAGACAAAGAGCUUCAACUUCUUUCUUUUCCUGCCCAAAGGAAAAAUUUUAAAACAAAAAAGUUAAAAAGAAACACGUUUCUUCAAGUUCACUAUUUUAAGGGGUUGAGUUGACUACGGUCAUUCCUUUAAAAUCUUAAAAGACCAAAAAUAUCGGUUGAGUAGGUCGUGAUGGUGCUAGAGAACACAAAAAGUAACUGCCUUUUUUUAAAAUAGAAAAUUUUCAUAAGUAACUUGGAGAUUUGUUGCGCUAAGGCAUUUUACCUCAUGUCUCUUCAGCAAUUCCAAUCCGUCCUUGGGAUUCCACACAUGACGUCGCUUCUCAAUUUUCAUCUUACUUUCUUGACGAACUAUUUCUCUUCCCAUGUCUCUAAGUUGAUCAUGCAUCCACAAUUUAUUAUCUAUUCCAAUUUUUAUUAAAGACAUGUUCUGCAAAACUUCCAAGGCUACUUCCGAAAAAAGUUCAGAUGCAUCCCAGAAAUAGACCACAAUGUCUUUGUGAUAUCCAAUGAAUUGGCAAGCUAUAUAAAGGAAUAUAUGCUGCUGCUGAUCAUUUAAGGCAUCAUAACUUAUUUUCAGCUUACUCUGAACUUCAUCAGGAGGAAUACUUUCUAGCUUCUUCAAUGUGGCAUCCCACAUUUCCUUAUUUUUGUUGGAUAAAAGUGAACCUAUGACCUCGAGGGCCAAUGAAAGACCUCCAGCAAUGUGUACCAUCCUCUUGGAUCGGUCGAUAUACUCGUCUUUUGGAGAAUCUCUUCUGAAGGCAUGUUUGCUAAAAAGUUGAAGAGAUAGAUUCGGAUUCAAGCCUGUAAGCUCAUACCUCCAGUCCACUUUCGAGGCAUGGAUAACAUCUUUCCUUCUUGAAGUAAUAAUAAGUUUGCUCCCUUUACCAAACCAAUCACGCUCACCUACAAGUGCAUUUAUAUGAUCCUUUUCUUCCACAUCAUCGAGAAGAAGCAGGACUUUUUUAUUAGACAACCUUUUUCCAAUGAUCUCAAUCCCUUCAUCGAUGUUUCUUAUAUCUGUCCUUGUUAUCUUAAGGAUAUCAGAGAUGAGCUGUUGCUGCAAGUAACAAAUGCCCUUGAGAUUUGACGUUUCACGGAUGUUGGAAAGGAAGCAACAAUUGUUGUACUUGUCGGAAAGCUUAUUAUAGAUUAAUUUUGCAAUCGUUGUCUUUCCAACGCCACCCAUCCCAUGAAUUACCACAAUCCGCAUUUCACUUGUGUGAGCACCUAUCUUUUCCAUGAUUUUAUGCACAUGGUGGUCCACACCAACCAAGUUGUUCGAUACCGCCAAAUAAGCCUUCUUCAACUCAUUGAAAACCUUAUGGGUAACCAUCUUUGUGAUCUCACCUUCUUCCCUAGUGUUUGUCGGAGGUCAAAUGGCAAUGAGUUAGAAAAUUGUAUUAAACCAAACUAUGUUCUCACAAGACCAAAGUGAAAACUAAAGACCUAUUCGAAAUGCUUUCUACAAGGAUUUACUCCAUUGUAAAUGAAUUAGCGUUCGCACAUAUGGUUAAUGAAUGACAUUAACUAGAAAAAAAAAAAGUUAUUUGGAAUGAAAAAGGACAAAAUUGGGAUUGUACCACUAUUUUGUGUGAUUUUCGCAAUAUAAUUUCAAUAGCAUAAUAUUCAAUUUCAACAAGGCUAACACAAAUCUAGAAAAGAAACCAAUUGAACCACAUUAAAGGUUUUAAUGGUACAAUGCACAUCAAAUGGAAUGAUAGAGGUAGUCACCUGUUGGUCUUGUUGUGCAGAUCCCACCCUUUUAUUGCCGCAACUGCACUCAGAGCAGUCUUCCAUUGACGCAUAGUCUCUUCGUCAUAUUGAUUCUUCUUUUCAUGUGAAAGAAAGGCCUCUCUAUAACCCCCAGUUUGGUGGCGAACCUCUGAAGGUGCCACAUCAUAAAAAAUGGGCAUGAUCUUUUGUCCCCUAGUGUUUUGGCACUCAACCAUUUGGACUAGCUCCUUAAGACACCAUACGCUAGAGGCAUAACCUUUUGAAAAUAUAGGUAUUGAGAUCUCUGAUUGAUUUAUUGCUUGGAGAAGUUCCGGGCCAAAUUCUUCCCCCUCGCAGAGCUCUUUGUCAUCCUUAUAAACGCGGAUUCCCGCAUCUAUCAUACUAGUGUAAAGGAAGCUGGUAAAACCCGUUCGAGUAUCCUCUCCUCUGAAGCUCAAGAAUACUUCAUAUGCAUAUCUUGAUGAAUUAACCAUUCCUUGACCUUCUGUCACAGUGUGAGUAAAGGAAGCGCUCCCUGCUAUUCCAUCAUUUUUAUAGAUAUGUUGUGUUUCUACGCUCCCCUCCAUUGAUUUACUCAAUCUGAUCUUUAAGAAAUACCGAACAGCAUAUUAGCAAAAGUAGUGGCAGCCAAAGAUGGAAAAUGUUUAGAAGCCUGACUGACAAAUAAUGGAGAUCUCUGUAGGUCAUUAAACGUAGUAUUCAAGAUUAGCUAAAUAUGCAGAGAGUCAUGGGCCAGUGUGCAACAAUUGUUCAAUAAGAAUGAUUCAUUGCAGCACCGCUCCAGCCUAUCAAAGUUGACAACGCAUGUGAAUAUAUGAGUAUUAAAUCUCAAGGGGCAUUUUAACACCUUAAGGAGAUUAAAUCUCCUGAGAACGUUGACAUAGCACAGUGCAAAGUUCUCAUUUAAAAAAAAAAAAAAAUAGCUCACUCUUCUCAAAUCUUGAGAAUAUAAAUUAUUUCCUAGGAGUUUUAAAUCUCAAAGGGAAAGCAUGAACAUGUUCUCAUUUGACAUAACACGAUGCAGAGCAUCUUUUUUAAAAAAGGAAAGUUCCACACUUCUCAAAUUUCUACAAUAUAAAUUGUUUUUCUUUAAUGUCAUUUCUGCAAAAAUGACCUUCACUCUCUCUAGAAUGGAUCAAAAAAUUAAUUAGAGCUAUUCAUGUGAUGGGAAGUUGUAGUUUGUAAUCUUACACGUUUCUAAAAUUCCGUAAACCAAAAAUGGAGUUUUGUUUCAUGCGUGCUAGAUUUAAAGAACCAAUUAUAAACUUGAAGUAUCACUGGUAAGUAAAAACUAAUCGAUAACUUGUGAAUCUGGGCAAUUGUUAGAAAGCUAUCAAAAAAAUAGUUUUUUCAUCCUCAAACCAAAUAGUGGAUUACCAUUUUUUCUUUUAGAUUUUACAAAUGGGUUUGUAUUUUUGCUUAUAGGAUAUGAAUGCUUACAUACUUUAUUAAUAGUCUCGAUUGAUGUUCCAACUUACAAACAAAAUACCUAUUUCAGCCCCUCUAAAUUCAAAUAUGGUGUUAACACCGUUUCGAAUUUAUGAGUAGCAAUGUUCAUUUGUAAAUACUACGUGAACAAAAUAAUCCAUUUACCAUAUGGAAAAUACUCUUGUAACUUACGAGCAAUUGUUUGCUUUUAUAAGUGGGCAAGUAUUUUUGGUAGUAAAACUAUGAGUUGUUUGCAAGCUUUGUUAGUAGUCUUGGUUAAGGGUGGUAACUUACAAACAAAUAACUAUUUUACAAGUAUAAAUCUUUACUAUAUUAUUAACCUUGUUUUGAUAUCAUGAGUUGCAAUUUUAUUGUUAGUAACAUGCUAACGAAACAACUAAUUUACCUACUUCAAAUAUUCUUGCAGAUCACGAAUAGUCAUCUACUUUUUUACAAGUUGGUGUGUUUUUCCUCUAGUAGAUUACGAUUUCCCUACAUAUUUUUUACUAGCUAGUCCUAAAAAAAAUAACCAUUUGAUUACCCUAAAUUUUUAGUAGAUUAUUAACAUUUUUUGACGUCUAUUUGUCAGUAACAUUACCAACAUUUUUUAUGCAACUGUACGUAUGCCAGACAAUUGUGUGUACUUCUUUACUAUUGAUAUUGAUGAGUAUUUGUAUUUAUGAAGCAUUCUACUUGUUUAUAUAGUAAAUUGUAAGACACCAAUUGAAAGCUCUGCGAUGACUAAAUAUGCCACAACGAGAUGACAGGUGGUAUUUUUUCAAAAUGAUGUUGCAACAUGAUUAGGCAUUGACAAAGUUAACGAUAUAUAAGGUUUGGAACUUAUAUAAUUUACAACCAAAUAAUAGUGUGGUUCUGUGUUAUUCAACAUCUAAUGCAUAAUACAAGAUUCAAUAGCAAUUUCAUGUAUGCUUCCAAUGUAAUUUGUUCGUUUGAUAAUCUAAUCGCGGUGGUUGAGAGUUUGCUAUAUCUAGGGAAGAAUGUACAUAGAGUAUUAGCUUCCUCUAUAAUUACUCUAUAGAAUUAGGAGAUGCGCAUGCCAUCAUUGUCAGGCAUCUCAAAAUUAAAGAUGUCCACACUGAAUGAUUAUUGUAUUAGCGUUGGGCUCCAACUUCAUAGACUACUAUUAUGAAAGAAAGAAGAAGAUUCCUCUCAUAUCUAAGCUCGAAAAUUGGUUCUGUUUUAUAUUGGUCCUAUAGACGUGCCCCUCCACUUUCCAAUAUACUAAUAGUGUCGAAAUUUUUUCUGCCAAGGACUUGUAGACAUGGUGAGACUGUUAGUCGAUAGGAAUUCCGAGUUGAAGAUAAAAUACCAAUACACGGCUAUUCAUUUGAUGUGUUAAAAUAAAAAUUAAGUGCCAAUAUUGUAGCUAUUACUUCAAGUAUAGCUCGACGUUCGAAUUGGAUUUGAACAAGAAUAUGAGUUUAAGUAGCUUAAAUCUAGCCUCCAUGACUCUGCCUUUAUGAUUUGAUCACCUUAUGUGAUUCAAGGAUCUUGUUGCUUUCAACUUCAUCUUAAGAUAACGUGUAAAACCAAUUAUUGAUAAGAGUCAGCAAUCUACUGACCACAUGGAUAAAAUUUCAUAGGAGUUGGUUAACUCCUUCAUUAAUAUAUUGGCAUUUUUUUUAUAGUGUUGGUAAGUAAAUUUCAGAGGAGUUGGUAAUAUAUUAAUUCAUUAAUAUGUUGUUAAAUUCUUGUAUGUGCCAAUAAUUGAUUUAUGAUUCCAGUAAUAAGAGUUGGUAAUUAACCACUUGACUCGUAUGUCAGUGAAUUCUUGAUAUUGCUGGUAAUUUAUUUAACACUGGUAAAAUUUGAGAGUGGGUACUUUAAUACUUCCAUGUAAUGUUUGUAAAUUCUUAGAUUGUGUCAGUAAUAUACUUACCACGCUCAUAAAAUUUUGUAGGAGUCGGUAAUUUACUAUUUUAUUGGCAUGUUUGUAAAUUUCUAAAGAUGUCAGUACUUUACUUACAGCAAUGAUGAAAAUUUUCAAGUGAGUUAAUUUACUACUUCAUUGGAAUGUCGGUAAAAUUUAGAUAAUCUUGGUAAUUUACUAAUCACACUGAUAAAAUAUCAUAAGAAAUAAUAAUUUACGAAUAUAUUGUCAGUCAACAACCAGAAGGUUUCAAGCUUGAAAUGCACUGGUGAAUGGAAGAAUAGCAGAGAUGAGAGCUAGAGAGCUCAAGAUCAGGAUGCAAGAAGCCAAGUCUCCAAUCAAACGAUUACUACAGUACUGUGGAAUAUUUGGAAGUCAAGAAACCAGGCCUAUCUUCCAUAAUAGAAAACCAGAACCAAGCAACCUUGUAGAGUUUGCUUUAGCUGGGUUGAAGAGUUUCAACAGAUGGACCCCAAAAUCGAGCGAAUCUAGUAAGACCAGGGACGGAUCGUCACGAUUUUGGAACCCACCGCAGGCUGGAACACUAAAGAUAAACAUAGACGGUGUGUACGAACCUGGAGCUACUGGAGGCUCGAUCGCUUGCGUCUGUCGUGAUUUCGCGGGGAGGUUGGUGGACGGAGUGGUGCGAGCAGUAGCGGCGCCUUCUGCGUUCGAAGUUGAGGCUCUUGCCCUCUUUUAGAAGCCCUAACUCUGUCUGUAUCCUCAAAGAAAAGAAGCCCUUGUACGUGAGUCUCACAGCUUAUUAUAGUCUUUUUCAAAUAUUCAGGUCAGCCAUGGCGUUAGAGAGGCCAAGUCGCGGACUGGGUAAAGCCCAUGAGAGAAAAGCCCAUUUAUCAGACCUUUCGAUAUUUUCUGCUUAGUGAAGUAUUUCACUUUAUGACAAAAAAUAGAAGAAGGUAGUCUCCAAUCUCAAGGAGCGAACGUGCGAGAGUUUGGGGUUGACACUUCAUAAUGCACGAUGCACACUUUGUUUUUUCCCCCAUAAUGCCUUUAUUUGAUAGUGAUAACAUUCAGUUGCAACCUUAUAAAAGCGUCUGAAAGGAUACUUUCCAAGAUUUCACUUUUAUUUGUUUUUUCUUUGAAGAGUGGUAGCUAAUUCAACUUUUAGUCUAAUGAUUGUAUUUCGAUGCAACCAAAAACCACAUGUAUACGGCACUUUCGUACUUUCCAUUUAGUUCAAUCGGACGGCAUCAACUUUUCUAUUGAUUGAUGACACGAUUAGCUAAACUAUUUAAAGAUCAAAAUAUUUUUGAAUAGAUGGUGUUUGUUUGCAAGUAUUUUUUUUUUAUUUUCAAAAUCAAUUUUGUGGUAAUUAAACAUUCCAUGUUUCACAAUAGAAAACAGAAUCUUGCUAGAUCUAGAGGUGCGAAAAUGUUCCAUUCCGAAAUUCGUAAGUUUAUAAGUCUUUUUAGGCAUAAAUCCAAGUGUGACCAAAAAAUAAAUUGAAGAUUGAAGUUAUAACUCAUGUUGACUCGAUGAGUAAAAAAAAAACUCUUGCAAAGUACGAAUGGAAGAUCAAAUUUGUUCUCUAGUGGCUUUAGCUUUGAUUAUACUCCACUAAACUUUUGUUUUAGUAAUCAAAAGUCCAAAAGUCGCAUCACAAUUUUUCAAAUCACACUCCUUCCAUUUGAACCGAAAUUGAGCUUCCUCUAUUAGCUUAAAAGCUUGAGGAAGAAGAGAAUACAGGUAGGAUCCCACUGCCUGACUGCUGCUCUUUUGAAUGGAAAAAAAAAGACCUUUUAUAUAGAUUUAGGCCUUAACUAUAUGGAGCUUUGCUCCUUCCUGCAGAAAAAUUAAGGAACUAAAAAGGAAGGUCAUUGAACUUAGAAGCCAAGGGGGAUUGGAUGAAUAUGCAGAGAGAGUUGUGGGCCAAUGUCCACCAAAAUUUGGUCAAUAAGGAUGGUUCCUCAUCAUCACUCCGGCCUAUCAAAGUUCACAAAUUAUUGCGUUUCUUAUGCAGAAAAUCAAUGGGAUAUAUGCUGUAAAAAUUUUGGGAUUAGAAUCAACUUUCGCCCCCAAAUCAAUGGGCGGAUUCAUUCAAAGUCAAAUUAACAAAAGCACACAUCAAAAUUCCAAAAAAAGUUUGUUUCCCUCCAUCCUAAUUAAGGUGAACUCCGAACAAUCCAGUUUAAUGGGCUGAUCGGGCCUAGGCCCGAAUUAACUCCGAAGCAUAAAGCCUAGUGGAAUUAUCGGGCUUGAUCUUCAUCAAAGCACUCCCCUAGUGAUCAAUCAAAUUUAGAAAAGAAUGCACUUUAUUUCGAGGGUGAACCAUCAUUCGCAUUUAACUUGUUGCUAGUGUCAAUAAAUUUCUCGUCACAAAGCAUUGUAGUUGGACAUCAAAUCCAUGCAUUGUGCUGAUUAUUAUACAAAACACUACUAAAAUAGAGUACAUGAAACCAAUGUGUAAGAAGAGUCUUGUGUUGUAUUAAAACUUUGAGCCACUAACAAGUGCAAUAGAUAAGCUCAUGAACAUGAUGUGACCUAUUAGAUCCCAUUUGGAAUUUAACUCUAUUAGCAUUUUCAAAUUCCCAAUUGAACUUGGAAGCCUCUCCAAGACUAGCAAAAGUUCAAUGAAGCCUCUCCAAUGACUAUAAUGAUUAGAAAAAUAUACAUUGACUCCCCCCUAUCUUAAGUAUGAAAGUUCUCUAUUUUAGAUAAUGUCUUUUGGAGGUGUGGCUCUUCAUUCUCUUGGUUAAUGCUUGUGGAUUAUCUAUUACAAAAGAAAAGAAAGAGGCGAAAAUAUAAGAACUUGUGGACGACAUGAGAUUCUUCCAUGUUAAAUUUUGAGAAUUGGGAAAAAAGAGAAUUGCCACACCUCUAUUCAUUUGAAAUUAAACAGUUUGGGUCAUUAUUUUAGAUUUACCUUGACAUUGGAUAAUGUCAAACCAAGUCCAUUUGCAAUUGGAAUCAUUUUUAAAUAUAAUUAAGAAUUGUUACACCUCCUCUUCAACUUUUGUGAAUCCAACUUAAGAGCCAUGCUUUACCCGGAAAACAAAUUAGACAUGCGUUUACUGAUGUGGAGUAUACAUCUUCUUCAUGUCACAAUUUUGCAUUGGUUACUGUCAUAGAGGUGAUGCCAUAAGUGCUAAGAUACUUUCAUGCACAUUGUAACAGCUACUUCGUCUGAUAUAAUGAAGUUAGCGUUCUCCUGCGUGAAGAGUGGGCAUCAACCAAUUUCAAACACAGUAAGACAAAAACAGCAAUUUAUAAGGUAUCUCAUAUAGUUCACCACAUAAUAUUGACAAAAUAAUGCACUUGGAAUUUAUAUAAUUUGACUUGACCUCACUAGGUAAGUUAAUUAGCAAUUCAAAGCCACUGAAACGUCUAAACCAAACCAAACCAAAACAAAGAAGAUCUGAACAAGGGUACUCGCAGAACUAUAUCACUAGUCAACAUGCAAAGUGCACAUGAGAAGAAGAUUUGCAUAAACCUCCUUAUAAUUGAUAUGUAUAACAGAAUAGGAAGCACUUCUUAUCAGAAAAAAUGUACUCGAGAGAGUAGGUGUCCAUUCUUUUUUCUCGUGCAGAAAUUUGCCAAGUUUGAUCAAACAACUCCAUGACGUGCUGAGUUCCCAAAUCUCCCGUGGUGAAUGCCUACCCGAUCAGACUGAAUUGAGGUCAUACAGCAAUCCCUUUUUAAGGCAGGAAGUUCAUGUCUGACUUUCCCUUCCAUCUUGGUAGUUUGUAGAUGUAUUAUCUCCGUAAGAUGGAGAUUCUUGGUGUUUGUCCGUUAAGACUAGCAUGCGAAUCGAACAAAGUCAACCCCAAAAUCAUGCACGCUUACCAAUUAGUCGGGGGUUCACACCAAUAGCUCUCACAAUACUUUCUCUUCAUGUGAAGUCCUCUAACCGAGAUACACUCCUUUCAUCACUUAAUUCGAAUCAUUUCACUGUUCCCGCCGCUCCAUGGCUUAUCGCAGCAUCAUUAUUUGGACUGCCCUUUCCAGUGAUCUAUCUUGUGCUUAUUAGACUCCUCUGGAAGAAAUCUUUGAACGGAACAGCAAAAACAACGAUGGUAGCAACUGUCACCACACACAGGGCAACCUCAAGUGCGUCAAUUGUUUUGCGCUUAGCAGAAGUGGUCCACCUCGGCUAAACAACAAUCAUUGAGCUGCCGAAUCAGAAUCCGAAGUGACGAUCUGAAAUAAAAAUGGAAGGAGAGAGUCGGAGGGUGAUGGUGGGAUAUUCGGAGUAGUAUCAGAGUCGGUGUUGGAAACUGGUGGAAGCAGAGGAGGGUUCUUUGCGUCUUUCCGUAUUUUUGUUUUAAUUAGUUUCUCGAUUUUCCUUUUUAUCUUUUGGGGUUUGGGUUUUUCCUUUCGGUUGUUCUUUUCAUUUUUCGCAACACGCGAGUGGCGCGAAGAUUUCCCGCCAGCAAGAGAGGGGGCCAAAAUUGUAUUUUCGUUUCCCCUACCGCAGAAUUGAAGGCAGCAGCGUCGGCUUCCGCGCGAGAUGAGGCUCGCGCCUCUAGGAUCGGAGGUGGUCUGACCUGCCCUUGCUGCCUGACGCAACCGAGUCUCGAAUCGAUGGUCUGCGACUUUUUCCUCCGUAUAUUAAGAGAGUAGAGAGGGAAAAUCAAACGUAAUUUCCCUCCCUGACGUUUUCGCUGUGGAAGAUUAAGUUUGAACCAAAACUACUCAAUUUACACGUACGUAUACAGGCCGGUCAUUGCUGUCUUACCGCGUGCUAGAAGCCACGAAAUAUCUCCGUAUGAGGUAGCAAUAUAUGCAAGAUACAAGCUCGCCAAGGAUUCACUCACAAUGUGGUUCGAAUUUGUCAACUCUGGAAAAAUAGUAUGACCAGCCUAUCGUUAAGUCAUCGCGUUCGAGGAGGGGCUACAAUUUUUUCACGUUCAUUCUUCUUUCUUUUUCAACUCGUUUCAAGUGAAUGAGUCGUGUAUGAAUUUGAUAAAAGCAUGAGAGGUGUAUAAAUCUGUUUCGUGCUUAUUAGCACCUAAGUUUGAUGAGUGAUUGAUUUAUCAACGCUAGCUAUAAAUGAAGGGAUUUUGGGAUUGUUCUCUACAAAAAGUUAUUGUUACACCCUUCACGCUCUUGAAUCACUCCUUGUUCUUCACUUCCACUUGUUGUUUAGUGUACUAAUUUCUUUGUACUUUUUGAAUAACGCAAAUUUUUACAUUAAACUUGAAUCUGAAAAUAUUUGACUCAAGAAGCUUGCCAUCGUAAUGGAGUACUCAAUUGCAAUUUCAUAUGCCUCCACCAAUAUAAAUAAACAAAUGAAUUAUAUCAAUUUUAAUUUUUGUGCAUAGUAACUAAGUAAUUGAACCGUAGAACACCCAUUUGUCCAAAAGAACAUCUCAUUCUCUUGCGCUAAAAUACAAUAGCAGGCAUCCCUAUGCAGUCUUUUUCAAUGUUUCGAUUUUAGCAAAACUUACUUCAGUGCCCUCACGCACACGACGUAAAUCACCGAAUGUGACAUUAAAAAUGCCCACCAACAAAAUAAGAUCCCAGGGGCAAAUCAAGAAAGAUCGUGAAGAAUAUGGAGUGGAGCAAAUCGCAUUUGAGGGUGAUGGUUGUUCUGACAUGCUUGAUUGCCACAAAGUGAGGCAAUACUCAAUUAUGAGUUAUGAUAGUUUCAAGUUUGAUAGGUCAAUAAAUGUAUGUGUUGAUUGGCAAUGUCUGAUUCAUAAGGGCAAUGAACUUGAGGGAAGCGUCUGCAAACAUUCAUUAGAGAGUUUAAGUCUUUUGAGAUGAGAAAGCUGUACAAUAAAUGGUGAUGUGGUGUUGGUCCAGCCUAAGGACCUUAAAGAAAGGCCUCGGUUAUCAGAGCUCCCGUUCCGGGUCACAAAAACAGCAGGGUAAACCGCCGGGGGUUUUCCAAGGUGUUUAACCACACCACCCUCGGGCCUGAUAGGGCUCCACUUCCCCACCAUUGGGUGGGAGCGCAUCCCUGGAUGAAGGGACCGUUGUCGAAGAGGACAACUAUAAAGACACCGGUUGUUUAACCUAUUGAUCCACCGGGCAAUAGCAUCUUCCACAAGCUUAGACAGGUCUGAGGAGACUUUUGGCAUCCCAAAGACAAAUCUCUUAGGCUUUUCAAGUUCGAAAGAUUGGAAAUGGCAUCAUCAGCUCGGUAUGAAUAUAUAGACGGAGAAAAAUUUCUAGGAGUCUUGGUACUUGGGGUAUUUCAGCACAUGUUAGUUUUUAAAAUCUUCCAAGAUGAAUAUCUCCAGAUAUCAUCGGAAUUUUUUAUUAGCAAAUUUUCACUAAGCUCUGCAUCUAUUUUUCUAGCUUUUCCUGCUUCCAUUUUGCACUAGUUAUCAUGCUUAUGACAAAGAACCUCAUCUUCAAUACUUUCAAAUACUUCUUUUUAGCCUGCUCAUAUAUCGAGUUGGUCAUUCACAAGUUUAAAACCUAUGUAUGGGCUUCGCUCUAAGUAGCUACAAAAUUGGCAAGACCAAUUCAAGCAUUCCCCCAUGAAAAAAACAAUGAUAGGCUUGAAUCUGGUAUAAGCAAACUACUGCCCAUCCCCUUUCCCCAGAAGCAGCCUGUUUCGAGUGACACAAUUAUAAUCACACAGCAAGAUCGUUCGACCCAUGACAAACAUAAUGACCCAGACUUCAGAUAUAUGUAAGUUACUUGCAGUCACUUUGCAAUGCUUGCUGUUAUAGUUGACAUGACAUGGUGGACUACUUACCGCACAUGAAACCUGGAAACGGUGUGCUUUGAGAGAUGGGAAACUUCUGCCGCCGACAGGGAGGGAGACGGACCUGACAUUCGAUAUAUUGCAGACAGGUACCGGUUAAAAAUUGUCAAGAACUAGUUUUCAGAGAUGCGGUCUCAUUCAAAGUGCAGAACCUCAACCGGGUCAGCCAAGCUCUCUGCCUAAAUUGCACAGAAUAUUUGGUAAAUUUACAUUUUGCACCCAAGUUUUCCGGAUAGUGGCAAAUUAUCCCCGUCGUUUCGAUAUUUGCAACUUGUUA